UGCCGGAAUCUUGAGAUGAUCCCUUCCAGUUUAGGUGAUAUUCCAACGUUACGGAAGAUUCGGGUAUAUAUGUGUGCAAAAACUACCAACGAAUCAGCUAGGAAAAUUAAGGACGAACAAGAAAAGAUGGGCAACGAAGAGCUUCAAGUCAUAAUCACUGACAAAUAUUGGUCAGCGAGGAAAUUUAGAAGGUAAUAAUGAGAGAGAUUCUCUUUUUUAAACCUCUUUCGCAUUCUCAGCUUGGUCCUAGGUAUUUUAUGUUAUAUUAAAAUGAAACAUAAAAAACAAAUCCUACUGUAAUUUUUGCUGGCAUUGAAAUUAGGGAAAAUUUCAUAACUAAGAAAUUAAUUAUGGCACAUUUCAAAAACAAGAAAACAAGUUUCAAAUUUCCAAAAUCAGAUUUUUAUUAAAAAUUAUUUAUAAUUUAAUUAGUUAAUUAAUUAUUUUAUUAAUUAAAUAUAUUUAGGUCACAGAUCUAUACAAUUUGGUCACAAAUUAACAAUAUAAUUAGUCACUUAUUAUUUUUUGGUCACAAAUCAAAAAUUUUAUGUCACAAAAUUUUUGAAAAUUUUUUUACGAUCACUUUUCAAAAAUUUUGUAAGUCACGGUUUGUUUAUUGGUCACAAAUCCAAAAAUAAUUAGUCACGGAUUAAUUUUUAGUCACGACUUAUCAUAUUAUUGGUCACAACUUAUUUUUCAGUCACAAGUUAAAAAUUUUAUAAGUCACAUAUUAUUUUUAGAUCACGAAUCAAAAAUUUUAUAGGUCACAGAUUAAUUUUUCGGUCACAACUCAAUAAAUUAUAAGUCACAAACACAAAUUUUAUAGGUCACAUAUUAUUUUUCGAUCACGAAUCAAAAAUUUUAUAGGUCACGAAAUCAAAAUUGUUAUUAGUCACAUCUAAUUUGUCGGCCACAAAUCAAAAAUUUCUUAUGUCACAAUUCAUUGAUUAGUCACAAAAUCAAAAUUUUAAUUGGUCACAAUUCAUUUGUCAGUCACAAAUUAUAUCAAAAUAAUUGGUCACAAUUCAUUUGUCAGUCACAAAUUAUAUCAAAAUAAUUGGUCACAAUUAAUUUUAUAGUCACAAAUUAAUAAAUUACAAGUCACAAACCAAUUUAUUGGUCACAAAUAACCAAAAAAUUGGUCACAAAUACCCCGUCCAAUGCAAGUCACAAAUCGAGAGUCACAGGCGCAGUCACCAUCACCACCGCCACGAUCCAAUUAUUAGUCACAAAUCAACCAAACCGCCACGAUCACCGACACGACCACCACAAUCACCGCCACGACCAACUGUGACACCCAAAUUGUGAGUCACAAAUUGAAAGUCACAGUCACAAUUUUCAGGUCACGAGUCCAAUUAUGUGUCACAAAAUCAACCAGCAGUCACGACCACCGCCAAUCCACCACAACCACCUCGUCACCAAAAAAUCGUGCAUAUCACCACCAUCGGCCCACUAUUGUCAAACUCUGUCAAUAACAAAAACAUCCCCAUAUCCACCACCAUUUUCAUUACAAAAAACUACCACAAAAAAAGGACCAGCAACACCACCGGAUCCGCCUUUGCCAAAGUUCAGAGCCACCAUCUCAAUCACACAACCACCACCAUACCAACCAAAAAAUUCCAAACCCACGAAAACAUCCCCAUAUCCACCACCAUCACCAUUUUCAAUACAAAAACCACCACAGAAAAAAGGACCAGCAACACCACCGGAUCCGCCUUUGAAAAAGUUCAGAGCCACCAUCUCAAUCACACAACCACCACCAUACCAACCAAAAAAUUCCAAACCCGAUUCAGUCGUCGCCGCCACUGCAUCUCUACCCGUCGCCUUAUGCGUUGCUCAUGACGACGACGAGAAAGGUGAGAGAGACAGAAUGUGUUUGGGGGAUCUGCAGCCUCGCGUCACCAUCACCUAGAUUAAAUCGAAAAAUUAAAACGAGGCGGCACAGACCACAGCCUCGUCGAUUCUAUCUACUCCGUCCACAUCGGGGCGGCACCGCGCCUCAUUGCUCGCAGCUCCGCCAUCUACAGUAAGAAAUGCGACGCUGUGCUGCACCAAUUCGACAACAGGAGCAUCACGUUGCCGCCGUCGACGAUGGAGGGAGGCGCCGUUGCGGGGAGAAAUGUAGAGAGGGAUGGUUGUGGGAGAAAUGUAGGGUAGGGAGGCUUUGGUUGUUGGGAGAUAGGAUUAGGGUUUGUGAUUAAAAAUAUUUAUUUCAUAAAAAUAUUAAUUAGAAUAAAAUUUCUGACUAUUGAAAUGUCAAACCUCUGCCCUGAUUUUAGAAUUGAUGAUUUUAAUGAUAGGGUUUCGUGUAAUUUCCACUUGAAAUUAAGCCACUGUUUGGUAUGAAUUAAAUUAAGAUUUUUAGUAUUUGGGACCAAACUGGGGCUAAGUUGAUUCUAUUUUAUGAGCUUGUUGAUGUUAUUCUAGGAAUUACUAAACCAUAAGCUUCUAUGUUUGGACAUUGAUCUAUAUUAUUUCUGCAUUUCACAUUUUUUUUACCGUAAAAUCGAUUUUACAUAAAAUCCCAAUGGUCACAAUUUCACUUCUAGUUUGAUUUAGUAGUCGGAAUGAUUUGAUUGUUUAGCCCAAGUCCUCAGCUAAUUGCAUGGGAGGUCCUUCAACUUCUAAACUUGUUAUCUUGGUCCUUGAUUCUAGAUUCCAUCCAACUUCCAUUCUUCUCGAUCAAAUAUCGUCCCUUUUUAUUGUUUCCUAUUCAAUACUGGUUUUUCUCCUAAAAUAAUAAUCAAAUACACAAAAUUAAGUAUAUGCUCAUAAAAGUAUUUCCAAACCCCCUCUUUUGAUUCCUUGGAUAAGUAUAAAAUCACACUUAUCGUAGAUAUGCAAUUUCAAGAGUCGAGUGAUUUUUUCAGGGGUAAAUAGUGAUUUAAUCAUUUGUAUUGCACGUUUGUGUUCAGACAAUUUACUAAAGGACAAGUGAAUUCAAUUGUGUGAGUAAUAUGUUAAAGAUUUUAAACCAAUAGAGAUCUUGGCAUUGAUGAUCAAAUUUAGACAUGUAUUAUUGAUAUGCACACUCUAGAGAUUUUAAUAGGGUUCGAAGACCUUAAUAAUCUUGCAGAAAAAUUUGUUCUGUCUUAAAAAGGCGAACCCAUUACUUUACAGACUUGUAAUAUUGGUGUUAAUUAUUUCAGAUGCUAGAGGUGGUACGUUCUUGGCAAACAAGAUGAUCAAGAAUCGAUUGCAUAAUUGGAAGCUAGAUCAAUGGUUGAACGACACUUUGGUGGCGUAUAUUAGUACGAUGUAUUUGAUGAUAUUGAUAACGAUAAUUAUACAAUGUUUUCAAAGUAUGAAAACUUGUAGGCUACAAUUGUAGUGAUCUAUUGGCUAUUUUUAAUUAAUACGUUGUUUUAGAAAAAUUAUAUUUUAAUUUUUAAUCCUACAAUGAAAAAUGUGAGGCUUCGCAAUCAUAUUAGGCUUGACAAAACCAAUUAUCUUCAGUGGGAAAACCAAUUUCUGAAUGUCGUCAUGGCUAGUGGAUUAGAAGGUUUUAUAGAUGGUACAUCUACUUUUCCAUCAAAGUUUGUUGUACAGCUGCUCAUUGGGUCGAAAUUUUUAUUAACUUUUCAGUAUUAUGACUUCAAGCUUUUCAUUUCCCAUCUCUUCUUGUUCUUCCUGAAUUUGCUUAUCAGAUUCUUAAAUUGCUUGCUCAGACCCUCUACCAGAGAAGUUUCCCAAUCAAGAAUUUGCUCAUAAGAUUGUUGGUUAAGGGAUUCCUUCAAAUAAAAUAGAAGAAGAUGGUAAAUUUUCAUGUAUAUCAAAUUGAAACAGCAAUCUCUACAUAUAGAUGUUAGUACGCCUUUCCAAGGCGUUACAAUAUUUCUAGAACCAGCCUAGUUGAUACGAAACAAAUACAAAAAGAAAAUUUUAUUAUUCGAAAAUCUUCCACCCUGUCUAUCCCCAAAGUUCAAAACAGGAGGGGGUGUUUCUCCUUCUUCAGUAUUAUUAUGUAAUUGACUCUUCUUUUAAAGAGUUGAUUGAAUUGAUUGACUUAGACGGAUAAUAAUAUACAUGGGGGCGCCAACAAUAAAUGAUUAUGUAAUUAUACUUGCUAAUGCAAAAUAAGUAUAACUUCAUUGACAUAAACGAUAGGCAUCAUUUUUUACUGCUAUGCCAUCGAUUUCCAAGUGACAAACUAGACUAAGAGCAUUUAAACAUCUGAAUUCUUGAACACGCCAUUCUUUCAAAAGAUUUUCAAUGUGUCAAAUUUGAAUAAGGUUCCUUACUAUUCAUCAAAUUAAACUAUUGGCUCUAUCACAUUUAUCGACCUUUAGUUCAUUCUUCUGGAUGUACUCCUUAAGGGUUAUCUAACAUAUUAGGCCAAUAUUGUAGAUUACAUACUUGUCCAUGUAAAUUGAUUUAUCAAAUGAUCUUGUAAUUGUCCACCCUCAACUCCUCAAGUAAUUUGUCUUGAAUGUCCUAUAUUUCAAAAGCGUUAAAGCGUCCCUUGUGGUAUCCAGGUUCGAACAAGUAGCCAUGGACGUGUCUUCGAUUUGACAUUGAAGUACCAAGAAAUGAAAUUAAAUUGCUUACAAACUAAUUAACUCACGUCUACUCUUCUACAAUAUAAAGAUAGCUUACUUGAGCUUGGUAUUUUUCGCAACAUAUUCCAACUAAUCCAAUUUUGAAGUCAAAAAAACUGCAAAAUUGUCUAUCAACUCAAGUACAUAUUUUCUUUGAUUAAAUGUAUGCUUUAGGAAAAAAAUAAAUUGUCACGAGUUGUGUUAUCUAAUCAUACCACACUUGCCACGAUGAAAUCAAAACUUAUCGCGACCAAACUACUGUUAUACGCAACAUCAUGCACAUAAGAUCAUGAAUUUUAUACACAAAUCUUUCAGAAGUCUGCAGCUUCGAUUUUCAAACCAUAUCUGGAGGAAGCAUGAUCCACGUCUUGAAAACAUAUUAAGUGCUUUCAAAAUUGCUUUGAGCAAACCUAUCAAACGAAAUAACACGCAAUCUAAUAAAUGUUUUCUUGAUAUGAUCUGGAACCUGAGAUGUUAACCGGCAUAAUACCUUAGACAAUUGAGACAUAAAAACUAUUGUUUCGAAAGCCAGUGUCACAAGAUGGAAGUACUCUUGACCUCCUAGCUAGACAGAGGAUCAGGAUUCGUCUUCGUCCUUAUCUUCGUCCUCGUCUUCAACUUCAACUUCAUCUUCAAAAUCUACAUAAUCGACCUUUGCAACAGGAGAUGCUCACCAAAACUUGUUCAACUGUUUCAGAAUCUGAAGUCCUUUGUCAAUGACAGUGUUGAAAAUUGACCAGAUCACCAUUCUUUUCAGCUUCGGCGAUUUUUCUAUCAAAAGCUUAGUGACUGCCAUCUCAGCAACUGUGCCUAAAAUAAAAGCAGCUUCACUUUUUGAAGUCGAUUUGAAGUUACAUCUGCGUAGUCUUGCACUUACAUAAAAUCUAGAAUAGGACUAGCAUCAGCAUUUGCACUCUCACAAAUCUAGACAAUAAGGCAAGAUAUCACUCAGCUUAAACUUUUGUUUUAAAAUGGAGAAUUGAAGAUGUAAAUUGUAAUGGUCAUAUCCAUCACUUACCUCGAAUCUCAGUUCCUAAAGGUUGGGGGCGCUGCUGAUCAAACACAAAACACAAGAGAGUUCAUCCAAUAAAUUAAAAAAUAUAUAAAAUAACCUCUGAUCAAGCACAGAACACAAGAGAGUUCAUCCAAUAAACUAAAAAAUAUAUAAAAUAACCUCAGAACUUUAAGGUGGAUUAAAGUAGCUGGAAGCCUUUCUUGGACUUGACCUGCAGCCAAAAUCUUGAAAGCAGUGGUAAAAGCAUGAUCUAAUGUAGUUAACUUGACGAUUACAAGGGAUUGUAUUUAUAAUCAAAAAUACCUUAAUGACAGUAUAGUUCAAGUACACUUUCUGAAGGCCAGGCAGAGAAUAAAAAAAUGAAUGAAGUUACAUUUCCCAUCUUCCAAAAUAUUGUCAACCACCCAAUCAUUAUGUGAAGCAACCAAAAUUAUUGCAAGAAGAGUGAAUUUCUUAAAACAAAACAAUGAUGUAGGGAAACAUGUCAAUUCAAAGUGUUUUAGCAUAGGAGCAUCAAUUUCUAAGUAGUCAAAUUUGUUUGAAACAUUCAGCAACAGUUUCUCCAGUAAUGGGCAGCUAGAUAUCAAACUUCCUAAUACAUACAUCAUAAUCAAUUGUCACGUCAAGCAAUUCCAGCCAAAUCAUCCUAUUAAAUCCUUCAAAGCUUGGUGGAGGUGGAUUGAUCAAACAAGACAACAGCUUCAAAUGUUUCAAAUGUAAACACAUAAAUAGUGAAGAAGGCAAUGUGUACAGUUCUCCGCUCUUGAUUUUAAAGGUGAAUUCUUCAACACUGUUCUUCCAUAAGAUAUGUAUCAAGUCGUCAAUUUCUGAGCAAUUUUAAGUUUCAGAAUAACGAAGCUCAAUUUUGUUAUGGGUCCUUUACGAAGCAAAAGAACCUUGUAAAGGAUCAACAAGAACUUCAUUCUAGCUGAUUCUAGGUUUCCCUCAUAUUCUUGCCAUAGCGUCUCAUCAAAUCUCAGUUGGGGUAGUUUGACCCAUUUAUACCUCCAUUGUUUUGAAUACUUGUCUUUGCAGCAUCAUGUAAAGUCAAAUGCAUUAGAAUGCUAUCAGCUACAUUGUCAGUAAGGUUGCUUAUCCUAUCAACAGGUUGGAACUGGGUAAUAUCCAUUCUGCAGUGUUAUUGAAACGACAACCCUUUAAUGACACCUCACAAGUAAUAAAUAUAUAAAAAUUACCUUAGAAGUAAUAAGCAUGCACACAGUAGAUAUUAAAGAUCCAACAUGAAGGUUCCCCAUUUUCUUGCAUUAUUUUAAUAAUCCUACGCAAAAGUUUUAUCAUUUGUAUUUUCCUUAUUUUAUAUCCCAAAAUUUGAAAAAUUGGGGAUUAUAGUUUCUCAAGCAUGGAGACACUUGCCCUCAUGCGUUAGAAAUUAAAAAAUUAAAAAAUAUUGGACAACAUGUGGUGUGUUGAACACAUCUGCCUCAAGUCUCGGAAAUUUAAAAAUGAUAUAUAAAAGAAUAUACGCCAAGUGACAUAUUGGUAGUAGAAUGAGUGUCAUCCUUCAUAGCUGGUUAAAUUACCGAAACAUUCAUAUGUUACCCACCAGGAAAAUAGAGACAGGUUUCACAAUUGAAAUUUACAUUUGUACAUGCCCUCGACAAAGUGGUUGUUAAGGGAUAUAAACCCACAUCGAAUAAAGAUAAAAAUAUAGAUCAACUUAUAAGAUUUUGCGCUACUCCUGUUUAUAAGGUUGACCUUUUAAGAUGGAAUUCCCAAUCUUAACAUAUCGAAGACAUUAAGCUCUAUCAAACAAUUCGAUCCGAUUAAGAAUAAAAAAAAAAUGAGCAUACGGAUACCAAGAUUGGUUUGCUCAAAAGAGCCACAAUCUUGCGGUGGGCUUGUUAAGGAAUAUAAUCUCAUAUCGAAUAAAGAUGUAAACUUGGACUAAUUUAUAAGUUUUGGACUACUUCUCUUAACAAAGUUAACAUUUCAAGAUGGACCCAAGUCUUAAAAUGGUAUGUUAAGGGAUAUAAUCCUACAUCAAAUAAAGAUGGGAACAUAGACCAACUUAUAAGGCUCUGGACUACUCCUCUUAACAAGAUUGACCUUUUAAGAUGGACAUAAAUCUUAACAUGGUAUUAAAGCUCAUUAAGCUCCAACGAGCGAUUCGAUCCGAUUAAAACUAAAAAAUGAGUACACGAAUUUCAUGAUUGGUUUACUCAAACGAGCUAUCAUUUUGCGGGGGGUAUGUUAAGAAAUAUAAUCACAUAUAAAAUAAAGAUGAAAAUAUAGACCAACUUAUAAGGUCUUGGAUCACUCCUCUUAACAAGGUUGACCUUUUAAGAAGAAACCCAAAAUCUAAACAGUGGCAACAAAAUAUUCAUGUAGUCAAUCCCAAAUUUAUUGGGAUUAAAGUUUAGUUUGUAGUCAUAGAUGCAAAUCUAACAUAAAAAUGUGUACUGCUCUUCACAUAGUAUGCUUGAUGAUGCAGUAGUGCCUACCUGUUAUAAUUCGAUGGUUAAACUAGUUGUGAAUCCUGAUGACAGAAAGUGUGCUAGGAUAAUAGUUUGUAGAGUGUUCUAAAAAAAAAUUCUCUCUUGUAUAUGACCUAGGCGCCACUUUAUAGGUAGAGACUACUUAUGCAGAUGGUGUGUUUCUUCAUUUUAAUAAACCCGUUGCUCGAGUUUUCUCGAAAUUGAGUCUACCGUAAAAUAGGUGAUCGAAUGGAUUGACUCAGUCAGAGAAUUGAUUUAGAUAAGGAAAGAGUCUGGUCGAAUAUCUAUGUCCAGUCUGACCAUAAGUUAAGAAACAAAAAAGAAAAUCAAAAUACCGUCUAUAGCUACAAUGUAACUGCUCAGAAAAAUCUAUUGUUUGAAAAUUAGAAAAGCAAAAUAUCAAGGAAAGUUAAACUUAACAAACUGACUAAUUGCUAAACUAAUUCUAUUUACAGUAGCCUACAGAGUUGAGGGUCAUUUUUAGGAUUUUUCUUCCAUCCUCAUCAUCACCAAAGAAGUCAAUCUUUAUAUAAUGUAUGUAUCAAUAGACUAUGCAUUUUCCAUUCAACCCCACCCCAUUAAAAGAAAGAAGGCAUCUUCUGGUAGUAUACACUACUUCUGAAUCCUCUUUUAUCCUGUCAUAAUACUAAAGAUUUCACUCAUAAAUAAAACACUACACAUUUCUACAAAUAUUUCAUAUAAAAAGUUAAUGGGAGGGACCGUACAAAAACUGUUUCAAUUUAAGAAAAUAGAAUCGUACCUGUAAUGGAGAGAGUGAUGGCACCGCGGCGGAGAGGGUUUUGGGUUGCAAUCUCAAAGGAAAUUAACGCGCAAAGGGGAGCUGAACCUUCAAUGGUGGAUUAAAACACUUGGGUCUAACUUAAAAGUUGCUGACAUUUUUUGCUAACUGCUAAACUUGAUUAAAAUUUUGGGAUGUACUCAGAUUGAGAUCGUAAUGAAUUUUAAAAGUCAUUCUAAAUUUAGAUCCUUGUUUGAGCCCUAUUUUUGCCAAGAAAAUACAUUUUUAAAUAGUAUAAUGAUGUGAAAUGUAUGGUUAAAAAAUAAGGAAAAGUUUUAGAUUUUCGUGUAAUAUUAUUUUAUUGAAGAAUGUGUGGUUGAAAUGAUGUCAAAAUAUAGUUUAAGAAUGUAUUUUGUCAAAAAAAUGGGGCUCAAACAAGGGCUAGGUAUCUUCAAUUGAGAUUUUAUUGGAUUUUAAUUAAAUUCAUUAAAAUUUAGGUGUCCCCAAUUGAAAUUUUAAUGAAAUUCUUAAAAAUUUAGAUAUCCUCAAUAAUUAGUGGAUUUAUAAAGAUUUCAUUGAUAGAAGGAUUUUAGAAGAUUUGGAUGGAUUUCAAGCUUAAAAAUACAUAUAAGUAAAUCUUUUGAAAUUUCACCAUAUUUAAUUAGAUUUUUUUUUUUUUGAAAUUUGUAAGAAUCUAUUUAAAUCCACCAAAGUCAUUAGAAUUUAUAAUCAUUUAAAAUUCAUUAAAAUCUUAGUUGAGAACACCUCCGUUAAUUUUAAAUUUUAAAUAACUUCAUUUUGAAAUAUAACUAAAGACCUUGUUUAGUAGGGAUUAAAAUCAGUUUUUUAGUAAAUUUUGAUAAAAGUCAUUGAAAUGUAGCUAAAAAGUUGUAGAUCCCUUAAAAUGUUUGAUUAAAAAUAGUUAUUCACUUUGACUCAAAUAAAAAUCUAAAUUUUAAUUUGUAUCAAACAAGUUUUUAAAUAAUUAAUUACUUUUUUCUUAAUUAAAAGCAUUUAGCCCCUGGUUGGUGGGUAUUAAAAUCGAAUUUUGAGUAGGUUUUAAUAAAAGUUAACGAAAUGUAUGGUUCAAAAGUUGUGGGUCCCUUAAAAUUAAUUUUUGGUUAAAAUUAGUUAUUAACUUUGAUUUGUAUUAAAAUCUGAAUUUAUGUAUAAAAUAGGGGCUCAGUAUAAAAGUAACUUUUAUUUUACUAUAAACACAACAUGUUUGCUAGUGAGAAUGAAAAGAAAAAAGAAUAACAUACUUGGCUGAGUUUAAAAAAAACAUAAAAGUAUCUAAGAUUUACAAAACACGUCAUCUUAUCAACGUUUUAAAAUCGGACUGACCCCAAUCCGUUCAACCGCAAGAAUCGAGAAUCGAGUCCAAAACCAAAACCGAUCCAGUUAGGCUUAUAAAACCUCUAAUUAAAAAUCCAUCCCAAAACUAGUUAAACCGCAAAAAUCACUAGUUCGAUUCUGAUUCAACCUUUUGAUGCUUGACUCUCUUUUUCAAGUAAUAAGUCGGGUCGAUUCUUAAAACAUUGCAUAUUACUGAUUUGAUAUCUUUAUUAUUCAUUUUAUUUUGAUUUUCAAAUUCGCUAUAGACUUGUAUGAAAAUAGGAUUUACUUUAUUGAACUCCUCGACAAAAUCAUACCAAAUGGGGGUUGAAACAUAGCUUCUUUUGAUUAUUCGUAAGCGCCAAUUAGCUAAAAAAUUACAUUAAUAAUUUCUACUCUUGCCCUAGCUCGUCCAAAAGCUAGAUUCAUAUCUAUAUUAGUAAAAAAUAUAUUUUAAAACUAUAAAUAAAUAAUUUUUAUUAAUCAUUUUUUUCUAAUUCACUGUAGACUUGUAUGAAAAUAGGAUUUACUUUAUUGAACUCCUCGACGAAAUCAUACCAAAUGGGGGCAGAAACGUAGCUUCUUUUGAUUAUUCGUAAGCACCAGCUAGUUAAAAAAUCACAUUAAUAUUCUCUACUCUUGUCCUAGCUCGUUCAAAAGCUAGAUUCAAAUCUAUAUUAGUAAAAAAAAUAUUUUAAAACAAUAACUAAAUAAUUUUUUUUUAUUAGUUUUAUAAAUAAAUUAUGUUAUUUAUUUGAACAAUAAAAUGAGAAUUACUUUAGAUCAAGUAAAUGAUUUUAGGACAUGUUUAAAAAUAAAAAAUGACUACAAAAUAAUUAUACAUGUGAAUAUCACACUUAUUUUUUGCAUAGUUAACAAGCUUUUGUUGAUUAUUAUAUUCAAUUCUCUAUUUUUUUAGAGUGAAUUAUUCGAUUCUAUUCUCAGUUGAUUUGUGCAAUAUUUUCGUGUUAUUGGGCAAACAUUUGAAUUUUGACAAAUUUAUGAUAUAGAGUGAAAGAGGCAAAAAGAGGACUAGCUUUUGAUGGUUUAAGUUUCACUGUGACAUUUUGAUAUUGAAAUUGAAUAUAAAUUGAGUCUUUUUUUUUUUUUUUUUUUUUAAAGGGGGGAAGGGGGGGUUCCCAAGUAUGCAAAAUUAUGGUUAAAUUCCUGGAAAUUAAAUUCCCACACAUAGCUCUGCUCCCUUAAUCUUGAAUGAAAAUUUGGAAGUCUGGGGACACUUAAUUUUGUGGAAAUUUUGAUGAGAAAAUCGGACGGGAGCAAGACAAACAACCUUGGGCUCCCAUUAAAUUUUCAUUAUUUGAGAGAGAUAGAGAGAGAGAGAGAGAGAGAGUUAUUAUUAUUAUUUUUUCUCUUUGUUAGUUUAAUCCAAUAAAAAAUUUGUUCCCUUACACUACCCCUUAUUAUAUUCAUAUUUUUAUCAACUUGUGAAUGGUUUGUGAGCUUGGAAUAAAAAUAAGAUAAUUUGUCAAUUGUUGUAUUAAAAAUCAUAAAUCCAGUAGAUGGUAAAAAUAUGCUUUUAAAAUUUGUGUGGGUCUUGUAAUUGAAUUUCUUUGGGUCCUAACGCACUUUAAAUUGUUGAAACUUAUCAAGUGAUGUGGUCGUUUCACACAUUAAAGUAGGUUUAAUUUUUCUUGAAAGAGAGAUCAUCAAGUAAAUUUGAGAAAUUUGACUGUCAGCAUAUGUGAAAUUUGUCAAAGUGUAAUAGUUAAUGUUAAAAAAAUGUUUGAAUCGGUAGAUUAUGAGGAUAGCCAAUCUAAUUGGGAAGUCUCGGCUCACUCAUUACUAUCGCUAACAUCCUUACGCAAAAAUAGAACUGUAAAAUUAUAAAGUAAAUAACUUUUUUAUUUUACGAGAAUUAUUAAGAAAAUAAGUUAUUAAUUUUAACAAUAAAUUAGCACAUGUUUAAAAGAAAAACAAAUAUAAGGUUACGGAUUUGAAAAUAUAUUUUUUAAAUUGAAAAUUUAAUCCACAACAAAAUCAUAGAAACACUACGUGUAAAUGAUCAAGAUGUCCAUUAACAUGCUCCUUUUAUGGUGAAUUUCAAUGUGUAUAUUGUGAGUAUGUCUAGACAUAAGAUACCUUAGCUAAAAAGUUGAUAAAAAUUUAAGUUUGAAAAGUCAACAAUUAACUUUAAUCACACAUUUCUUAGGAUCUUCAAUUUUUAUCAACUUUUCUAUCACACAUUUAUCGACUUUAUUAAAAUUUACUAAAAAUAUAAUUUUUAGCUAAAUCAAAUGGGGGCUAAUUCGUAUGUAGUAACAUGCAAUCCAAUGCGAACACUAGAAGUCAAUCUAUGAAUUUUCGAAGCUAUUAUACCUUUGAUUUUACCCCAAUACAAGGAAUCCACAUAAAAUCUUAAACUCAACCAAACAGGAGCUAAUUUGUAUCCAAUAGCAUGCAAUCCAACGCAAACAUUAGAAGUCACUAUAUGAAAUUUAAGAACUAUAUACCUUUAAUUUUACCCAAUACCAGAAGUAAAGCAUUCGUCCACGGCUAGCAACAAUUAAGCCCUUGUUUGAGCCACAUUUUGGGGGGAAAUCUAUUUUGGAAUAGUUUAUUUUUAGAGAAUGUGUGAUUAAAAAAUAAAAAAUAAAAGUUUUCGAUUUACGUGUAAAAUUAUUUUAUUGAAUAAUGUGUGUUUGAAAAUAAAUUUUGAAAAAAAAAUGAGUUUUUGAUAAAAUGGGGCUCAAACAAGGACUAUGUGCUUCACCAUUGCAUUGUGUCUACUUGCUUUUAUAUUGAUCUAUCCAACGAAGUAAGGCAUUAGCUCAAGAAGACUUUUCUUAGCCCCCGUUUGUUUUUCAUUUUUGGAAGAAUGAGAAUGAAAACUAUAGGCGUUAUGGGUUCCACACAAGAGAUAGAAAUUCAAAUUCGAUGGCUUGAUGUGAUGGAUAACGAUCGUAUUUUUCAUUUUAAUGAUGAAAAAAUGGAAACCAAACAGGGGCUUUAGACAGUUUGAAAUCUGAGAUAUAGCUCGCAUAAUAUUAUGCGCCAUUCAGAUAAAAGAGAGAGGGGAGGGGGAUUUUCUAGUCCCAAGAAGCCCACGUCAUAAGAUUUCAAGAACUCUUGACCUCCUUGAGCUAGUAGCUGAGCCAAUAUUAAGCUAAACUACUAAAGUUCAUUUUCAUCCAAAGCUUUAAAAAUGACAUUUGCAUUUGGUGAAGGACUAAUCGAACAAUUCCAGUGUAAUUAGUAUCAAUGAUGACAUCAAGCAAUUCCAGUGUAAUCAGCCUAUUAAAACCUUUGAAGCUUGGUGGAGGACUAAUCAAACAAGAAGAAAGUUUCAAAUGUUUCAAUAGUGAACACAUAAACAGUGAAGAAGGCAAUUUGCACCUUCAUUUUCAAAAUGAAUUCUUUAACACCUUUCUUCCAUAAGAUAUAUAUCAAGUGUUCAAUUUCAGAACCACCUCUGAGUUUUGGAAUGUAGAGAAUGAAGUCAGCAAAACUGAAUUCAAGGCUGAAGAUCAGAACCAAAAUUACAGCAACAGAUUUGGUGAAAUUAUAGCAGCAAAUCAGGAGCCUAAUCACAGCGGCAAAUUUGAUGAAAUACCAGCAGAUCAGGAGCUUAAUCACAGCAGUAGAUUUGAUGCAAUCUCAACAAAUCAGGAACGUAACAGAUGAGGAAGAUUCGAUCCUGCCAUUAUGUUAAAAUUGUAUAACUGUAAAGAUUGGUUGUAAAAUUUCUUUAUAAAUAUACUGCUGUACAUAUACAAUUGAAUUCAAUAAAAACAGAGGAAUUAAUUCCUUUACAUGGUAUCAGUAUAGCCAUCAACAGACCAACGUCUAAAUGUCUUCCUCCAAUUCUUAAACCCAAUCUCCCUCUGUUAUCUCCAUGCCUAAUAUUUCUACUAUCAAACUAACCCAGGAUAAUUACCUUCUUUGGAAGGCCCAGAUGGUAUCAUAUUUCAAAGGUUAGGACCUCUUUGGUUACCUCGACGGAACCACACCAAAACCACCGAACUCAGUUUCUGCAUCCCACCCUGAAACCAAUGUUGUUUCUGAAACACUCAAUCCGGCUUACUCUCAAUGGGUCAAGUAUGACAACCUCAUUCUUAGCACUCUCAUAUCUUCUCUUACCGAAUGAGUGCUUGCUUAGGUUGUUAAUUAUACCUCUUCCCAUGAUGUCUGGUCUGCCUUAAAUGAAACCUUUUCCUCAAAAUCUCGUGCACGCAUUGUUCAAAUUCCCACACAACUGGCCACUGCUACUAAAGGUAGUAAAUCUGCCACUGAAUACUUUCACUUCACCUUGAGGCUGGGGGACGAACUAGCAAUUGCAGGCCAGCUAAUGACACGAGAUGAUAUUAUCGCAUAUAUUCUUGCAGGUCUUGGCCAUGUAUGACAGUUUUGUGGCCUACAUUUUCGCUCGCACUAAUAGUGUGACACUUGAAGAAAUUUAUUUUCUUUUAAUAACCACAAAAGCUCGUCUUUCUCGACACCAACUCACUCCAGCAAUUCAACAAAUUCUGCCAACUUUGCUCAAUGCCAAUCACAACCAUUUGCAAGAAAUGGCCAUGGUGGCCCUCGAGGAAGAGGACGAAUCCAUCGUGGUGGCUUUAACUCUUUCAAUCGAAACAAUGAUCAUUCAUCUAUUAUCUGUCAGCUCUGUGGUAAGUCUGGACACUCAGCUCGUAAAUGUUAUCAUAAAUUUGACCUUUUUUAUCAGGAUGCUCCAAAAGACACACCCAAGCAAGCUAUGGUUGCCGUGAAUAAUGGCAAUCCUAAAAAUUGGGAGACUGAGUGGCAUGUGGAUACGGUGCAACCCAUCACCUUACAAAUGAUGCUUCCAAUCUAGACCAAUAGAACAAUGCAUAUAAUGGUUUAAAUACCGUUCAAGUGGGAAAUGGUAAAGGUUUGCACAUCUCUAAAACUGGCUCUUCUAAAUUCAAAACCCCCUCAUCCACCUUUGUUCUUAACCAAGUCCUUUUAGUUCUUGAGAUUCAAAAGAAUUUGAUAUAUGUUCAGCAAUUUUGUAAUGACAAUAACGUUUAUUUUGAAUUUCAUGCUCACUUCUUUCUUGUGAAGUAUUACUUGGGGAAGGUCCUUCACCAAGGAUAUCUCAAUGAUGGCCUCUACAGUUUCACAAACAAAACAAGUCUACCUCAAGCACACUCCAGUAUUCGAGUUUCAUUUCAUAAUUGGCAUCGUAGGCUUGGUCAUGCUCUAAUCCCAUAGUCCACAAAGUUCUCUCCACUUUCAACGUUCCAGUAGAGAAAAAUAAAUUGCACAUUGUGUGCCCUGAUUGUCAAAUGGCUAAAAGCCAUAAUUUGCCCUUUAAAUUAUCUAUGUUUGUUUCUUCAAAACCCUUGGAUUUAAUUUUUACUAAUGUAUGGGGACCUGCUUCUAUUGCUUCCACUAUUGGUGCAAAAUAUUAUGUGAGUUUUCUGGAUGAUUAUUCCAAAUUUAUUUGGUUAUUUUCUCUUAAACUCAAAUUUGAUGUGGAACAAGUUUUUCUUAAUUUCCAACAAUAUGUGGAGAAACAUUUUGAAAGAAAAUAAAAGCCAUCCAAUCCGAUUGGGGUGACGAAUAUAGGCGGUUAAACACAUAUUUUAAAAACACAGGCAUCAACCAUCAUCUAGCUUGUCCACAUACACAUCAACAAAACGGGUCUAUUGAAAGAAAACAUCGACACAUUGUCGAAGUUGGUUUGAGCAUGUUGGCACAUUCAAAUCUCCCAAUGAUCUAUUUCGAAGAUGCCUUUCAAACUGCAACUUAUGUGAUUAACAGACUUCCAACGAAUGUUUUAGACCAAAAAUCACCAUUUGAGAUGAUAUACAACCGUGUUCCUGAUUACAAAUUUAUGCGUGUGUUCGGGUGUGCAUGUUGGCCUAACUUGAGGCCUUACAAUCAACAUAAACUCAAUUUUCAUUCAAAAACAUGCAUUUUCAUUGGCUAUAGUCUUUGCCAUCAAGUGUACAAGUGUCUUGAUCUCUCUACUGGUAAGAUCUAUGUCUCAAGAUAUGUCAUUUUCGAUGAAAACCUUUUCCCCUACACUUUCAAAAAUAAACUUCAAAAUCCCAGUCAUCAUGUUUCGAACACUAUCCUUCUUCCCUUGCAAAUUAAUUCUUCCCCAUCCAUAAGUUUCAGAGAUUUGCCUCCCAAUCCGAUUCCCACAAGAAUUGAAUCUGCCCCAUUAUAUUCUACUUCUGCAGGAAUAGAUUUUGGAACCUCUUCGCACCCAGCAACCAAUGCACUUUGACUUUUCUGAUGCAUUACAAGAAGAUGAACAGCCGCUCCUACAAAUACUCAUCCCAUGCUCACCAGAUCAAAGAAUAAUAUCCAUAAGCCUCAGCAACUAAUUGAUGGCUGCACUCGGUAUCCUUUAUCGAGAGCUUUGAUAGCAGAAACAAUAACUCUGGCAAAGGAGCCAACUUCAUAUACUGAGGCCUCCAAAUCAUCUCAUUGGCGAGAUGCUAUGAAUAAAGAAUUUACUGCAUUGCUACAAAAUGGCACUUGGUCUUUGGCAUCACCUUCAACUAACACCAAUGUUGUGGGCUGUCGUUGGGUGUUUAAAAUUAAAAAGAAGGCAGAUGGAACCAUUGAACGUUAUAAAGCACGACUAGUCACUAAAGGAUUUCACCAACAAGAAGGUGUCGAUUUUUAUGAAACUUUCAGUCCAGUCAUCAAACACACAACUCUUCGGCUAGUGCUUUCUCUUUCCAUUUCUUAUAACUGGCCUAUAAAGCAAUUGGAUGUACAAAAUGCAUUUUUGCAUGGUGAGUUACAGGAGAACGUGUUCAUGUCACAACCCCAAGGCUAUAUUCAUCCACAAUAACCAAAUCAUGUGUGUAAAUCACACAAGUCGCUCUAUGGAUUGCGGCAAGCCCCAAGAGCAUGGUUCUCAAAGCUCUCUGACAAACUCAAAUCUUUGGGCUUUCAAGAAAGUAAAGCUGAUACUUCUCUUUUUAUUUUUCGAAAAUUAGCUAUUAUUACUUACAUACUCGUAUAUGUGGAUGAUAUUUUGAUAACGGGGUCAAAUUUAGAUGCAAUCACUUACGUGAUUAAAUGCUUGAAAAAUACUUUUGCUGUCAAAGACUUGGAUGCACUAAAUUUCUUUCUUGGUGUCGAGGCACUUCGGUGUUCAGAUGGAAUUUACCUCACUCAACGCAAGUAUAUUGUUGAUUUACUCAAAAGGAGCAACAUGGACAAAGCAAAACCUUGCACGAGUCCAAUGGCCCCUAAUUGUCAUCUGACUUCCACCGAUAGACAUCCUUUUGAAGAUAUAAGUCUCUACCGAAGCAUCGUAGGAAGCAUACAAUAUCUAUCAUUCACAAGGCCUGACUUAGCCUUCACAGUACAUAAAGUCAACAAAUUUAUGCAUCGACCUCUUAAUACACAUUGGAUGGCAGUCAAGCGCACAUUGUGCUAUCUUAAACACUCGGUAUCCACUGGUCUCUACAUCACCAAAGCUCCUGAUAUGAGGUUGCAAGCUUACUUAAAUUCUGAUUGGGCUGCUGAUAGAGAUGAUCGACGCUCGGUUGGUGCUUUCUGUGUCUAUAUUGGCCCCAAUUUAAUAUCUUGGAGCUGUAAGCAGCAGCCCACAGUUGCAAGAAGCAGUAUCGAGGCUGAAUACAAGACACUAGCAAACACAGCAUUCGAGCUCACUUGGAUAAAAUCUCUUCUCUUUGAACUUGGUCUUUCUCAAACACAGCCACCAGUUCUUUGGUGUGAUAAUAUUGGAGCCACUUACCUCACCUCAAAUUCGGACUUUCAUGCAAGAACGAAGCACAUAGAAAUUUAUUUUCACUUCGUACGAGAUCAAGUUUUCAAUAACCAAUUGACGGUUCAAUUUAUUUCAAGCCGAGAUCAGUUGGCAGAUGUGCUUACAAAGUCGUUACCUCCAUUAAAGUUCAAGUAUGUACUAGACAAUCUCCAUGUCCGUGAACUACCCUCCAGAUUGAGGGGGCAUGUAGAGAAUGAAGUCAGCAAAACUGAAUUCAAGGCUGAAGAUCAGAACUGAAAUUACAGCAACAUAUUUGGUGAAAUUAUAGUAGCAAAUCAGGAGCCUAAUCACGGCAGCAAAUUUGAUGAAACACCAGCAGAUCAGGAGCUUAAUCACAGCAGUAGAUUUGAUGCAAUCUCAACAAAUCAGGAACGUAACAAAUGAGGAAGAUUCGAUCCUGCCAUUAUGUUAAAAUUGUAUAGCUGCAAAGAUUGAUUUUAAAAUUUCUUUAUAUAUAUACUGCUAAACAUAUACAAUUGAAUUCAAUAAAAAUGGAGGAAUUAAUUCCUUUACAUGGAAUAAUGAGGCUCGACUUUCAUAAGAUACUGAGAUGACCUUUCAGCAUUUAAUAUCUUGUAACUAAAAGUUUUAUUGUCUGUCAAAGAAUAACAGUGAUGUUUAUCAUCACUUGGUUUUUUGCAAAGUGGCACUAUUAUAUUAUUUGUUGCAGUAAUGGCUGUAGAUUUGUUAGGGUGAGAAGGGAGGAAAAUCAUGAAUUGAAGGCAAAAUUAAUUUUUUCCCCUACUGUUUUCUCUUUCUUUGUAAUACUAUAACGCAAGGAGUGACAUUGCAGAUAGAUAUCUACAAAAGAUGGCUGCACAAGAAGGCUCGCCUAUUAAUUUUUCUAUGAGCUCGUACGCAUUAAGAUGCCGAUACCUGCUAUUUUCAUCAAUUUCCUACAAAGAUUACGGAAGCUCCUUUGAAUUUUCUGUGUUAGAAUCUAUGUGUUGGUAAUAAUUCAUUUGUUUUCUUUUAUUCCAAUUUGAAGGCGUGAUUAUCUGAAUAGAUUGUGUCCGGGCAACUCUAAUGAGAACUUCAGAUCUAAAGUUCCUACAAGAAUGUAUCUCGCUACUGGUGAUGAAUACUGUUUGUACACUAAUGAGGCACAUUUUCAAUCAAAAGAUGUCUUUUGAAUUGUUUCAGAUGCACUAGAAAAUUCGAUUUGUUGUUCUUCAUCUUGUUUCUAGAAAUUUCCGUGCUACAUUUUUGAAUGUUUCGUUGAUUGGUAUAUUUACAAGCAUUCCAAAGUAAACCUGUUUGUGAAUGUAUGGAUGAGAAGACAGUUGGAAAGUUCUCUGGGUACUUGAGUUGACUUUAUAUUCAGUUUCUCAUGAAUAGUGUUUUCACAUGUCUAUCUUUUGCUCUCAACAGAUUAUUGACAUUUAGAUUCAUAAUUUGGCACUGAUAAUAUCACUAGAUGGUAGUUUUGUAGCUUGUAUGGUAGUAUUUCUCAUCGUUCAUGGACAUUUUCAUUUAAUUGCUUCACAUCAUUUCUUGAGAACCGAAUAGGUUAGAUGAGUCAUGGUGUUGGUACAGUUGUUUGGUUUUACACGAACGGCUGGAUGGUUCAAGACAUCGUGUUCACCAACUAGCCUAGUAAAUCCGAUUGUAUUCAACUAAAGAAGGUUCAAGGCCACAAGCUACCUAUCUUGAUGCUACGACUUGUCGUGUGUACUCCGUUUGUUAGAGUCUGCAUUUCAUUUUCAUUGCAUUCGCUUUGUGUUGCGCAUAUCGAGGAAUUUCCAUUCAUGUGGGGGAUUGUUGGAUAUUGGUUAAAUAAAUUGAGAAUUGAAAAUCGAUUAAAGUUCGUAUCGAAUUCGGCCAAAUACUCAAAAGCUCGACUCAAUCCGUUUAGGCAAAAUUGUUUGCCACUUCGCCGCUUCGGGGCGCACAAACGGGGAUCGACCUGCCCGGUCAGGUCGCGAGGGUCGAGGGGGCAGCGCCCCUCGUGGGGGGUCGGGGGCAACGCCCCCGAAAGAGAAUUUUGAUUUCUCUGCAUGUAUUGAAGGGUAUAUUUGGCAUUUCGAAAACCAAUAUCGGAUGAAUGAGAAAUUACGAAAAAGACCUCAACCAUUAGUGAAUAGACACCUUUUCAUAAAGGUGCAUUGUUUGGAAAUGGUGCAUGGUUUGGUCUCAACCAUUUCGUCCACACCCCUUCAUGGUCUAUAAAUAGGACCCUUUGGGUGUCCUAUUCCUCACAGUUUGAUAUGCAAAAACGUCUCUCAUCCUUUCUUCUAUCCAAAAUCAAAAUCAUUUCAUUUAUUUUGAUUUUCUUUCAUUUCAUCUGUGGAGUACAUAAGCCUACAUUGGGUUCGUUGUACUUGUGUUUUGGAGUGCUACAAACACAAGUGUAGCCGUUGUAUCUUGGGAGUCGAUUGGCGAAAUCCGUAGGCACCGUUGCGGGGCAAAUUCGACUUAAGGACAAAGAGUCCAACUCUUGCCUCGGCUUUGUCACCAUCAUUAUACUUAUUUCGGCGUCACUUUUCACAAAAUUCUUCCAACAGAACUUGUAUCCUCGUGAAUUCAAUUUUUCUUUUCAUCAUUUGCUACUGCCAUAACAGUGACUAAUAUGGAUAAUUGUUAACGUGCCUUUGCUUUUCCUUAGGAAAACAUUGCAUGAUACUUGCAAUUGUCUUUACACCUGUAUAUGACUUAAAAAAUCUUCAUUUUGUAUGUGAUGUCUCAGGUUUUUGGAGACUUUGCCAUUGAAAAACGGUGCAAAACUUGGCGUCUUGAGGUCUGUUCCUACUCACUUUGAUCUCAAAGCUGUAUUCUAUCCUUCUGGUCUACAUGUAUAACAUGGAUUAAACAGCAAUUUCAGAUUGCGCGAUUGAUGUAUGAAGUUGAUGGAACAGGGUUCUCCAAAUCAUGGAUUUGACGCUCUAAAAGCACCUAGCUCUAGAUGAGUCUGUUGAAGAAGUUUUGGAAGUCCUGCAGGAAUAUGCUCGAUUAGUCCAAGGACUGUGGGUUCCAAAGAGUUCGCUGGGACAUGGAACAGAUUCAGGAAUUGAAGUUUUAGCCAGGGACUAUGUUCUUCUAUUGUUUAGAAAGAAUCCACUAGGUUAACGACUGACAAAGACCUCAACGUCCUCAACUUCCUAAAGCAAUGAAAGAUGUCCUAAAUGUAUUGGCGUUGAGAGACCCACCCUCCUUCAGUGAUUGGCAACUCAGAGAUCUUCUUGAUCGAAGAUUCAUAAAACUCGAUCCUAUUGUUGCAAAGAAAUAAGAAGAAGAAUGGGAAUCCUUGGAAAAGAAGAUAAAUGAUCUUCUGUUUGGAGGAAGAAACGGACCUGGUACAAAGACUUCUUCAAAGUCUAAUGUCAUGAACAAUCCGGUCACGUCAAUGAGUUCCAGUAAAUUAGCUCUCAAAACUCCAAAUGAGGCAUCCUUGAGGACGCCAAUGCCAAAAGAGACUCGAGAAGCUUUAAUGAAGGCCCUUCAGAAACUUUUAAAAGGCAUCAAGGUUUGCAGGUGAGAUCACUUUAUUACAUCAAGCCUUUAGUUUCAAAUAGUAGUUAUAUGUGGUCAUAUUUUUUAUUGAAGAUAGUUAUCGUCACUGCAUUAAAAGUAUUCUAAAUCACUAGGUCACAGUUAUAUUGCAUUUUAUUUGAUUAGUAUUUGACAAUUUUCUUUGCAUGCAAUAAGUGUUGCUGUGACCUUGACAUUCAUGGCCUGGCUCAUUAAAAAAAUUGAGACACAGUAUAGUAAGUAGAAGAGAUGAGGAAGACGAGUGGUCUUGUGAAUUAGUUCUCUGCUUGCACUUAGGACACUAGUAUGAUUACAUUUUUGCAUUAACUGGGCUGGAGCAAUUGACACUGUUUAACAAAAUGCCAAUGGACCAUAUUUAAACAUUUUUUGCUAUUAUUACUUUUGUAUUACUUAUAUUCUCAAUGCAAACGCAAAGAAACUAGUUUGAAUUUUCUUAUUUAAUCAAAAUUUAAUUAAGCUAAUGUGCCCUUUAAUCUAGGAAACAUAACUUCACGCUUAGAGUGUUAUGGUUAUCCCGUGGCAGUUUAGUUUGAUUGUCAAUAGAUAAAAUUUUACUUGGCGCUGUGUAUGCCAGUUUUCAACAAAUUUGCCAGCGUUUGAGGGACUUGGCAGAUUCUGAGUCCGCCCGUUCGAGGGGAUUUGCCAAAGAGACAGUUGCUGCAGCAAACAGCAUUUGUGCUUUUGCUGAUGAGCUUCAGGCAAUCAUUAGUCGAUUUGCAUUUAAUAUUCAUGGUGUCUAUGUUCCAAAAUUACUCCAGAUCAUCCACAAUAUGAUCCAUUCAGGUUACACCUGCCUUCAUUUAUUUUGGUUCUAGAACAUUGAUAUUUUUCUUUUAUUAAGUUCUCUUUAUAAGAAAGGAUCACCAUUUUAUAUUGUUCAUUAUUGAUUUGUGGUUCUUUCUCUUCCAGGAAGGUUGUCAUUGAUCUUCUUAUUGCUGAAGGACCAAAAGCAAAACUCAAAGAGGUUCCCAUAGUCGAGGCUGCUAAGAUGGAACUUAAAAGGGAUAUACCUCAGAUUGGAUAUCAGAAGGUCAGAGUCAAGCUUACAGAUUAAUUAUGACGAAAUUGUAAUUAGGUGUUGAGAUCAAACACGCUCUCUCCUUGACACCAUUCAGGCGAACUUACUAAUUCCUGAAAUUUUUUUAAUUAGGUUUUGAUUAAUUUUUGAGGCCUUACGAAAGCACAAACAAGAUUGAGAAACUGAGGAGAUUGUCACAGGAGAUAUAGGAGAUUUCCACUCUCAUUGUGUGGGGGUGUGUGGUUGAGAGGGAGGUAGCCCUAUUUGCCUUGCCCUUAAUCUGGCAUCUAUCUUACCUGCCUAUCAUGACAGCUUCCAAUGUUUUUCCUUCCUAUGAAAGAUUCUUAAGCGUUUCACAACCUUUGUCACUCACUUCUUUUAAAUGAGCAGUAAGGACUUAAUCUAGCAUUAUUCUCAUGAGAGGAAGCUAAGCAAUGGAAUUAUAAAGCAGAGAAAUGUGUAGUGAAUAUACUUUUGAGAGCUGGUGAUAUGUGAUGUGAGGAAAGAUAUAUUAUGCUUGCUCCUAGAAGUUUCCCCAUGCAUAUGCUCUUAAAAUUCCCUCAAUAAUUUAGAAUACUCUUAGUGACCACCGAGCUAAUUUUCUGAUUCUCGUGUGAAUGUCUCAAGUCAGACCUCCUUGUGGGAAAAAUAUAUAUACACAUGGUUUCCUGAGCACACAGUCUUAUAGUUUCUUAUAAGCUUCCUAUGCCGAACCUUAGUUACUGGGAAAAGAACGGGGAUAUAUUUUUCUGGUCAUGUCCUCUUCACUGUCACUCUUGGUAUGUUCCAGCACUUCAAGAUAAAUAUUAAUUGACCUUUUGAGCCUCUUGUCCUCUUCCCUAUUAUCGUCGAUGGAAGCCUCAAUGACUUAUUUGUGAUAAAUUGCUUGCUAAUUUAGGUUAUGUAUUCCCUUAUGUGCUGCAGGUUUUACAGGAACUAUGUCUAUCACAAGGUUUUGAAUGGGUCCUUAAAAGUGGCGAUGGAAAUCCACAAAAGUAAAGUUCAUGCAACCAAAUUCUACGUUAGUCUACGAGGUAAGAAUUAGCAUAUUUACUAUGUAUUACGAUAAGUAAUAAAGUAGACACAUCUCACCACAAGACUUAAUGGAAAAUUUCUAAAUUGCAUGAAAUUCUUGAGCUUUGUGUUCAAGAAAGAAAAUCUCUGCUUAUUCUGUUUACAUGGAUCAUUGUGAUCUGUUGUUGUUUGUCUGAAUUUACCCUUAAGUGCCUUGGUAAUCGAGUUGAUGUGAUGUCUGAGUUUUGCAGUUUGAAAAGAGGAUUUACAUCGUUCCUUGAAGUUAUAUCAGUGCAUAGCAUCAGUUUAAAUCAUCCUUGAAUAUUGCCUAAUUGAUUCUCAUCACAUAUUGGAAUUUGAAAAGUUAAUAGGUCUGUUUAAUGUAAAUGCAGAAGUACAUAUACACAGAACAAGGAAUGUGUGUUUAUAUAUACGUAUUUGUGUUUAAACUACUAUUAAGAUGGCUGAGGUACAAAAGUCAUUUGUUGAAAAUGGUAAGGAACCUGUUUCUUUGGAAGCAGCAAGGGAUGUAUUCUUGAUAUCUCGAGUGGCUCUUUGAACAUUCAACCUUCAGUGCAGCUAUGAUGAUUUAAAAUAUACAAAGGAUACCAAAUACACUGGGGAUGAGUGUUCCAUGUAAUUAAACACAUUAAUAUAUACCAUCAGAAAUAAUAUUUUGUUAAAUAUAUAUGAUUUCAUGCUGCUACAAUAUUGUAUCCAUCUGUUAUCAUUAAUUCUUUUUCCCUUUAAAAUGUUCGGCCUUAUUGUCACUUGUCAAUACCGUGGUUCAUCCAAACAAUUCAUAUUUGAUAUUGACGAAAAUGAAAAAUUAUAAUGACUUGCAAAUGUAUUAAUUCUCUUAAAUGAAUUAAAGAACCUUAGUGCUACAACCUUACUCGUGGUCGUGGUUGUCGUAUUCAAUUUAAUUUUGUGCACCCAACCCUUGUACCUAAGUCGAAGUGAUGCAGUAGACACCUCGUGCUAUCAGAAUUUUCUUACGAGUGCCUUUGGAAAUUAAACCUUAUAUGUGGUAUCGUGUUUGCAGGUGCUACACCAUUAUUAUACUUCUCUGCCAACUUUAUUUAUUCACUAUCUGGAAUUCUAUUUGGCCGGAUUAGGUCACCAGAGUAUGAUUUGCUAUCUAGCAUGAUCUUGUAUGGAGUGAUGAUCUCAGACCAUAGGAAGGCAGGCAAGAUAAAGAAAAAGACAAUAGAUCUCGAAAUUUAACUUCCUUUACAUAUAUGGUUAUUCAUUGUACAGCUAAAUUAGUCUCUAAGCCAAGGAUCGAUGAGUCUUUUCCUUGUGUUGGCUAUUGGUUGACUGGGCAUUGUAAGAAUCUUUUUAGAGGGUAAUUUUUCAUGUCCAUUGCUUCUAACGGCUCUUCUCUCAACAUUGAUAUAGGGUAUAAUAUUGAAAUGUUGUGAACUCUUUAAGUCCCUCAAAGAAACCCAAAUGUCGAGUUGUUUAAUGGCUUGUUUGGUUGGACUUUGAAAAAGUCAAAGCUGUUUAUAAGAUUAUCGAUGUUUUUGGAUAAUUUUUAGAAAAUGAUUUGACUGGUUUGAUGAGCCUUUUAAAAUUGAUAACUUUUUACAAGUAAAAGUCUUGUCAAACAGGUGUUAAAGUAUAAGUCCUGUUAAUUGAGUUGAGUGAGGAUUAGUUUGUUAUACUAAAAUGUGCUUUUUAUAAUAAAAAGUGGACUAAAGUAGAUCAUGAUAAAUUGAUCUAUAAACAGCCCAUCUAACUUUAAAAAAAUCGAGUCAUUUUUACAUUGACAUUCAGUGCAUGUUUGGGAAAGUUAAACGGUUGAUUUUGUUAAAAGAAGUGGAAGGUCUUUUGAAAUGAGUGGUGGAAAAGAGAGUAAUACUGGUGAAUUUUGUGUAAUGUAAGAUUACUAUUAAGGGUGGUUAUAUUAUCAUCACAAUAAAUGUUUGGUACCCUAUAAUUUUCUUAUUUAUUUUAAAAAAUCACUAGUAAAAUGACAUAAGUACCCUAUCUUUUAUUCACUAAUAUAUUUAUUCAUACAAUCACUAUCAUCCGCACACAAAAAAAUACCUAAAGUCCUAUUUAAAGAUACAAAUGCCAAGAUCAAAAGAUCCAAGAUUGAAGAAAAGAGCAAGAAAUUUUAGGAUAUGGUAUAGGCAUUUUAGAAUAUUUAAUCUAUUAUUUUAAAAGUUCGCUAUAUUUUUCUGAAGAAACUCGUCAUUAUUGUGGAACAUGCCAUUAUACAACCUGCAAGAGGCAUUGGAUUUGGAGGCUAAAUGUUAUAACCCAUUCACUUAUAGUCAAAGUCAGGAAAAUUAUUUAGUCAAAGUCCAAAAUUCAAUUGGUUAAAGUCAAUUUCAAAUAGGGAUUUAAAUGAAAUAAAUUAUUUUAUUAGGGUUUAAUUUAUUAUGAAAAAUAGUUAAAGGUUUAAAAUGGAUAAAACUUAAUUUUAGGGAUCUACUUAUAUAUUAUUGGAAGUAAAGGACUAGAUGUUAUAUUAAAUUGAAGAAUAAGGACUUCCUAUGCAAAAAUGGGUUGUGGAGUGCAUGUGGCAAGUAAUUAACCCAUUACCAUUUUCAUAUGAUAUAUACAUACGGAGAGAUGAGGCUGGAGAUGGGCAGAAGCAAGAAAAACCAAGAAAGAGAAGGAAAAGGAGAAAAAGAAAGGGAGAGAGAGAGAGAGAGAGAAAAGGAGAAGAAAAGGAAGUGGGUCUUCAAGCUUGGAUUCUCCAUUUCUUCAUUGAUUUAGAGAGGUGGGUGUAAGUAGGAUGAGUUAUCUUUUUGAGUUUAUGGAAAUUUUCUAAAAUUUAAGGUUUAGCAAAAUUAAUGAUUGUUGAUAUAUGUUUGAGGCAUUAAAAACAACAAUAAUAUUAGUGUUGAAAGGAAGGAAAUGUGAAAUGGGUUUGUAAAUUAGAGUUCCAAUCUUUGAAUUAUUGUGUUUACACUUGAUUUAUGAUGAAUUAGAGUGGUGAAAAAAUAUUUAGGUUAGAUUUUGGUAUUUAUAAUAAAUUUUCGAGCAAAAUUCAUGUGCAGUUGCUAUUCAUGAAAUUCUGCCCAGAAAAGUGCCAUUUCUGUCAAUGGUUUUGAUGCCAGAUUUUAAUAUGCAGAAAUUGGUGCCAGGUUUCAAUUUUUUGGGAUUUUAGUGCUGUUUUUGACAAAACUCUUUUUUUUUUUCAGAUUUUUAAAGGCUUCAAUGAAGUUAUAUGAUAAGUAUUGAGGUUUAUGUAUUGGAAUAAAUUAUGUAUAGGGCUUGUAAAUGUAUAAGUUAAUGAUUUUAAGGAAGUGUGGUAAUUUAAUAGAUUUGAUAAUGCAUGGUGUUUAGUCGAUGAAUUAAUAAAGAGAAUAAAAGUUGGGGAUUAGAGAUGUAAGAGUAAAUAUAGAAGUUGAGGAGUUAAGUGGUGGAAUUGUAUUGAUUUAAUUGUCAAGUUUCAAUUUGAGUAAUUAUUAUACCGUUAUUUCAGGUAGUGACGUGAAAACUUGAAAAGACUUGUCAAUUUAGCUAGAUUUCUAUCCAUAAAUCUGUGAAUGGAAAAAAGAUAAAUAUUUUUAAAGUAUUUAUAAAUUAAGUAUAUUGUUAAAGUAUGUGCAAUUAUGUUCUCGAAGUAUAUGGUUAUUAUGAAAAUAUCUUUUAUUACGAUACAUGUGAUAUUUUAAAGAUUGUAUAUGGUACAUUGUGAAUUGGAAUAUCAGAUAUGAUUUUGAAAUCGACCAAAAAAGUACCCGUGAUUAUAUAUUUCUUCUAGUUCACUGAGGAGCCUUGGCCAUGUUCUAUACUACACUGAAGGGUUUUGGACCGGGGAUGAAAGAGUCUCGACCGUAUACAUAGGGUUGCACAAAAAAAAUAUGAAACCGCAAAUCGAACCGAAACCGUUGAGUUGAAACCAUUGGUUCGGGUCCACAUGGACCCAUGGUUUCUUUUUCGUCAAACCGAACCAAACCGUUUCAAAAUAGUUUGAUUUAGGUUUUGAUUUUCAAAAAUCGCACAAACUGAACGGAACCGUUUUUAAAUUUUUUAAUUAAAACAUUAAUUUUAUUAACUUAAAAAUUUUACAGUUUUUUCUAUUUCUUUUUAAAUAUCAAUUUAGUAAUACAAAUUAUAACCAACUUAUUGAAAUAAUCAUAAAAAGUAAAUUAUGUUCAUUAUUAUUGACCUAUGAUUUAACAGGUUCACAACAAAUGUCUUACCCGAUAUCUAAACUAAACUAAAAUUAUUUCAAAAUCAUAUGAAAUGAAGAAAAAACACAUAUUUUCACAAUCCAAAUCAUGAUUCAACAAAAUUACGUAAGUAAAUCACGCCCAAAACUUUAGAAGCCCUAACAUAAACUCUCAUUUUUCUAACAUUUGAUGCUUUUCUGCCACUGUUGAACGAUUACUAAUUGCAUUUGUCUGUUUCUGUUAGUCUACUAAUCUCUUCCUGAGUCGUCUCUUUCUCUCUUCUCGUCUUAGAUUCUUAUUCAAUCCAUUUUUCCAUUGUUCUUUCUUUUAUUUUAUUUUUUUGAACUUAUUAUAUAUUUAUGAGUUCUGGUUUGGAUAGAAAAAUGAUUAUUCGUGUGCCUAGUUGAUUAAUGAACUUGUUUGUGAUUUGGAAAAAACAAAAGACGGAAUGUAUUGAUUAUAUGAAAAUGUUAAAGAUCCCUAACUAGUGUUACUACCUUCUACUUUCAUAAAAUAGUUAGAGGAUAAAAUUCCUCAAUUUUCAAUAAGUCAAAAAUCAAUCAAUCCUUGUACAUCUAAAGAUAUCACGUUCAAUUCUUAUUUUACAUCUCACUAGCAGGACGAAAGGAAUUUUAACCAAACUAUAAUAACAAAAUGUAACUCUACCUUUACCAAUAGUUAUAUGACAAUGCGAAUGUCAAAUAAGAAAAGAUAAAUAAAAAUGAAGAAAGAUGUAUUUGUUCUAUUAACAUCUUUUAGAAAACAACUUUGAAAAUAAUUUAUUCAUGGGUUUCAUAGUAAUUAUAAAUGUAAUUUAGCAUUUAACAUAAUUAGUUAUUGUUUAAACUUAUAUUUAACUUACGUUAAAUACAUUACUAUAAUGUCGAAAAGUAAACCGCAGAUUAAAACCGAACCAAACCGCAAAUUAUGGUUUGGUUUGGUUUGGUUUGAUUUGAAAAAAUUUCAAACUGCAUAAAAUGGUUUGAGUUGAAAAUAUAGCACAAACCACUCAAAUCGAACCGCGAUCACCCCUACAUGUACAUAUAGUUCACUGACGGGCCUUGACCGUGCUCUAGAAUUGAUUAUGAGAGGUCUUUGAGAUCAUCUUUCGUUCAUGGAGGGAGUCAAACGCUCGUGGUAAAAGUUCUUAGACCGAGGGGCGGAUUACAUAUUUCAGCCAGAGGGUACAUUUUUAGUGAAUUUUUCAGUAUGCUUGAUGUGCUGAGAUUAUAGCGUGGUUAUCAGCUGAUAUUUAUAUCAUGAUUUUGAGAUGAUAUUUUACAAUGUUAUGUGAAUGUUUCACUUUUAGUUAUAAUUACAUAAUGUUAUCUUGUGAAUUAUUAAAUGAUAUGAACUCGAUUUUUGAUAGAAAUGUAAAAUUGAAUAAGUAUAAUUAUUUUUGAACUUCUUCAUUCACUGAACUAUCAACUCAUAUAUUUUCCCACAAUUUUUCCUAUAUGUAGCAAUUGAUUCUUUUUAACUGAAGAGCCUAAUGAUUUUGGAAUGAGAGCCACACAGUAUGUUGAAUAUUAUAACUCAUAUUGAUGAAACAUGAAGUAAAUAUUUUGGGCCCAUCGCAUUAUGUUUUACAUAAGUAUUUGAUUUUGUUGCAUUUUUUUUGAAAUAACUCAUAGUCAGCCUUGGUGAUAGAUUUGACAUCUAGUCAACAUUUAUCUUCGGUGCACGUCUCGUCUCGUCUCGGGUUCACUAAGGUGAUUCGGGACGUGUCGUGUCAGAGUGGUAUCUAAGCAUGGUUUUGAAAAUUUUUAUGAUUUAUGCAUGCUCAGUGGGUAUGAUCACAUGUCGUGGUGACAGAAAUCAUAAGCUCUCUAACUCAAAUGUAUGAAACCAAAAAUAAUAGAAAAAUAUUUUUUUAACUGAUUUAGAAACGACUCGUAUGUAAGUAUGGUAGUUGUAAUGAUCUAAUGGUUGGAAAUGAUAUUAGCUAUUGGGUUGAAACUAUGUGUGUAUGUAACCUAUUAAGAUUUGAACAUAUUGUGAUGAUUUUGUAGGGCAUUUGAAGUUACAGAUAUUACAACCACUUAAUUAUCAAUUUAUUUGUAGAGCUACAUGAUUAUUUUUAUGAGUACAUAGGAAAUUUUUUAGCUAUAGCUUGCACGAUAAAUACAAGGAAAUGAUAUGAUGUGUAAUCAGUGACAAUCAGUGGGGAAUUUUAAUUAUUCUUGAAGCCAAAUGGUUAUUAGUGUUAUCAAAUUUUGUGGUGAUUUAAGGCCACUUUAAUGGGAUGAUAAUAGAAAUCAUGAUGAUGUAUAUUUAUGCUAUAUGAUAAGGAAUUGUGGAAGACAAAAUGAUAAUUUGUUGAUUGAUAGAUAACAAUGUGUUAUUGUAUACUUUAAGCAUCAAGGAAAUUAACGGUAAUUUCAAUUAUUUAUGAGUAGUUUGAUUACAAGGAAUGUGAGAAUAAUAGAGAUGAACUUCACAAUGUUUACCUAUUAGGGGGUGAUUUGUUUAUUUAAAAAUAGAAUUAAUUGGAUAUGUGCAUUUAGGUAUGUUUAUGUGAAAAAAAAAUUGAAAUUGAGAAUGGUAGAAUUGAAGUUUGUUGAGAUUGGGAAAUUAACAUGCGAUAUAUUGAUAUGUGAAAUGUUCAAGUGAUAAAUAUGAAGGUUAUCAUCUUGUGAUAUUAAGGGAAAUUUAUAUAAUUAAAUGUUUUAGGUCAUACAAUAUGACGAUAAAUGCUAAGGUUACAAGAUCAUAACAUGAUAUGGUGAAUAGCAUGAAAAUGAAUGUAAUGGUUGUCCUAUAGCAAAGUAAUGUGAUGAUUUAUUUGGGUUAUUUAAGUUAACAAAUUUUGUUAAGGCCAUUUGUUGAUUAUUGUGUUACAUUUCAUACAAUUUGGAAGCGUUGAGUUAAAUUUUGAAGUUAAGAUGAAUUUAUUGAAAUGUUAGUAUGUAAAUUUUGGGCUAUUUUUAAUUGUAUUUUGGAUCAUGAACAAAGUAUUCAAUUUUUGUCAAAAUAAAUUUGUUAAGGAAUAUAAGUAGGACAUGUUAGCUAUGUCUAAAGUUUAAGAUGAUCAUCAAAUAUAGAUUUUACUCAUUGUGAACUAGUAUCUUUUGGUUACAUUAUCUUAAUUAAAGGUCUUUAUGUGAUAUACAAAAAAGAUUAUGCAUUGACGAUAGAUCAACGAUCUAUUUAUGAAAUAAGAGUAUAGAUUUUUAUGGAUCAAAUGUUAUUAUUGUCUCUUUAUAAAAAGAAAGAACAAAAUUUGUAUGUGUAUAGAAAUGUCAAAAGUUUUGCUAUCAGGAAAUAUUGAAAAAAUAUUUGCUCUUAUAUCUAAAGAUGAUAAGCGAUUGAUUCACGAUAAUGAUUUAUGUUAUGGUUUAGAAAUUGUUUUCUAAGUGGAAUGAUAAAAUAUGGAUUAUGUUGUAGAUUGAUAAAGAGAUAUGAUUAAAUCAUGAUAUAUGGUUGAUUAUAUUGGGAUUGACAUUUAGGAAUUGUGGCGUUAUCACAUGGUGGGAAGAUCAAUACUUACGGACCACAUGAGUUUAAGGAAUAUUUAUAUUUAAAAAGGAGCCGAACUUAAAGCUAUGUAUUUAUUAUCGUUAGGUGAUAAAAUGAAAAGUUAAAAAUAUCACAUAUUUAUAUUAGGAUGAUAUUUAAGGUAUCGGUUCAACAUGUAUUUCAUAUGUUCGGUGGUUAGUAAAUGGACGUCAGAUUUAACUAAUGCUAUAAGAUCAUCAGUGGAGUUGGUUGAAAAUCUUACAUAUGAAGAAAAAUCAAUUCGGAUCUUGGAUAGGAAAUGAAUAGAUUUUGUGCAGAAAGUCUAUUCCGCUAGUUAAAGUUUGUUUGGAAAAAAAAUAAUAAUAAAAAAUAGAGGCUUCAUGGGGCAAGUAUUCAAAUAUAUGCUCUAUAUCUUUGUGCUCGAAUCCUAAUUGAUUGAAUUUCGAGGACGAAAUUCUUUGAAGGGGGUAAGAUUGUUAUAACUCACUCACUCAUAGUCAAAGUCAAGAAAAUUAUUUAGUCAAAGUCCAAAAUUCAAUUGGUCAAAGUCAAUGUCAAAUAGGGAUUUAAAUGAAAUAAAUUAUUUUAUUGGGAUUUAAUUUAUUAUGAAAAAUAGUUAAAGGUUUAAAAUGGAUAAAACUUAAUUUUAGGGAUCUACUUAUAUAUUAUUAGAAGUAAAGGACUAGAUGUUAUAUUAAAUUGAAGAAUAAGGACUUUCCAUGCAAAAAUGGGUUGUGGAGUACAUGUGGCAAGUAAUUAACCCAUUACUAUUUUCAUAUGAUAUAUACAUACAGAGAGGUAAGGCUGGAGAUGGGCAGAAGCAAGAAAAACCGAGAAAGAGAGAAGGAAAAGAGAGAAGGAAAAGGGGGGAGAGAGAGAGAGAGAGAGCGAAGAAGAAGAAGAAGAAGAAGAAGAAGAAGAAGUGGGUCUUCAAGUUUGGAUUCUCCUUUUCUCCAUUGAUUUAGAGAGGUGGGUGUAAGUAGGAUGAGUUAUCUUUUUGAGUUUAUGAAAAUUUUCUAAAAUUUAAGGUUUAGCAAAAUUGAUGUUUGUUGAUAUAUGUUUGAGACAUUAAAAACAACAAUAAUAUUAGUGUUUAAAGGAAGGAAAUAUGAAAUGGGUUUGUAAAUUAGAGUUCCAAUCUUUGAAUUAUUGUGUUUACACUUGAUUUAUGAUGAAUUAGAGUGGAAAAAAAAAAAAUUAGGUUAGAUUUUGGUAUUUAUAAUAAAUUUUCGAGCAAAAUUCAUGUGCAGGUACUACUCAUGAAAUUCUGACCAAAAAAGUGCCAUUUCUGUCAAUGGUUUUGAUGCCAGAUUUUAAUAUGCAGAAAUUGGUGCCAGGUUUCAAUAUUUUGGGAUUUUAGUGCUGUUUUUGACAAAACUCUUAUUUUUCAGAUUUUUAAAGGCUUCAAUGAAGUUAUAUGACAAGUAUUGAGGUUUAUGUAUUGGAAUAAAUUAUGUAUAGGGCUUGUAUAUGUAUAAGUUAAUGAUUUUAAGGAAGUGUGGGUAAUUUAAUAGAUUUGAUAAUGCAUGGUGUUUAGUCGAUGAAUUAAUAAAGAGAAUAAAAGUUGGGGAUUGGAGAUGUAAGAGUAAAUAUAGAAGUUGAGGAGUUAAGUGGUGGAAUUGUAUUGAUUUAAUUGUUAAGUUUCAAUUUGAGUAAUUAUUAUUCCGUUAUUCAGGUAGUGACGUGAAAACUUGAAAAGACUCGUCAAUUUAGUCAGAUUUCUAUCCAUAAAUAUGUGAAAGGAAAAAAUAUAAAUAUUUUUAAAGUAUUUAUAAAUUAAGUAUAUUGUUAAAGUAUGUGCAAUUAUGUGCUCGAAUUAUAUGUUUAUUAUGAAAAUAUCUUUUAUUAUGAUAUAUGUGAGAUUUUAAAGAUUGUAUACGGUACAUUGUGAAUUGGAAUAUGAGACAUGAUUUUGAGAUCGACCAGAAAAGUACCCGUGAUUAUAUAUUUCUUCUAGUUCACUAAAAGGUCUUGGCCGUGUUCUAUACUACACUGAGGGGUCUUGAACCGAGGAUGAAGGGGUCUCGACCGUGUACAUAUAGUUCACUGAAGGGUCUUGGCCGUGUUCUAGAAUUGAUUAUGAGAUGUCUUUGAAACCAGCUUUCGUUCAUGGAGGGGGCCAAAGGUCCGUGGCGAAAGUUCUUAACCCGAGAGGCGGAUUACAUAUUUCAAUUAGAGGGUACAUUUUUGGUGGAUUUUUCAGUAUAUUUGAUGUGAUGAGAUUAUAGCGUGGUUAUCAGCUGAUAUUUAUAUCAUGAUUUUGAGAUGAUAUUUUACGACCUUAUGUGAAUAUUUCACUUUUGGUUAUAAUUACAUGAUGUUAUCUUGUGAAAUAUUAAAUGAUAUGAACUCGAUUUUCGAUAGAAAUGUAAAAUUGAAAAAGUAUAAUUAUUUUCGAACUUCUCCACUCACUGAACUAUCAACUCAUAUAUUUUUCCACGAUUUUUUCUACAGGUAGCAAUUGAUUCUUUUUAGCUGGAAGAGCCUAAUGAUUUCGGAAUGAGAGCCAUACGGCAUGUUGAAUAUUAUAACUCAUAUUGAUGAAACAUGAAGUAAAUAUUUUGAGUCCAUCGCAUUAUAUUUUACAUAAGUAUUUUAUUUUGUUGCAUUUUUUUGAAGUAACUCAUGUUAGCCUUGGUGAUAGAUUUGACAUCUAGUCAGCAUCUAUCAUUGGCGCACGUCUCAUCUCGGGUCCACUAGGGUGAUUCGGGACGGGACGGGUCGUGUCACUAAAGGACAGCAUUUAGAAAUGGAUCAUUGCAUGGAUCGUGAUAUCCCAUUUGCUGAAGAUUGGAUAAAAGUUAGAGAUAUUUGUAAACUUGUUCAAAAUGUAUAUGAUGUUGCUGAAGUUCUUUUCGAGACAAAACAUGAUAGUGCAGGCAUCUAUGUUCACAAAUUUCAAGAAUUACAAGCAAGUUUUAUAGAAGAAUCCAGAAAUUCAGAUAAAUUUGUUAGAAUCAUAGCUCGGAAGACACUAAAGAAGUUUGAGAAGUACUGGAAGAACAUGUUCCUUGUACUAACCGUUGUUACGGUUUUGAAGCCUCAAUAUAAAAUUAAGUAUAUUGAAUUUUCUUCCUUGAAGUAUGAUACUAGUUCUAGUAUAUCAGAAGUGACAACCAUUUCAAAGUCCAUUCACUCGCCUUAUGAUGAUUAUGUUACUAGCAAAACCAGAUAAGAAUAUACAUCAAAGAAAGAUGCAUACACCUAAAUGUUGGUUUUAAUUGUUGAGAUGAGUAUAACCAGUUUAUCCAAUCUAAUAGUCAAUCUCGAUCCCUAGGCAAGAGCUUGAAUGCUACUUGGAAGAACUUGUCGUGCCUUGGAGCAAAAAUUUCAGAGUGCCAUCACGGUGGCAAUCUGUGAGCCCCAAAUAUCCUACCAUGUCCAAAAUGGCUCGUGGAUCUCUGCACAUAAAAUGUUGAUAUUUCAUGUCCAAAAGAACAAAAGAUCCAAAGAUUAUUGAGCCAAUGGAUGAAGGAAAUGUUGAUAUUCCAUGUCCAAAAGAACAAAAGAUUCAAAAAUUAUUGAGCCAAUGGAUGGACGAAGAAUGGUUGGGGAAAAAUGAGGAGUAAUUUUGGGACGGAGAAUACAAUACUAUUAUUAUUAUUAUUAUUAUUAUUAUUAUUAUUAUUAUUAUUAUUAUUAUUAUUAUUAUUAUUAUUAUUAUUAUUAUCAUCAUCAUCAUCAUCAUCAUUAUUAUUUUCAUUUUUAGUUCUUUUUGGGGUUAAGACUAUAAUUGUAAAUUUGUUAUGGCAUUUUUAUUGGAAACAUGUUAUUAUUGUGGUGGUGUUAUAAUGUGUGUAGCAAGUAAAAUUUGUGGUGGCAAUAUAAUUACCCUAAUGUUAAUUGUUACUUUUGAUCCCAUCUUUUUAAUCUUUUUCAAACAAGCAUUUGCCUAAUUUUUUUAAUUAAUUAGACAAAUAGUCAAGUUGAAUAUGGUCUUUACUAUUAAAAAAAUGUAAAUAAACAAUAAUUAUUUUUCAUAAGACUAAAUUCUCCAACUCAUAAAAGGAAUGGCAAUACGACAGGUGAUUUUCCUUGUCUUUUGUCGCGUUGGAUAUUCUUGGGUAGAGGAUAGGAAAUUAGGAAUAGGGAAUUUGCUACUCUAUUUACUCAAUUUUCUAAUAUCAAAUUUCAAAUAUGAUUUAAGUUUAAAAACAUAAAUAUACAUAUAAAACUAAGAGUCUGAACAAGUAUGAAGUGAGUAAAAUGUUCUCAGUCCCUAUAUCGAUUUUCUAUUCGAUGGGACGUAACAAGACAUUUGCUGUCUUUGCCCAUAAAGAGCUUUUUAUAUUCUAAAAAAAAAAAGUCAUUUCCUCACUGUCAUUUAAAAGUAAAUAAGAUUAUUCAUAGUUGCUUACUAUUAGUAAUUGCUCUACGUGAAAGUUUGUUAUUUGAGACAUUAAUUUUUUAUAAUUUUAUUUCGUAAAACCAACCUUUCAUUCUUUAGCAGAGCUCUCUCUCUCCACCAUUUCAUUCAAUUUGAUAAUAAACUCAUCCUUGUCGAGGGUUAAAAUUAAAUUUUUAGUUUAAUUUUGAUAAAAAUUGAUGUUUAGAGCUCAUUUUCAUCUUAUUUAUGGACAAUUUUUAAACGUUGCACAGUACAAAACCUUUAUCGUGAGGGAUCUAUACCCUAGGCUGGCAGCUCUGUUUCUUUAUUUCUUAUUUCUGAUACCCAAUUGACAACGAUUAGUCAAAGUGAACCUGGAAAAGUGAAAAAACAAUGCAUGGCUUUUGUUUGGAGCAAUUCGCGUUCACAUUUCAAGAUAGGGGUAAAAUUGGAAGUUGGACAUAUAUAUGCAUAACACCAUUUGGACUAGCUUUCACAUGGUGGGCCACAUGAUGUGAUAGAAGAAUGCAUUUUUUCCACAAUAAAGGCGUCCAAACGUUAGCUUUCACAUGGUGGGCCACGUGAUGUGAUAGAAGAAUGCAUUUUUUCCACAAUAAUGACGCCCACACGUCAAUAAUGGCGCCCAAACGUCCAUUAUUGUAGAAAAAAAUGGAUUCUUCUAUCACAUCACAUGGUCCACCAUGUGAAAGCUAACGUUUGGGCGCCAUUAUUGUGGAAAAAAUGCAUUCUUCUAUCACAUCAUGUGGCCCACCAUGUGAAAGCUAGUCUAAAUGGUGUUAUGCAUAUAUAUGGUCAACUUCCAAGUUUAAAAAAAGGUGGAACCUCAACCUUGAGGGGCUUCACUGCCUCGCUCUUGGAGUAUCGUGAGGGAGGUAAAUUGCGGGAUGUGCCCCAACAGAUCAGGGAACAAGAACUUGUCCGUACACUGGUGCUUACAAAGAAUCCAAUUCCACAUCUUAGGAAUCGACCCCUUUGCGGCUGCCAACAAAAUUGAGAUUACCUCACUCCUGUCCUUUGCACCACUGGGUUAUGCCCCGGGGGCGUCAACUUCCAAGUUUACCCCUAUCUUGAAAUGUGAACACGUAUUGUUCCAAACAAAAGCUAUGCAUUUUUUACUUUUCCAAUGAACCAAGUUUCCAUUAUUGAGGAUAGAGUGUUGUAAAGCUCAUAUAAAGCAAAUGUCGAUAAGAGGGAAUUAAAAUUUUAGAGGGUAUUUGGUGGGGAUAAAAAUUAGAUUUUUUAGUAGAUUGUGAUAGAAGUUGUUAAANNNNNNNNNNNNNNNNNNNNNNNNNNNNNNNNNNNNNNNNNNNNNNNNNNNNNNNNNNNNNNNNNNNNNNNNNNNNNNNNNNNNNNNNNNNNNNNNNNNNNNNNNNNNNNNNNNNNNNNNNNNNNNNNNNNNNNNNNNNNNNNNNNNNNNNNNNNNNNNNNNNNNNNNNNNNNNNNNNNNNNNNNNNNNNNNNNNNNNNNNNNNNNNNNNNNNNNNNNNNNNNNNNNNNNNNNNNNNNNNNNNNNNNNNNNNNNNNNNNNNNNNNNNNNNNNNNNNNNNNNNNNNNNNNNNNNNNNNNNNNNNNNNNNNNNNNNNNNNNNNNNNNNNNNNNNNNNNNNNNNNNNNNNNNNNNNNNNNNNNNNNNNNNNNNNNNNNNNNNNNNNNNNNNNNNNNNNNNNNNNNNNNNNNNNNNNNNNNNNNNNNNNNNNNNNNNNNNNNNNNNNNNNNNNNNNNNNNNNNNNNNNNNNNNNNNNNNNNNNNNNNNNNNNNNNNNNNNNNNNNNNNNNNNNNNNNNAGGUAAAUUGCGGGAUGUGCCCCAACAGAUCAGGGAACAAGAACUUGUCCGUACACUGGUGCUUACAAAGAAUCCAAUUCCACAUCUUAGGAAUCGACCCCUUUGCGGCUGCCAACAAAAUUGAGAUUACCUCACUCCUGUCCUUUGCACCACUGGGUUAUGCCCCGGGGGCGUCAACUUCCAAGUUUACCCCUAUCUUGAAAUGUGAACACGUAUUGUUCCAAACAAAAGCUAUGCAUUUUUUACUUUUCCAAUGAACCAAGUUUCCAUUAUUGAGGAUAGAGUGUUGUAAAGCUCAUAUAAAGCAAAUGUCGAUAAGAGGGAAUUAAAAUUUUAGAGGGUAUUUGGUGGGGAUAAAAAUUAGAUUUUUUAGUAGAUUGUGAUAGAAGUUGUUAAAUGUGUAGUUGAAAAAUUGUGGAACCUAUAAAAGAUGUGGUUAGUGUUGAUUGUUUGACUUUAACUUAGAUUAAAAUCAGAUUUUAAUCCAAAUCAAAUAGUCUGUUAAAUCCUUGUCAAAGUCAAAGUCAAUAAUUCAUUUAAAUCACGUAUUUUAAGACAUUCAUAAGUUUUUAAUCAUAUACUGCAUCAAAUUUUAUCAAAAUUUACUAAAAAUUUAAUUUUAACUUGUAACAUCACAUUUCUCUUUUCCUAAUUUUUGCGAAUAUGAUAUUCCCUAAUGAUAUAUUUAAUGCUUAUUAUUAAUUUAUUGUCAAUGUGACUACUAAUAUGUUGUAGUGGAUUAUACCUUGAACGUCCUAGGUGAUUGACAUGCCAAUUAAAGCUAAUUAUAUGAAAAUCAAAUGAAAAUCUAGAAAAGGGAAGGAAAUGUAAAUAGAUGAAGAAAGAGGACUAGUAAUUAUUGAGGAGAGUGUGCUGUACAGCUCAUAUAAAGCAAAUGUCAGUAAUGGGGAAUUAAAAUUUAAAUAUUUACCAAAGUUGGAGUCAAUAAUUGAUUUAAAUCAAGUACUUUAUGAUAUUCAUAACUUUUCAAAUAUGUUAUUGAGUUGUGAAUAUCACAGAAGAAUGCAUUUUUGGAAAAAGUUUUGUCUGAUUUGAUGAGCUUUUUUGAAGGAAAAUGAUAACUUUUUUACAAGGAGUAGAAGUCUUGUCAAAGCGGCGUUAAGUAUAAGAUCUAAUAAUUAAGUUGAGUGAGGAUUAGUUUGUUCUACUCAAAUGUGCUUUUUACAAUAAAAAAUGAACCAAAGUAGAUCAAGAUAAAUUGAUCUAUAAACAGCUUCUCUAACCUUAAAAAAAUCGAGUCAUUUUUACAUUGACAUUCAGUGCUUGUUUGGGAAAGUUAAACAGUUGAUUUUGUUAAAAGAAGUGGAAGAUCUUUUGGAAUUAGUGGUGGAAAAGCGAGUAAUACUAGUGGAUUUUAUGUAAUGUAAGAUUAAUAUAAAGGGUGGUUAUAUUAUCACCACAAUAAGUGUUUGGUACCCUAUAAUUUUCUUAUUUAUUUUAAAAAAUUACUAGUAAAAUGACAUAAGUACCCUAUCUUUUAUUCACUAAUAUAUUUAUUCAUACGAUCACUACCAUCCGUACACAAAAAAUACAUAACUCCUACUUAAAGAUACAAAUGCCAAGAUCAAAAGAUCCAAGAUUCACUAAUAUAUUUAUUCAUAUGACCACUACCAUCCGUACACAAAAAAUACAUAACUCCUACUUAAAUAUACAAAUGCCAAGAUCAAAAGAUCCAAGAUUGAAGAAAAGAACAAGAAAUUUUAGGAUAUGGUAUAGGCAUUUUGGAAUAUUGAAUGUAUUAUUUUAAAAGUUCGCUAUAUUCUUCUUGGAAACUCGUCGUUAUUGUGGAAUAUGCCAUUAUACAACCUGCAAAAGGUAUUGGAUUUGGAGGCUAAAGGACAGUAUUUAGAAAUGGAUCAAUGCAAGGAUCGCGAUAUCCCAUUUGCUGAAGACUGGAAAAAAGUAAGAGAUAUUUGUAAACUUGUCCAAAAUGUAUAUGAUGUUGCUGAUGUUCUUUUCGAGACAAAACAUGCUAGUGCGGGCAUCUAUGUUCAUAAAUUUCAAGAAUUACAAGCAAGUUUGAUAGAAGAAUCUAGAAAUUCUGAUAAAUUUGUUAGAAUCAUAGCUCAGAGGAUGCUAAAGAAGUUUGAGAAGUACUGGAAGAACAUGUUCCUUGUACUAACCGUUGUUACUGUUUUGGAUCCGCAAUAUAAAAUGAAGUAUAUUGAAUUUUCUUCCUUGAAGUAUGAUACUAGUUAUAGUAUCUCGGAAGUGACAGCCAUUUCAAAGUCCAUUUACUAGCCUUAUGAUGAUUAUGUUACUAGCAAAACUAGAGAAGAAUAUUCUAUGAGUGAUUCGAAUUCUGAGUUUGAAGAAGAGAUUCCUACAAACAUCAAAGAAAGAUGCCUACUCCCAAACUUUGCUUUUAAUUGCUUAGAUGAGUAUAAACAGUUUAUCCAAUCUGAUAGUCGAUCUCGACCAUUAGGUAAAAGCUUGAAUGCUACUUGGAAGAACCUGUCGUGCCUUGGAGCAAAAAUUUCAGCGUGCUAUCUUGAUGGCAAUAUGUGAGCCCCAAAUAUCCUACCUUGUCCAAAAUGGCUCGUGGAUCUUUGCACAUAAAAUGUUGAUAUUUCAUGUCCAAAAAAUAAUUGAGCCAAUGGAUGAAGGAAAUUGAUGAGGAAGAAUGGAUGGGGGAAAAUGAGGAGUAAUUUUGGGAAGGAGAGUACAUUGUUAUUAUUAUUAUUAUUUUUUUUUUUUUCAUUUUCAGUUUUUAUUGGGUUAAGGCUAUAAUUAUAAAUUUGUUAUGGUAUUUUUAUUAGAAACAUGUUGUUUUAAUGUGUGUAGCAAGUAAAAUUUGUGGUGGCAAUAGAAUUGCCUUAGCAUUAAUUGUUACUUUUGAUCCCGACUUUUUAAUCUUUUUCAAACAAGCAUUUGCUCAAUUUUUUGAAUAACUAGACAAAUAGUCAAGUUGAACAUGGUCUUUACAAUUGAAAAAAUGUAAAUAAAUAAUAAUUUUUUUUCAUAAGAUUAAAUUCUCCAACUCAUAAAAGGAAUGGCAAUACGACAGGUAGUUUUCCUUGUCUUUUAUGGCGUUGGAUUUUCUUGGGUGGAGGGUAGGAAAUUAGGAAUAGGGAAUUCAUUACUCUAUUUGCUCAAUUUUCUAAUAUCAUUUUGAAAAACAAUUUAAGUUUAAAAACAUAUAUGUACAUGUAAAAAUAAGAGUCUGAACGAGUAUGAAGUAACUUGUUCUUCCUAUAUUGAUUUUCUAUUCAGUGGGAUGGAACAAGACAUUUGCUGUCUUCGCCUAUAAAGAGCUUUAUAUUCUUAAAAAAGGUCAUUUUCACAUUGACAAUUAAAAGUGAAUAAUACUAUUCAUAGUUGUUCACUAUCAAUUAUUUCUCUAUAAUUUUAUUUCUUAAAACUAACCGUUCAUUCUUUAGCAGAGUUUUGUGUUUCUCCACCAUUUCAUUCAAUUUGACAAUAAGCUCAUACUUGGAGGGGUUAAAAUUAAAUUUUUAGUAAAUUUUGGUAAAUAUUGUUGUUUAGAGCUCAUUUCAUCUUAUUUAUAGACAAUUUUGACCACUGCACAAUACAAAACUCUUUCUUUAUUCUGAUUUAUGACACUGAAUUGAAAUAAUCUAUCAAAGCCCUUGUUUAGGAGAGCUUUCGUUUUCAAUUGUAGCCAGUGACCAUUAUACAUAUAUGUUAAAUAAGGCAAGUUGAGUGGGAGCCCUCAAGGUUGGAGUUCAACCUUUCAAAUAAGGCAAAUUGCAAUUUUUGACUAUUUUAAGACAGAAUGAUCCCUUAACAUUUCAUUCAUUCUUCAUGAGACAAGGACAUUUUUGGUAUUUAAUUUUGAGACAGUAAAAAAUUGCAACCAAAAUGAGACCCAUGUUCAACUGUGUAAGGGAGAAAAAUUGCUAAAAAUGGAAAAAAAGCUCUCCCAGACAAGAGCAAAGUGAACUUCGAAAAGUAAAAAUACAUUUUUUGUUUGUAACAAUACUUGUUCACGUUUCAAUAUAGGGGUAAAAUUGGAAGUUGCCCAUAUAUAUUUAUAACACCAUUUGGAGUUUGGACUAGCUUUCACAUGGCGGGCAAUGUGAUAUGAUAGAAGAAUGCAAUUUUCCACAAUAAUGGCGCCCAAACGAUGACCUGCUAAUGUUAUUGAAUGAUUUAAUUGAAUUAUUAACUUUUACUUUCAUAAAAAUAUAAUUGCUACAUUUGCUUUAUAUGAGCUGUACAACACACACCAAGAAUUACUAGUUUUCUUUCUUCAUCCGUUAACAUUUCCUCCUCUUUUCUGGGUUUUCAUUCGAUUGUCAGAGCUGCAACAUCCAUUUCCAUGACUUCAAAGCUAUAUGCUAAUCAGAAUUUUCUGUUUUUGCUUUAGUGGUAGCGUCUAUUAUUCUUCAAACAAGCAUUUGCUCAAUUUUUUGAAUAACUAGACAAAUAGUCAAGAUGAACAUGGUCUUUACAAUUGAAAAAAUGUAAAUAAAUAAUAAUUAUUUUUUAUAAGAUUAAAUUCUCCAACUCAUAAAAGGAUGGCAAUAUGGCAGGCGGUUUUCCUUGUCUUUUGUCGCGUUGGAUUUUUUUGGGUAGAGGGUAGGAAAUUAGGAAUAGGUACUUUUACCCAAUUUUCUAAUAUCAUUUUUUUAAAAAUACAAUUUAAGUUUAAAAACAUAUAUGUACACGUUAAAUUAGGAGUCUAAACGAGUAUCAAGUAACUUGUUCUCAAUUCCCAUAUCGAUUUUCUAUUCGAUGGAUGGAACAAGACAUUUGCUGUUUUUGCCCAAAAAGAGCUUUAUAUUUUAAAAAAGUUCAUUUCCACAUUGACAUUUAAAAAUAAAUAAUAUUAUUCACUCACUGUCAAUUAAUUUUCUAUAAUUUUAUUUCUUAAAACCAACCGUUCAUUCUUUAGCGGUGUUUUGUCUCUGUCCACCAUUUUUCCCACUUCCACAUGGUGGGCCAUGUGAUAUGAUAGAAGAAUGAAAUUGUUCCACAAUAAUGGCGCCCAUACGACGACACGCUAUGUUAUUGAAUGAUUUAAUUGAAUUUUAAUUGCGACAUUUGCUUACAACACUCAAAAUUACUAGUCUUCUUUCUUCAUCCGUUUACAUUUCCUCCUCUUUUGUGGGUUUUCAAAGCUAUAACAUCCAUUUCCAUGGCUUCAAAGCUACAAGCUAAUCAGAAUUUUCUGUUUUUGCGUCAGUGGUAGCGUCCAUUAUGCUUUAAACAAAAGUUUAGGGGGUAGACAACUCACAUACACUAUCUUUCUCUUUCCCUGCAAUUCGACCAUCCUUUCCUUUCCUUUCCUUGCAAUGGAUAUCUCACUCACUAAUUCGUUUACUAGUCCUGCAGAUCUCUUUCUAAUUGUGAGCGAUCAUAUAUUAUAUAUCUCCUCCAAACAUCAUCCUAUAAUUGAUACGUUACUUGGUUUUAUACCUUUACAAACGCACGGUUUCUUUGAUGAAUUUCACAGAAACAUUUUCUAUGAAUCAGUGUUAGCUGGACUUGAUCAAGAGCUUAAGGUGUUCUUUACAGUCCCUGACCAGCAAAUCUUGUCCAAGUUAACUCCUACUCUCAAUUCUAAUGAAGUUGUUGCGGCGUUCAUCAACUUUCUCCUCCUGAUGGUAGAAGUCAUUCUACAUUUUGAGGAAGAUUCGAUUGCUCGUGUAAAGGGUUCGUUCCAAAAUCUCCGGACAGAGCUUGGAUUUCUUAUCACUUUUCUUGGGGAUACAGCAAUGCAUUUGCAGCCCACCGAGACUAUAGUGAUAGAUAUUGAAGAUGUGGUCAAUGAGGUAGGAUGUUUCUUGUAUUCCUUCCUUUGGGCCAUUGUUAUGUUCAUUCUAAUCUGUAAAGAGAAAGAAUUAUAUACUAGAAUGUACGGUUGGAAAGUUGGGGUUAAUGAGGUAGGAAGUCUCCGUCUUUCUGACUUUAUCCACUUUCUUGAGGAUCAACCAUUGCUAAACACUAUGUUGAAAGCAACGAAAGAUAUUAAAGCUUCGCUCCAUAAGAUAGGAAGUUUAUUAGAUUCCUUCAUUUCCAAGAAGAAUGAUCAAGCUAUGGAGCCAGGAAACUUAAAUCUUGCUCUUUCUGAUUUGUUAGCAAAGUUUGAGACCUUGAAAACAAAGAUCAAGGAGCACUGCAUCAGAGUCUCAAAGAUCCCAAGUGAUAUGGCUCCUAAGACUGGUGUGGUUUCACUCUUCAUUGUUGAUUCCGUCCUCGAUGAUCUCAUGGAUCUAAUAAAUAACAAGUCUGACUCGACUGGUGUUGUGAAUGAUCAAAUUGUAAUGCUUCAGACGCUUCAGAAGGAGCUAAUGUUAUUGGGAUCAUCCAUCACAGAUAUAGCAUUGCAGCAGGAAGCAGAACAUGAAGAACUUGUGAUACGGAGCAGAGACAUAGCAUAUGAAGUUGAAUAUGUUAUCAAAUCAUUUCGUCAAGCUUGGUAUCUUUCUCUCCGGCUCCCUCAACUCAUUGACAAGAUUCAGCUUAUUACGAUGGCUAUCGAAAAAAUGAAGAACAAUGUUGAUAUAUCUAGAAUGUCAAUUUUUUCGAAACAUCCACAUGAACAUGUAGAUCCACAGUCAGAAGAAUCUCCCAUUUUGGAAGACUUUGUUGUGGGAUUUGACAAUGUAACAAUUGAAAUUGUAGAACAACUUGCUCGAGGAAUAGAAAAGCUACAAAUUAUUUCCAUAUUUGGGAUGCCUGGACUUGGUAAGACGACCUUGGCAAAUAAAUUAUAUAAUCAUCGCUACGUUUUAUACCAUUUUCACAAUCGUGCCUGGUGUGCUGUUUCUCAAAUAUAUAAUAAGAAAAAUGUGUUGAUUGAAAUUUUGAGCUCAAUGAGUAACAAUAAGAGGGAUACAUACAUGAAAAAGGAGGAAAACAGCUUGGUCGACGAUCUUUACAAAAACUUAAAAGGAAGGCGAUACCUCAUUGUGAUAGAUGAUAUAUGGGAUAUCAAUGUGUGGAAUGAUUUAAAAAGAUGUUUUCCAGAUGACGGAGUUGGAAGCAGAAUCUUAUUCACUACUCGAAAUAAAGAAGUGGGUUUGAAAGCUUUACCUCAUAAUUUCACAAAGGAACUUCCUUUUUUGUCGGAAGUUGAAUGUUGGGACAUAUUACAAGGGAAAGUGUUCCAAGAUAAAAAAUGUCCUCAAGAAUUGCUAGACAUUGGCAAGCAAAUUGCAAAAAAUUGUCAUGGCCUACCACUCGCAGUGGUUGUGAUAGCUGGAGUUCUUGCAAACAUGGAGAAGAAAAAACACUUGUGGGAAAAAGUUGCCAGAAAUUUAGGUUCUCAUAUAUCUGAAAUACCAGAGAAGUGCAUCCAAAUAUUGCAGCUUAGCUACGACCAUUUACCAAUGCAUUUGAAAACGUGUUUUCUUUACUUUGGAGCAUUCAAAGGAGACAUGAAGAUCCCUGUACGGAAGUUGAUAUCUCUUUGGGUUGCCGAAGGAUUUAUAAAGAAGGAAGAACAGAAGAACAUAGAGGACGUGGCACGAGAAUAUUUAAUGAAAUUGAUUGAUAGGAGUCUAGUACUUGUUGCUGAAAAAAGAUAUGAUGGAGGAGUCAAAACAUGCAAGAUUCAUGAUCUAUUGCGUGAAAUGUGCUUGAAAAUAGCUGAAGAAAAUAACUUUUUGAAGUUUAUCAAACAGUAAGUUCAAUGUCUCUUCUUUUUCCUUUCCUUUCCUUUCCAUCCAUUUUUUAUUUUAGCUUACUUAGAAGGUUAUUAUAUUUGAUAAUCGUAACAAUGAUGUGAUUAUGUUGUUUUUGUUGCCAGUAAUGAUGAUGAUGAAGAUAAACAACGGUUCUUCAGUCAAGUAUCAACGUAUCAGCAGCACCAUUGCCUGAGUAUCAACUGUACGAUACCUCCGAGUUCACUACCUUUUGGCCUACACGUACGCUCUCUUCUAUAUGAUAUUCAUUUUGUGGGAUCGAGCACACCAAGACCGACCACAUCAAUCUCAUGCAGCCACAAACUUCUUAGGGUCUUUGAUUUUAGCAGCAGGUCACUACCCUGGGGUCUAAUAAUAGGAUUGGAACACCUGGUUCUAAUAAUAGGAUUGGAACAUCUAGUUCACUUGAGGUACUUGGCACUUUCAUGUACACGGCCACCAUUAAAUUUGGAAAGGUUCCACAAACUAGAAUUUCUUGUUGUGGACAAUGAUGUUGAAGUUGAAAUACCUGAGAUCCUCCUUAAUACAGUGAGUUUGAGACACAUGGAGUUCAAGGGCGGUGCACGCUUCAGUGAAUCUAGUUGUCAGCUGGCAACUAACAGUAAGAACUUCCAAAUAAAUAACCUACGAAGUAUUUCUAGACUCUCAAUUUACGUUGAAUUGGAUGAGAAAGUUUUGGGACGUUCGCCCAAUCUUCGUAGACUGAAAGGCAGGGUGGAUAAAGAUUUACUAAAUCCUUCUUUCGACUUCCUUAAUCAGCUCGAAUCACUAAAGCUAUAUGAAAUAUUUCAUUGUUCUUUUAGUUUGCCCUUAAAUUUGAAAAAAUUGACACUAGAUCAUGCAAAGGUGUCUCGAAAACAAAUGGAGAUAAUUGGAAGGUUGCCUUGCCUUGAGGUUCUCAAAUUAGAAUCGGUUGCCUUUGAGGAAGAACAAUGGAACACAAGUGAGGGUGAAUUCCCACAACUCAAAUACUUGAAACUUGCAAAUGUAAACAUUGCAGAAUGGAAUGCCUCAAGUGAUCAUUUCCCGGUACUUCAACGAAUAGUAUUGAAAUCUUGCGGGAAUCUAAAGAAGAUCCCUUUCAGUUUAAAUGAUAUUCCAACGUUACAGGAGAUUUGGUUAUAUGGAUGUCCACCAACUACCAACGAAUCAGCUAAGGAAAUUAAGGAAGAACAAAAAGCGAUGGGCAAUGAAGAGCUUGAAGUCAUGAUCUCUGAAAAACAAUUGGAGGAAAAUGAAUACAACGAACUUCUGAAGGUAAUAAUGAGAGAGAUUCUCUUCUUUAAAUCUCUUUCACGUUCUCAUCUUGGUCCUAGGUAUUUUGUAUUAUGCUAAAAUGAAACAUCAAAAAUAAAUUCUACUGUAAUUUUGGCUUGUAUUGGAAUUAAGCCCCUCUUUGGUUUGGGUUAAAAUAAGAUUUUUAAUAGAUUUUCAUAAAGGUCAAUGAAAAGUGUGAUUGAAAAAUUAAUAAAAUUUAUGAAUUUCAUAAAAUAUGUGGUUGAAAAUGAGCUAGGGGAAAAAAUUAGUUUUAAAAAUUUGGGACCAAAUAGGGGGCUCUAUUUUAUGAGCUUCUUGAUGUUAUUCUAGGAAUAAUGAUAAGUGCGUUUUUAUGCACUUAUGUUUGAAUUGUGGCUUAAAUUUGUUUGAUUCUUGAAUUGCAGGGUAAAUUGAUGGACACGGUGGAACUCAUGAGAAAAAUGAAGCGACAAGAACCAAAAGGAAUCAAAGUGCCAAAACGAAUCAAAGUGAAAGUUCAAGGACCAAAGCGCAAAUAUCCAAAAGAUGAACCGAAGGAGCAAGAAAAGAUUUGAUAGAGCCAAGUACCAAUUGGAGGUUAAUAUUGGUAACCUCUGUCAUGGUGAAUUCAAUUUUAUUACUGUACACUCAUGGUGAUUUAAAUCAAAAGAAAAUAUUUCGUGAACAAAUUACUAAUCCAUAAGGUUCUAUGUUUGGACAUUGAUCUCUAUUAUUUCUGCCUUUCACAUUUUUUACCAUAAAAUCGUUUUUACAUAAAAUCCCAAAGGUCACAAUUUCACUUCUAGUUAGAUUUUGUCCUUGGAAUAAUUUGAUUGUUUAGGCCCAAUUCCUUUGUUAAUUGCAUGGAGGUCCUUUAACUUCCGAACUUCCGAACUUGUUAUCUUGGUCCUUGAUUCCAGAUUCUGUCCAAUGUCCAUCCUUCUUGAUCAAAUAUCGUCCCCUUUUAUUGUUUCCUGUUCAAUAUUGUUUUUUCUUCUAAAAUAAUUAACAUAUACACAAAAUUAAGUAUCUGGCUCAUAAAAGUAUUUCCAAACACCCACUUUUGAUGGCUUAUAUAAGUGUAAAAUCAUACUUAUCAACUGUCAUAGAUAUACAACUUCAAGAGCCGAAUGAUCUUUUUUUGAGGUAAAUAGUGAUUUACUCAUUUGUAUUGCAUAUUUGUGUCCGCACAAUUCACUAAAGGACAAGUGAAUUCAAUUGUGUGAGUAAUAUGCCCAAGAUUUUAAAUCAGUAGAAACCUUGGCAUUGAUGAGCAAAUUUAUAUAUAUAUAUAUAUAUAUAUAUAUAUAUAUAUUAUUGAUAUGCACACUCAUGAGAUUUUAAUAGGGCUAGGAUAGGAGACCUUAAUGAUAUUGCAUAAAAGUUGUUUCUAACGUGAAAAGGUGUAGCAAUUACUUUACAGGCUUGUAACAUUGGUGUUAGUUAUUUCAGGCUUUAGAGAUGAUAAUUCUCGGCGAUGAAGUUUGUGAAGAAUCGAUUGCGUAAUUAGAAAGGAGAUCAAUGGUUGAAUGACACUUUGGUGGCGUAUAUUAGAACGAUGUAUUUGACGAUAUCGACAACGAUGUAAUUAUACGAUAUUUUCAAAAUAUGUAAGCGUGUAGGCUAUAAUUGUAGUAAAAUAUUGACUUAUUUUCAUCAAUACAUUGUUUUAAAAAAGUGUAUCUUAAUUUUCAAUCAUACAAUGAAAAAUGUCUGGCUUUGGAAUGAUAUUAGGCUUGAUAAAAUCAAUUAUCUUCGGUGGCAAAACCAAUUUCUGAAUGUCAUCAUGGCUAAUGGAUUAGUAGGUUUUAUAGAUGUUACAUUUACUUUUCCAUCCAAGUUUGUUGUACAACUGCUCAUUCGGUCGAAAUUUUUAUUUUUUCGAUAUUAUGACUUCAAGCUUUUCAUUUCCCAUCGCAUGUUGUUCUUCCUGAAUUUGCUUAUCAGAUUCUUAAAUUGCUUGCUCAGACCCUCUGCCACAGAACUUUCCUUAUCAUGAAUUUGUUCGUAAGAUUGUAGGUUAAGGAUUUCCUUCAAAUAAAAUAGAAGAAGAAAAAUGAUAGAUUUUCAUGUAUAUCAAAUUGAAACAGCAAUCUCUACAUAUAGAUGUUAGUACGCCUUUCCAAAGCGUUACAUUUGUCAAAUCUAUUCAUGAUUACAAUUAUAUAUUCAGCAAUACUGAAUGAAAAUAUUCAAGCUUCCCUUCUUAAUUUCUGUACAACUUUUUUAAUUUGCUAUAUGCAUAUUUCCAGAAGCAGCUAAGUUGAUAUGAAACAAAUAAAAUUUUAUUAUUCAAAAAUCAAAAAAACAGAAGAACUACAAAGUUAGCAGUCAUUUUCAAGAUUAUCUUCCACUCUAUCCAUCCCCAAAGUUCAAAACAGGAGGGGGUGUUUCUCCUCUUUCAGUAUUAUUAUGUAAUUGACUCUUCAUGUAAAGAGUUGAUUGAACUGAUUGACUCAAACAAAAAAUAUACAUGGAGGCACCAACAACAAAUGACGACGUAAUUAUAGUUGAUGACGCAAAAUAAGGAUAAUUUCAUUGAAAUAAAUGACGAGCAUCAUUUUUUACUGCCAUGUCAUCGAUAUCCAAGUGACAAAACUAGACUAAGAUCAUGUAAGCAUCUGAAUUCUUGAACACACCAUUCUUUGAAAAGAUUUUCGAGAUGUCAAAUUUGAAUAAAGUUCCUUUGUAUUCAUCAAAAUAACUACAGGCUCUAUCACAUUUGUCGACCUUUAGUUCAUUUUCAAAAAGCCCGUGUUGCAAGAUUGAAGUACUCCUGACCUCCUACCUCCUAGCUAGACAGAGGAUCAGGAUUCGUCUUCAUCUUCAUCUUUGCCCUCGUCUUCCACUUCAUCUUCAUCUUCAUCUUCAUCUUCAGAAUCUACGUAAUCGACCUUUGCAAUAGGAGAUGCAAGCCAAAACUUGUUCAACUGUUUCAGAAUCUAAAGUCCUUUGUCAGCGUUAGCGUUGGCCAUUGACCAGAUCACCAUUCUCUUCAGCUUAGACGAUUUUUCUAGUAAAAGCUUAGUCACUGCCAUCUCAGCAACUGUGCCUGAAAUAAAAUGCAGCUUCACUUUUUGAAGUUGAGUUAAAGUUACAUCUGAGUAGCCUUGCACUUACAGAAAAUCUAGAAUAGGACUACAGAAAAUCUAGAAUAGGACUAGCAUCAGCAUUUGCACUCUCACAAAUCUAGACAAUAAGGCAAGAUAUCACCGAGCUUAAACUUUUGUUUUAAAAUAGAGAAUUGAAGAUGUAAGUCGUAAUGGUCAUAUCCAUCACUUACCUUGAAUCUCAGUUCCUCAAGGUCGGGGGAGCUUCUGAUCAAGCACAGAACACAAGAGAGUUCAUCCAAUAAAUUAGAACAUAUAUAAAAUAACUUCAGAACUUUAAGGUGCAUUAAAGUAGCUGAUAGCCUUUCUUGGGCUUGACCUGCAGCCAAAAUCUUCAAAGCGGUGGUGAAAGCAUGAUCUAAUAUAGUUUAGUCGACGAUUUCAAGGGAUUAUAUUUAUAAUAAAAAAUACCUUAAUGAAAGUAUAGCUCAAGUACACUUUCUGAAGGCCAGGCAGAGAAUCAAAAAACUGAAUGAAGUUACAUUGCCCAUCUUCCAAAAUAUUGUCAACUACCCAAUCAUUAUGUAAAGCAACCAAAAUCAUUGCAAGAUGUGGGGAUUUCUUAAAAUAAAACGAUGAUAUAGGGAAACAUGUCAAUUCAAAGUGUUUUAGCAUAGAGUAUCUAUUUCUACGUAGUCAAAUUUGUUUGAAACAUUCAGCAAUAGUUUCCCCAGUACCGGGCAGCUUGAUAUCAAACUUCCUAAAUUCCUAAUACAUCAGCAUCAAUGGUCACGUCAAACAAUUCCAGCCUAAUUGGUCUAUUAAAUCCUUCAAAGCUUGGUGGUGGAGGAUUGAUCAACCAAGACAACGGCUUCAAAUGUUUCAACUGUAUACACAUAAAUGGUGAAGAAGGCGAUGUGUACUGUUCUCCACUCUUUAUUUUAAAGGUGAAUUCUUCAACACUGUUCUUCCAUAAGAUAUGUAUCAAGUAGUCAAUUUCUGAACAAUUUUUAAGUUUCGGAAUAACGAGGCUCAAUUUAGUUAUGGGUCCUGGAUGAAGCAAAAGAUCCUUGUAAAAGAUCAACAAGAACUUCAUUCUAGCUGAUUCUAGGUUUCCCUUAUUAAGGGAUAAAAAUCCAACAUCGAUUAAAUAUCGAAAUAUUGACCAACUUAAAAAAGAUCUUGGGCUACUCCUCUUAAUCAGAUUGACCUUUUAAGAUGGAACCUCAAAUUUUAACAUGGUAUCAACUCAUUAAACUCCAACGAGCAACUCAAUCCCGAUACGACUCUAAAAAUGAGCACACAGAUUUCAAGAUUGGUUUAUUCAAACGAGCCAACAUCUUGUGGGGGCAUGUUAAGGGAUAAAAAUUUCACAUCGACUAAAUACUGAAAUAUUGACCAAUUUAUAAAAAUCUUGUGCUACUCCUCUUAAUAAGAUUGACCUUUUAAGAUGGAACUCUAAAUCUUCACAUGAUAUCAGAGCUCAUUAAGUUUCAACGAGCAAUUCGAUCCAAUUAAAACUCUAAAAAUGAGCACACGAAUUUCAAGAUUGGUCUGCUCAAACGAGCCACCAUUUUGCGGAAACAUAUUAUUAAGGGAUAAAAAUCCAACAUCGAUUAAAUACCAAAAUAUUGACCAACUUAAAAAAGAUUCUGUGCUACUCCUCUUAAUAAGGCGGACCUUUUAAGAUAGAACCCCAAGUUUUAACAUCCCUUAUAUUCUUGCCAUAGGGUCUCAUGAAAUCUGACGCAUAUUUGUGUGGGUCUUGUAAUUGAAUUUCGUCGAGUCCUAAUGCACUUUAACUUGUUGAAGACUUAAAGGUUGAAUCCCAACCUUGAGGGCCUCCAUCGCUCCGCCCCUGAAGCAUCAUGAGGGAGGUAAAUUGUGGGAUGUGCCCCAACAGGACAGGGAACAAGAGCUUGCCCGUACACUGGUGCCCACAAAGUGUUCAAUUCCAUAUCUUAGGAAUCGAACCCUCACAUUGCGACUGCCAGCAAGACCAAGACUAUCUCACUCCUGUCCUUUGCACCACUGGGUUAUGCCCCGGAGGCUAACUUGUUGAAGACUUUCCUAGUGAUGUAGUGGUUUCACGCUUUAAAGUAGGUUUAAUUUUUCUCAAAAGAGAGAUCAUCAAGUAAAUUUGAGAAAUUCGACUUUCAACACAAGUACAACUUUGUUAAAGUGUUAUAAGUUAAUAUUAAAAAAAUGUUUGAAUUGGUAGAUGAUGAGGAUGGCCAACCUAAUUGGGAAGUCUAGGUACACUUAUUCCUACCUCUUAACAUCCUUGUGUAAACAUGGAAAUGUAAACUUAUAAAGUAAAUAACUUUUAGUUUACGAGAAUUAUAAAUAAAAUAAGUUAUUAAUUUUAACAAUAAACAAGCACAUAUUUAAAAGAAAAACAAAUAUAAAUCGUAAUCAAAAGUUUUAUCCACAAAAAAAUCAUAGAGACACUGCAUUUCUUUAACACGCUUCAUACACGGUGAUUUUGAAUGUGUAUAUGGCGAAUACAUCUACACAUUAGAUAUCUGCAUAUAUAUUAUCAUUUAACAUAUAAAUUAAGCUCAUGUUUGGAAAGGUAUAGCUAAAAAAUUGAUAAAAAUUUAAGUUAAAAAGUCAAAGAUUAAUUUUCAUCACACAUUUAUUAGGAUCCAUAAUUUUUAUCUACUUUUCUAUCAAAUUUAUAAAAUUUAUCAAAAUCCAAUUAAAAUCUAAUUUUCAGCUAAACCAAAUGAGGACUAAUUCGUAUGUAGUAACAUGCAAUCCAAUGCGUAUGCUAGAAGUCAACAUAUGAAUUUUCAAAGCUAUUAUACCUUUGAUUUCACCCAAUAAUAGGAAUCUAUUAAAAAUCUUAUUUUAAGCUAAAUCAGACAGGGGCUAAUUCACAUGUUGUAGCAUGCAAUCCCAUGCGAGCUCUAGAAGUCACUAUAUGACAUUUCCAAACUAUACACAUCUGAUUUCACCCAAUACAAGAAGUAACCAGUCCAUGGCUAGUAACAAUUAAGCCCUUGUUUGAGCCUCAUCCCCCCCCCCCCCCCCCCCCCCCCCCCCCCGAGGGGUUUUUAUUUUGGAAUAGUUUUCCUGGAAAAUGCGUGGUUAAAUUUUUUUUAUUUUUAAAAUCAACUUAUGUGUAAAAUUAAUUUAUUGAAGAAUGUGUGGUUGAAAUUGAGUUUUGAAACAAUGAGUCUUUGGUAAAAUGGAGCUCAAACAAGGGCCAAGUGCUUUCACCAUUACAUUGUGUCCACUUACUUUUAUAGUAAUCUAUCCAACAAAGUAAAGCAUUAGCUCAAAAAGACUUAAGACAGCUUGAAAUUGAAGAUGUAGCUAGCAUAAUAUUAUACGCCAUUCAGAAAAAAAGGGUUUCUAGUCUCAAGAAGCCCACAUCACAAGAUUUCAAUUACUCCUGACCUUUUUGAGCUAGUAAGCGAGCCUGCAUUAAGCUCUACCACCAAAGUUCAUUUUUAUCGAAAGCUUUAAAAAAUGACCUUUGCAUUUGGUAAACACGCUUAAAUUUGUUCGUCUCGAUCAAAAUCCCAAAAUUCUUCGUCAGCAAGUUUCUCUAAUGGUCAUUUCAGCCUGAUCACCAUCUUAUCAAGCUUCGGCGAUUUCUCUAAUAAAAGCUUGACGAGUGUCAUCUCAAGAACUGUUGAAGAAAUACAUUCCAGCUUCACUUUUUGAAGCCGAUUAAAGCUACAAAAAAAUGCUUUCCAACAGCCAAAAAAAUUGGUCGCUAAAAUAAAAAUUCUGGUUGGUAAAAAGUAUCAGCAACCAAAAUUGAAUGAUCGCUGCUUGGUCGCUAAUUCACCGUCGGUGAAUGUGUUUAGUGACCAAUGUUGUUUGGUUGCUAAUUAUGUAACGUUCACCAACCAAAAUCAACUUAUGUGUAAAAUUAAUUUAUUGAAGAAUGUGUGGUUGAAAUUGAGUUUUGAAACAAUGAGUCUUUGGUAAAAUGGAGCUCAAACAAGGGCCAAGUGCUUUCACCAUUACAUUGUGUCCACUUACUUUUAUAGUAAUCUAUCCAACAAAGUAAAGCAUUAGCUCAAAAAGACUUAAGACAGCUUGAAAUUGAAGAUGUAGCUAGCAUAAUAUUAUACGCCAUUCAGAAAAAAAGGGUUUCUAGUCUCAAGAAGCCCACAUCACAAGAUUUCAAUUACUCCUGACCUUUUUGAGCUAGUAAGCGAGCCUGCAUUAAGCUCUACCACCAAAGUUCAUUUUUAUCGAAAGCUUUAAAAAAUGACCUUUGCAUUUGGUAAACACGCUUAAAUUUGUUCGUCUCGAUCAAAAUCCCAAAAUUCUUCGUCAGCAAGUUUCUCUAAUGGUCAUUUCAGCCUGAUCACCAUCUUAUCAAGCUUCGGCGAUUUCUCUAAUAAAAGCUUGACGAGUGUCAUCUCAAGAACUGUUGAAGAAAUACAUUCCAGCUUCACUUUUUGAAGCCGAUUAAAGCUACAAAAAAAUGCUUUCCAACAGCCAAAAAAAUUGGUCGCUAAAAUAAAAAUUCUGGUUGGUAAAAAGUAUCAGCAACCAAAAUUGAAUGAUCGCUGCUUGGUCGCUAAUUCACCGUCGGUGAAUGUGUUUAGUGACCAAUGUUGUUUGGUUGCUAAUUAUGUAACGUUCACCAACCAAAUGUUUGGUCUGUAUUUGGUGGCUGAUAAUAGCAAAAAAUUGGUUGGUAUGUACCCUUUUGCAACCAAGAGUUUGGUCAGUAAAGGUGUAGGUCAAUGAAGGUGUAGAAUUUUUAUUUAUUUAUUUUUUACCAAUGGUUUAGAUGGAAUUUCAGCAACCACAAGUUAGGUUGUACCUUAUUAAAAUUUCUAAUUAAUAAAGUUAAUAAAUAAUGCAAGAGAAAAUAAUAAAAAAAUAUACAAUAACUACAAAAAAAUAAUUGUGAUUGCAUACAUAACAAUUACUAAUAGUUAAUACAUAAAUUAAAAUGUCAUUGUAUAUUUAUCCAACAACAUAUCAUAGACCCUAAUAUAGAAUGUGUCAUAUAUCUCACCAAAUCUAUCCUAUACCUUACAAAAGAUGUCUUAUAUUUUUAGUAACAUAAGUGUCCUAGACUUUAUGAACAAAAGGUAUGUGCAGACAAAAAAAUAAAAAAAUAAAAAAAAUCUAGUUAUAGACUUUUGUUCCAUUCAUACUCUAUAUCUUGCAUCAUCAGUAUCACUGGAUCAAUGAAUUUGCAGAAUUUGAUGCAUGCAAAAAGGGACACCAGUCACCUUUUAAAUAGCACCCUUUCCGAAAGAGUAUGCAGGGCAUCCCUUGUUUAUUAGAGACAUUAGGAACAUCAGAAGGUGUAGAGACAGUCUGCAAUGGAAGUAUAGAAGAUGAAGCAGAAGUUCGUUCUUGUGUUCCCAAUAGUCCAUCCAAUGACUGAAGAACAAAAGAAGAUCAAUACCCACUUUGCUAAUAAUAAAAACGAAUAGUUAAGAAUUGUGAUAUCACCGAAAAUAAAAGAAGAUCAGUAUCUAUGUUUGCAUAUGAUAUAAUAAUACACUUUCGGAUGAUAGAAUAAUGCAAUCUAUGUUAAGAAAGAGAAGGAUGAUAGAAUCCAUACUUGGGAUUCGAGCAAUUACCAUCAAUGCAAUUGAACUUAAAUUAAAUGUAUUUCUACUAGGUGUGCAUAAAGUAGACUAAGCCCUACAAUAAUAAAGUUCUUACUUUAUGUAUUCUCAAAAUAUGAUGAAUGCUAUGUUUUCCUUUUGUAAGGAUCCCGUAUAAUUGAACCUUCACAUGGGUGCAAAUAGAAGCUGCAUCUAUAGCUAAAAAGGACUUCAUAUACACUGUGAACUACAGAGCAUAUAAAAAGGAAUAUAGUAGAAGAAAUACCAAGUAUAAUAAAGAUCACAAACAUUACUGAACUAAACUCAGUACAACAAACCUUCCAGUUGAAUCCAAAAGCAGUGCUCUUAUAUUAUCAGUGUCCUCUACGCUUCAUAAUCUUAGAACCAGAUAUUGGGUACCACACACCCACAACCUAUAAGAUAUAAAAAAUUUGUAGGCCAAUUAUAAGGCAAUCCAAAGAUUAUUAUAUCGUAAGUGUGUUGAAACCAUUACAUUUGAACAUUUGAAAAAACAGGAUACUCCUUAGUAGUCUCUCACAAUAAAGCAAUACAUGAAACAGAAGUAAUAGGAUACUCCAAAGAUGACUAGUAAUAUAUUUGGUUGAAAGAGGCUACACCAGAUAGCAACCAUCAUGCCAGUACACAAAUUUCUCUUCCUUGAACAUCAAGUGGAUCUGCAAGCAGGAAUAAGGUUUUACUAGGUUGAAUGGCUUAAAAUGAUCUUUCCAAUCCAUCUAGACGGAAAUACAUGGGCAAAGCCUAAACAACGAUUGGUUCGAUCCAUCUUAUUGAUUGGACUCAUAAGAAUUAAUGAAUCUAUCAAAUAGAUAAAAUGAUCUAAACUAAUCCAGCAACAUUCAUUUCCUUUUCAUUUUAUUGUUUCCUUUUCAUUUUAUUAUCCGUUCUUUGUUAAACCUUCUGUCUACACACAAAAUGAAGUAUUUUACCUUGAUUUACAGCAAUAACUUCCUCAUUGCUUAUAACUUCAAAUGUCUCUGAGUCACGUUUCUUAUAUCACAACCAAUCAAAAGAGGUGCCAGCACAUUCAACAAAAUGCCAAUUAAUUCGUGGAGGAUUGAGAAGGCGAAUGUUAUUUUAUGUUGAUUACAAGAAUACCUCAUUGUUUGACAAUGGUUCCGAUGAAAGAUUCAUGCUUUUAAGCUGGUAGAUGACAAGUUAUUAAAAAGGAGACACUAACAAAGUAUAGUAUUAUAUUUGGUUGAAAUCUAUGUUUUAUCGGAACCAAAAGUACAGUUGGGAGGUAUGCAUUAGUGACAGCAAUGAAUACCGAUAUUUUUUUAACAGUCCCAUAAAAAAACAUUAACCUCGAAAGGAAAUAUAGAGAUACACAAAAGAGUUAAUCGAAGAAGAGAGAAAGUAUACCCAAUCCACAAGCAAUUUGAAUGUAGCAGAGUAGGCAGCAACAUCUUCAGCUAAUGCCCGUCUCUUUAAUGUUCCAUCACAACUCCUAGUGAAGAGAUAAUUAUACGCAUAUAGAACUGCAAAUAAAGGAACUGCCCAACAGAAGAGACGACAAAAAUUAGUACGCAAUCUGCAGUAGCAUAUACUUGUAGGGACAAUUACGAAGAUUCAUAAUUGGUUGAAAGAUUGACGUACUCAAACCUCUCCAGUUUUGGGUAAUUGCUGUGAGAACUGCGAGUAGGGAGAGACGAAAUGUCGAAGGGAGUGUAAUUUGAAAAUUUAAUUUAGCCCCUGUUUGAGCCCAUUUUUACCUCAUUAAAAUGAAAAAUAUGAUCGUUAUCCAUCACAUCAAACCAUCAUUUUUAAAUUUCUAUCUCUGGUGUGGGGCCUAUAACGGCUCUAUUUCUCAUUCUCAUUCUCAUUCUCAUUAUAACGUGGCUCAAACGGGCUCUUAGGGUUUCGAAUGGGAUAGGUCUCAUUUUUCCGAUUUAGGCUAUUCAUUCGGACAUCAACAAUUAUAUUAUAUCUGAAAAUUGUGUUAGAUGUAUAUUAUAUUUUUAUUUAUUACUUAGCCGAUGUUUAUUUUUUAUUAUUUGUCCAUUAAAAUGAAAAAUAUAAUUAUUAUCCAUCACAUCAAGCCACCAUAUUUGACUUUAUUUCUCUUGUGUGAACCCGUAAUGACAAUAUUUUUCAUGCAUAUUCUUACAUUAAUGUGGCUCAAACAGGGCCUUAAAAAUAUUUAUAAAUUAGUAUUAAAAAUGACACUUUUGUUAGGAAAUUAAUAAUUUUAUAGAUAAUUUAUUUUAAUUUUUUUUAUCGAAAGUACUAAUAACUAAAAUAUGGCUGUUGAUUUAAAAGUGCAUCUCCAUUGACCAACAAAAAUAUGUUCAUUGGUCGGUAAAAUGUCUAUACUAAAUUCUCCAAUGAUAAAAAUCAAUGUUGGUUGCUAAAACCCAUUAUUGACCAAUUCUUGAUCGCUAAUUAAUUCUUCAAAAAUAUCACUAGCCAAAUUAAUAAAUAAUCUAGACGACAUCCUUCGGUGACCACAUCAAAUUUGGUUGAUGAUACACAAAAUCAGCAACCAACCCUUGUUUGGUUGAUGAAACAAUCUUCCAUAGACCAAAUAUUGGUCGUUGCAUCAUCAUUAACACCAACCAAACAAAGUGAUUGCUAUAACUUCAAAUAAAAAAUGUCCACUCCUUUUAGGGGUUUUAGCGACCAUUUUGGGCAUGGUUGCUGAAACAUUCCUCCAAGGACUAUAAAUUGGUAGCUAAAUCAUUACAUAUUUCCGACUAUAUCACAAUGGUCGCAAAACCCCAAUAAAAAAGGUGGGAUCUAUUCCCUCCAAGGGCUUCAGUGACCAAUCUAUAUAUGGUUGUUGAAACAAUCUUCCAGCGACCAAAUAUUGGUUGCUAAAAGUGCCUGUCGCGCAAAAUAAUUUUGCUUGCUUUUUCCCACCUAUUUAUUAGCGACUAAAUUGUGUUUGGUGGCUAAUACAUCGAAUCGGCAACCAUUUUUUGGUUGCAAUAGGGCACAAGAAAAAUAAUACAAUUCUAUCCGACCAAAAAUGUUACCAACCAAUAAUUGGUCGGUAAAUGUGGCUUUUAGCGACCAAUUUUAUUUGGUCGCUAAAUCUUUGGUCGGUGGAGCCCUUUUUUGUUGUAGCAUAUAUAUCCGAGUAGUCUUGCAACCUCAAGAAGUCUAAAACAGGAUGUGCUUCAGCAAGUGGGAGUGGCCUAUGCAAAAUCUACACAAUAUGACAAAAAGUCACUUAUCUUAAACUUUUAGGUUAAAUUGGAAAAUAGAGUAUCGUAAACUGUAUAGUCGUGUCCAUUACUUGUCUGGUGUUUCAGUUUCUCAAGAUUCGGGGAGCUUUUGAACAAGCAAAGAACAUAAGAGAGAUCCUCCACUGAGUCUAAACAUACAUAACAUAAAUUUAGAAUUUUAAGCUGGACUUCAGUAGCUGGAAGCCUUGUUUGGAAAUCUUGGAAGCGGAUGGCAAAAGCAUGAUCAAAUAUAGUUAAAUUGAUGAUUUCAAGGAAAUUAUAGUUAUAAUCAGCCAUACCUUCAUCAUCUGAUAGUCCAUGCACAGUUGAUGGAGUGAGGGCAGGGAAUCAAAAAACUCAGUGAAGUUAUAUUUUCUAUGAAUGAUAAAAUUGUAACGGAGAGAGUGGGGAUUUCUUAAAAUAAACAUAUGUGCAGAAUAUUUCAAUUUAACGAGUUUUAGCUUGGGAGCAUUAAUUGUUAAGUGGUGAAAUCCAGCUGGGACAUGCAACUCCAGUUGCUUCUAAUACUUCAGUAUCAAUGAUGACAUCAAGCAAUUCCAGUGUAAUCAGCCUAUUAAAACCUUUGAAGCUUGGUGGAGGAUUGAUCGAACAAAAAGAAAGUUUCAAAUGUUUCAAUAGUGAACAUGUAAAUAGUGAAGAAGGCAAUUUGUACACUUCACCCUUCUUCAUUUUCAAAGUGGAUUCUUCAACAUCUUUCUUCCAUGAGAUAUAUAUCUAGUGGUCAAUUUCAGAACCAACUCUGAGUUUUGGAAUAAUUAGUGAUGUCAAUGGGCUGAGCCCCUUAAUCUCAUGAGCUCGGCUCGCGCUCAUGGCGAGCCGAGCUCGUGGCUCAUUUUCAACGAGCCAAGCUCGACCUCGGCUCACAAGCUCGUGGCUCGUCCGAGCUCGUGGACCUAGCCGAGCUUUGGCUUGCGAGCUCGUCAUCUUUUUCUUUUUUUUUUAAAUAGAGAAAAGCACAAAUAAUGUAAUAAAAAUACUUUUUUAAAAAAUAAAAAAUGUUAAAAAAUACAAAUAAUUUAAUGAAGACAUUUUUUUCUUUUUUUUAUUUAUAUCAUAUUGUAAUAUUUUUUAUAAAGUAUAAAAUAUUUAUAUAAUGAAAACGAAUUGUUUUUUGAAAUACAUUUACAAAAAUACAUUUUUUUCAAUUUCUUUUUAAAGUAAAUAAAAUGUAAACCCUCCUUCUUUAUCCGAGCUUGGGACCAAUUACAUCAAUUUUAAGUAGACGAAGUUAAAAAUUGUACACAAACAACUUGUUAUAACGUGUAUAAUUUUUAAAGAAAAUUAAAUUUAACGAUUAAAAAAUAAGAAAGUUUUGAUUAAUAUAAUUAAAUCAAAUAUCACUUACUUGACGACAUGCAAUUUCAGCACAUUUAUCUUGUAAUCGAAAAUGAGCAUCCUGUCAAUCUUUCACGCACAUUAAUGCUUCCAAAUAUCUUCUUUCAGUCGGCUCCUGAUAUCGAUCAAAAUACAUUUAUCUGCACUAAAAGUAGACUCCGAAACAAUAGUGCUAAUCGGAGGUGUCAACAAAUCUUUCGCAAUUACGGAAACAAUUGGCCAACGUCUUUCAUACUUUCGCCAGAAUUCAAUUACUUCCUCUGAACUUUUUUAAUUGUUCCGUUUGUUGGUAUAUUAUGAUUGAAGUAAUCAAUUAAUUCGGAAGACAUCACACUUUGAGUUGCGACCGAUGUUUGAUGAGAUGCAAAUGUAGAUGACAUGACACUAGAUGAACAUAUUGCAGUUGCAUCAUAUCUAAAUGUAUUAAUGCCUUGAAAUAAAUUCAUUAUUUCGACAUCAUCUUUUUCAAUUUCAGCCGAAUGAGUAGGUGUAGAGAGUACCUGACUAAUAUUCCCACCUAUUCUUUUCGCAUAUAAAUCAUACAUUCCACAUAAUAUUUGCUCUAAAUUAUUAUAAGUGAUAGGUAUAUCAAGCAUUAAGACUUUAUUGAUUUGAUCAAUUAGGUAUUUAGUUCUCGAAAUAUUAUAUCGGGGGUCCAUUGCGCAUGCUAAAGGAAAUAACAUAGGCAGUUUUUCCCAAUAUUUUUCUAAACUUUAAUUCCAUUGCAAUUAUAAUUUCACUAAUAUCAGGAUUAUUUGUAUAUUUAUGGAAUGUUCUUACAACUAUAUAAAGGAGUUCAAGCACCAUAUAGCUUGUGGGAUAAUAAACGCCGGACAAAAUCUUUGUGAUCUCAUAAAAAGAUGUCAAAAAUCGUUUAACUUUCAAAGCCUAAACCCAAUCGGAUUCAUUCAACAUACCAUCGUCAUCACUUCUAACGUGUCUAUUAUUAUAAAAGUCAGUUAUUAAAUGUUCAAAACCUUCAUAUGACUUUAAUAGCAAGUAAGUAGAGUUCCAUCUAUGGCCUACGUCGCUAUCAAAUGUUUUAGCAGCCGUCACCCCUAGUUCGGCAUAAAAAUCUUCAAAUGCUUGUUUUCUACUAGGAGAGAUCGUAAUAUAUACUAAUACAUUCCUAAUCCUUUGAAAUUCAUCAUUUAUAUGUCUUAGGCCAUUUUGCACAAUUAAAUUCAAGAUAUGGCACACACAAUGAAUAUGAAACAAAUGCCCACCAAAAUUAGGUUGAAGUGUCCUACACAAUUUAUCGACGACUACUUUAUUAAUACUAGCAUUAUCAAAAGUAAAAGACCAAAUUUUAGUCUCACAAUUAUAUUCUCUAACAAUACUGGCAAUAUCAUUAUAUAUAUUAUUAGUAUUGUGAGGAAAUUCAAUAAUUCUAAAAGCAAUAAUUUUUUUAUGCAUGCACCAAAGUGGGACUAUAUAGUGUGCGGUUGCGGCUAUAUAUGAUCUUUUAUUAACCUCUUCCAAUAUAUCAGAAGUUAAAGAUGUAACACCCCAUAUUGUUGCAAAUCCAUAAUUAAUUGUUGUUUUGAAUUAUUGAAAAUAUUGCAUUAUAUUGGCACGAAGAGUAUUUCGACUUACCCCAACGUACCUUGUUUGCAGAUAUUCUUUCACGAACGAGACGAAGUGUUGGUUGUUUGCAAUAGCCAAAGGCAACUUAGUGGCGGCAACAAAUUUCACCAUUUCGGUUCGAGUAUUGUCUUCCGAAUAAACCCACGUGGAUAGGGGUGAAGUCGUAGAACCAACGCCUGGAUUGCCAAAUUGCAAUUGUGUUUGACCAGCUGGAAGAAGUCCAUGUUUGGCCACACAUGCUUUGUAGUGGCGGUUGAGAUAGGUGGUACCAAUUCCUUUUUGCCAUACCAAUCUUUGUUGACAGUAUUUACAUACUGCCUUAGAUUCUGCAAGGCCAUCGAUGACUUUUUUCGUUGAAAUCAGCUUAAAAUGAUCCCAAAAUAUUGCUUGUUUUUUGUCCUUUUGCUUUUCCCUUGCAUUUAGAAUGUUUAAUUCAGCAUCUUCGUUCUCAUGUUCCACUUCGGAAACGUUAAUAUAAUCCAACUCAAUUGGAUUGUGGCUUUCCUGAUCGUGAAUGUGAAUAUCUUCAGUAUGAAUACGUCAUUUAGACCGGCAAAUUCAUUUGAAAACUGACUUUACAGCGUCCUAGGCGAUUCGCCAUGUGGUCCACAUUCCGUAUUGAAUAAGCUUUUAACAAAUGAGCGUUGAUCCAUUUUUUUGAUUGUUUAUGAUGAAAUCCAAAUAUAAUAACUAGAACAAUAUAAAUGUAGUGAGAAUUGAGAAUUGGAUGAAUUGAAAUUGUAACUGAAUAAACUGUAAAAAAUGAAUCGAUAUUGUUUAUUUUGUAGCACAAGAGAGUAAAAAUUUGACAAUUGAUAUAAUAAAAGAGAGUUGAGAAAUGAGAGGUAGUGAAUUAGAGGAGACAAUUGAUAUGAGAAAAAAAAAGACGAGUUAAAGGGUAUUUAUAGUAGAAGGGAAAAAAAUUUAAAAAAUUUCAGCGACCAUUUUGGUCACUAUUUUCACGAGCCACAAGCCGAUCGUGGGUGGCUCGUCUUCAAGGUGAGCCAAGCGGGCUCGGCUCGUUUCUCGACGAGGCCAGCUUGGCUCGUGCUUGGGCUUGUGAUUGUACGAGCUCGAGCCGCCCACAAACUCUAUUUCGAUGAGCCAAGCGAUCGAGCUGACGAGCGGGUCGGCCCUUUUGACAUCCUUAGGAGUAAUGAGGCUCGACUUAAUUAUGGAUCCUUGGUGAAGUAAAAGAAUCUGGUAAAGAAUCCCUACAAACUUCAUUCUAGCCAAUUCUUGGUUUCUCUUUUGAUUCUUGCCAUGUUGUAACAUCAAAUAUCAGCUGUGGCAGUUUGACCCAUUUGUUGGGAAUCUACUUAACGUGUGCAGCGAAAAAUUAAAAAAAAAAUUCAAUUCCCACGAGGAAGAGGUUGUACAUUUUCUAGAUCUGCAAACUUCUUUGCCUUAUCUUUGUUCCAGCAACUUGGAUCUAUCUCCCACAGCUGUCUAAUUGUUCAGCCUCCAACGGUCAUCCACAUAGAGAACAAGAUUGUAGGAUUAAGGUUUUUCUUGUGCUAGAAAGAAUAAUGAAAAAUUUCUAAAGUUUUUGAAAACCUUAAUCAUAUUUAUAUAAGCCCGAAUGGGCUGGGCCGGGCCUGACCUAGUCCAAUAUUUAAUUAACCCAUUUAAUUAAAUCCGGUUCAUGAAUUGAUUAAUCUAAUUAAUCAAUUCAGGCCUAUAAAUAAGCAACCUAAUUUAUUAAUUUAUUCAACACUUGUUAAAUUAAUUAAUUGACAAGUCACAAUCUUCUAAUUCUCCUUUUGUGUGCAACCCAUUAGGUUUCCGAUCACGAUACCUAACGAUGUGAAAUAUUAUUUUGAUCUAAUCAAAAUUGAUAAAUUAAAAUAUCCUUUUAAUUUAUCACCAAUUCACACUCGUUGUCCAAGCUUGACAUAUAACAAUGUGUCAGGGCAAUACAUGUGAUGAGAAAUGUUACGUGGUAUGAGAAAACCAAACUCGUUCAUUUACCGUCAAACUAUAAUCCCUUCGUCAAUAUGAUCCGAUCAAUUACGAGAUAUAGAAGUGUGUCAAUCUCGACUAUCAAUCAUAUCUUUUACUCCACUAAUAAGUCAAUAUAAGUCAAAAACUCCUUUUCGACUUAUGAGUACACCUUGGCCAAGAAUUUUAUUAUUGACUUAAUUGAAUGAAAUGCAGAUCAUAAUCUCUUACUAUGUAAGAGUGACGAAUCCUCUAUUAGUCAUUCACAACCUUCACAUGAUUCUUGACAUACUCGAACGAUGUGGUAUUAGUGGCCCUUGGCAGAGCAACAUCCAACACUGUCAAAGCAUUACUAUCCUCAUAUAAGGUACUAUGAUGACAUCAAGUCAAAGAACAAAUUCCACUACCGAACGUUAGAAAUUAACCACUGACAUUCAGAUAGUUAUCCAUAUAGAAUCUCUCGACGGGUCACCAAUGUUUUGUUCUAUAGCAAAAUAUCCACGGGUUCAUUCAAGUGUCACCACACUUUAGCUUGUGAGAUCAGCUACUUACUUCAUAAGUAAGAAAUAUCACACGUGAUGGUCUAUCUGUAAUAACGAUAUAUAUAUCUCGUUAUUACUUACGACCACAGACGAUUUAAGAUUCAAUCACAUAUAACUUGUAUCUCACAAUCACAACUCCUUGUGAUUAACAAAUUACGAAAAUUUGAAUCUGCGGACUCUAUUAUAUAAUUUAAUUGUAUAUUAAUUAAAUAAUAGAUCUAACAUUAAAUUGCAUUAAUUAUGUAUUAAAAGUAUUUAUAUACAAAGUUGAUUGGAACUAGGACAUAACACUUACACCAUUUAUACCUCCAUUGCUUUCACAAGACACAAGUCUUUGCAGCAUCACGUACUAUCAAACACAUUAAUAUGAUCUAUAUGACAUUAUCAGGAAGGUCACUUAUCAUAUCAAUAGGCUCGAAUUGGGCAAUCUUCAUUCUGCUAUGUAAUUGGCUAACAAAAUUCUGUAACAACUCUCAAUUAAUAAAAAUUUCAAAUUGCCUUAAACUAACUUGCAUGCGUGUAGAAGAUAUAAACAAAUUCUGCAUUAAGUUCACAAAAUUUUGUUCGCUUUAUUUUAAUUUUUUACACCGAUAUUUUUAAUAGUUAUCGAAUUGGUCAUAUCACUAAGAAAGUAGAGAUAAUAUUCAUAGUUGAUAUUUACAUUUGCAUAUGCUUAAAAUAUACUUUUGAACAGAAUUUCAAUAAAAAAAAAAAAAAAUUCAUGUAGCCCAUCCAAACUUAUUCACAACAAUCUUUAGUUGUUAUUAUUAUUAUUAUUAUUAUUAUUAUUAUUAUUAUUAUUAUUAUUAUAACUCAGAUAUCCAAACUUCGCCUAAAUAAUCCUGAGCAGUGGCGGCCUUCCCCCCUGGUUUACCACCCGGCUAAAUCCGGAUGCGAACACAACUUAUACACAAUUGGGCUGGACAUUCAGGAUGCUGCUCUUCUCCCUGUAAACUUUCCUUUACGACGUGCGGACAAGACCCCCGAAGAGGUGACAAAGCGCACCAUAACUUUGCCUCCAUAGAACAACUACCUUCCAACAUAAAUGUUGCCUUCUAGCUACCAUGGGGAGUCGAACCUCCGAUAUCCGUGUGGAACCCUCCUGCUUUACCACUACACCAUGCCCGUGAGGGCACAAUCUUUAGUUUGUUGUUAUUCUUAGUGGUGGACAAGGUGGCCAACUGCUCAUUCUAAUAAAUUAUGAGCAAACAAUAAAAUAAGCACCUCAUAUAUAUUGUUUCAAGUUUUAUUGAAUUGUAUGCAUAUUAUAAUUAACUUUAAUUGGCAUGUCAAUCGUCUUGGACUUUCAAGGUAUAAUCCACUACAACAUUUUAUUAGUCACAAUGAAGAUAAAUUAACAAUAAACAUAUAACAUUUCAUUAGGCAGUAUUACAUUUGCAAAAAUUAGGACAAGAGAAAUGUGAUGUUACAUGUUAAAAUUAAUUUUUUAGUCAAUUUUGAUAAAAAUUGAUGUAAUAGGUGAUUAGAAAGUUAUGAAUAUCAUAAAAUACGUGAUCUAAAUGAAUUAUUGAUUUUGACUUUGAUAAAAAUUUAAAUUUAAAUUCCCAUCCCAAUACCUACUUACCCACAUGAAUAAUGAUUGAAAAUUAGAUGAUGUGGCAUGGCUUAUUAAAACAAAAGAAAAAGAAACACUACCUCUACAAGUGUAAAAAAUCGGGAAAUGGGAAUUCAUUCUACCAUUUUAACCCUACUUUGCGUCGACUCGCGCCACUGCCAAACCCACCCAUCGCUAAUUUUCAAUCCAUCUCCGACGCAACUCCGACCACUGGGUAAAUAGAAAGACUACAUUUCACACCAUUUUUCCCAAAUUUUGUGUCGAUCUUACAACCGAAAACCCAUCCAUAUCGAGUCAAAAUCCGGGGAACUGACCGGAGAACUUUGAGCUAUUUGUAAACAAGAGGUUGGACGUGUUCCUUACAUCCCACCACUUUCAUCAGCAAGUCUGAAACUUGCUCUAACCCUAAAUGAUAGAAAAAGGUAUUUUCUCAUCCUUCCUUGAAUGCAUCCAAAUUUGUUUAAAUUUAUUGUUAAGUGGUCACAUGAGUCCAUAUGUUGUCAUCCUUCGCCUAUUACCCACAACAGAUAACUGAGUUCUAUUGACCUGAGUUUGAAAACUUGAACAGAGCAUAACUUAUACGUCACUCAUUUUUGUUCUAUUCUGGAUCCGAAAUUAUGGAAGAUGAUAACCAUGACUUGUUUAUCAAAGUGUGUACAUUUGAAUAUUUAACCUUUGUUGUAUUUGUUUUCAUCAAUGUCUUUCUUGAUUUCUUCAUGUAUGGAACCGAUCUUUUUAUGACAAACAUAUCUCUUCUCAUUGACAGAGGCAUUGAAGCUAAACAGCCAAACUCUGCUAUUGGUAAAUGUGCUGGGGUUAAACUCAUUAAGAAUAACAAGAAGAUUGCUGCUUUUGUCCCCCAUGAUGUUUGUUUAAAUGUGCUUUACUUUGCUAGUGAAAUUAGUACAUCUAGAAAUGUUCAUACUUCUUAAGCAUGGAUGCCUGAUAUGUAAUUUGCUGGAUAUUAUUUCGUAUUUUCUUUUAAUUUACUGUAUCAGAAUUUGUGUUGCUAUGUGUUGAUAUUUAGAUAAUCAUUUUCUGGUCUCUCUCUCUCUCUUGCAGUUGGAACAUUGCAUGCAUUUUUUUUUAUUGAUAAUCAAGUAAUAUAUUUUGGCCAAAUUAAUUGAAAUCCUAUGUAACUUGGGCAUGCUUUUCGGCCGUGUGAUAGUCCUUUCUAAAUGUGGACAAGGCACAAUGUUGGCUUAAUAACUCAGCUUGGUCGAGCUCGCCUGUACUAGUCGUGGAGGAUCGGCACAACUAUUUCUCCAAGGCCACAACUACUAUUUUGUCCUAGGAUAGAAGGCUAAUAUAAGUCUGUUGUCACAAAAAAGUUUGUUGAUUCAGUUUGUAUAUUUGUUUAUCAAAGUGUGUACACACUUUUGAUAUGUUAGUUUUUUACUUUUGAUAAAAACAACUCUUUCUAUUACACAAUAGUUUGGAUUACGACUAUUCAACUUCGUUCAAAUGUACACGUAUUUGCAUUUUAUUGUUUGACUAUUCAAAUGUACACACGUCACAAUAUUAUUUAUUUACGUGCUUUAUGGUAACCAAUUUUUAUUACCAUUAUUGCAUUGACAAAGGUUUUCAACAUACAGUGAAUUGAAGCACACAUUGCAGUGAGUCUAAUGUCUAAACACAAUAAGAAGAUACUUUGGUUCUUUUCAUUCUUUUAACCGUGUUCUAAAGUCUAAAUAUUUGGGCUUGUCUUAACUUAAUGAGGAAACCGGUUCUGUUGCCUUGUCUUCUACACUUAGCAAAAUGCCCAGUUUAGUAUAGGAAACUUUCAUUUUGGGACACAUAACAAAUGUUAUCAACUACACAACACAAGCAACUUUUGUCAAAUAAUUUGGCCGGGAUGUUUGAAAAUAUAAAUGAGAACAAUUACAUGACAAAUUUCUAAAACCAUAACAUAUGUUACAACGAACCUCAUAACAAUCAUAUGUCAAACGAUCGAACAAUUAUGACAAGAUUAACCGUACAUCUAAUAUCCUACAAUGACCAAACCGUUCGUUCAUUAUGAUAAUCCAUAAAGCAAAUUCAAAUAAGCCGUUUAAGUCUAACCCUUUCCUUUCCCUUCCCAUCACACUUUGCGAUUUCCUAUCCUUUAAUAAAACUCAGGCGCAAUGAUAUGUCCACGUCUAGUUUCUCGCUAAUUCGAGCUAGAUUGUCAAAGAGUUUUGGCAACUCUUCAUAUUCCACGUUCGACGCAUGAUUCACCGCUUCAUUAACGGAACUCGACUCCAUGCUUAACACUUCUUCUUUUACCCAGUCAAAAUAUUCACAAUCAUUACUACAAGUGAAGAACAAUCGUCCUUUGUUACUAACAUCCCAUUCGACCUCAAAACAUUUUCGAUAACCGUGUUUACACGAAGGGCAUCGACGUUUUGAUUGGCAUUGUCCAAAGUAGCGAGUGUCAAAUUCCGGAAUUCCUUCCUCUCAUUCUAGUCGAUCCUAGCUAAAAAAACAAAUAAACAAGCAUGAAUGCAAUUGAAUCACAAAUUCCCAUAUCAACUACCUAAACCUCACCAUCCAUGUCAAAAAGCAUUACCCAAUUUGAUUGUCGACAUUAAAGAAUCAAAAGCAAAAGAGUAAAGGCAGAGCUAUAUGACCGACAUUAACCAUUCAAAACCAACAAUUCUGAUUAUCAAACAAGGCAUUAAACUAUUCGAGUCUCUGUCUAAAUGCAAGCCAUAUAAAAUCAUAUUAUCAAUGCCAUAUUAUUGAGUGUGGCCCCUUGAAAAAUCAACAUUGGGGAGAUUUAAUGUAAGAAUAAAAAAAAACCACCAAAAUUAAAGUAUAGAACCAGAAAAGAAGAACUACUUAUACAUUAUCACCGGAGAUGGAGCACAGUGUGGAGGUGAACGGAGUUCAAUGCGUUGUCGGCGAUGGCAAGUGAGUACGAAUGGCGGAUGCUAACUUGGUAUACCCUUCGUUGGUGCCGAUCUUUUGUGAUGGUGAGUGCAUACAUGGAAAAGUGAUUUGGGAGGAAUGAAAGAAAUUUCUUGAUAGUGCUUGGAGGAAAAUGGUUCAGACGGAAUGGGAGAAAUGGGAGAGAUAGUUUGGGGCAAGUUUUGGGGGAAAUUUUUGUAGUGGGUUUCUUUAUCUUUUUUUUUUUUAGUUUGUUUGUCUUUUUAUUUUUUAAUUAAUAGGCCAUGCCGCCUCAUCAAAUUUAAAAUCCUUUACCCAUUCUGUAGUGCCUUUUCUGUACCCAUAGCUAAAUUGUACCUCAUAUGCUUCAUAUGAGAUGUAUAGCACACUUUCCUCAAUAAUUAGUUAAUUACUUUACUAGUCUUCUCUCCUUAAUAAUUACUUUACUAGUCUUCUUUCUUCAUCCGUUUACAUUUCCUUCCAUUUUUUGGUUCAGAGCUACAACCUCCAUUUCCAUGGCUUCUAUGCUAUAAGCUAAUCAAACCUUUCUGCUUUUGCUUCAGUGGUAGCGCUUAUUGUGUUUUAAGCAAAAAUUUAGAGGGUAGACAACAUUCGCUUUCACUAUCUUUCUUUUUCCCUGCAAUUCGACCAUCCUUUCCUUUCCUUGCAAUGGAUAUCUCAUUCACUGAUCCGUUUACUAGUCCUAUAAAUCUCCUUGAAAUUGUGAUCGAGCAUAUAUCACGUGUCUCCUCCUCACAUGUACAUAUAAUUUAUAUGUUAACUGUGCUUCGAGAUUUACUAUACCGUAGAGACUUUGAAGAUAUUGAAGAAUUCAGAAACUUUUUCCAAGUAUUAGUGUCAUUUGGGCAAGAGCUUAUGGUGCUCUUUACAGUCCCUAACCAGCAAAUCUUGUUCAAUUUAACUCCUACUCUCAAUUAUAAUGAAGUUGGUGUGGCCUUCAUCAACUUUUACCUCUUAAUGGUAGAAGUUAUCAUACAUUUUGAGGAAGAGUUGAUUGCUUGUUUAAAGGGUACGUUCCAAAAUCUCCGGACAGAGCUUGGAUUUCUCAUAAAUUUUCUUGGGGAUACAGCAAUGCAUUUGCAGCCCACCUAGACUAUAUUGAUAGAUAUCGAAGAUGUGGUCAAUGAGGUAGGAAUUUUCUUGUAUUCCUUACUUUUGGCCAUUGUUGUAUUUAUUCUGAUCAAUAAAGAAGAAGAAGCCUGUACUAGAAUAAUGGAUUUGGAAUUUGUGGUUGAUGAGGUAAAAAGUCUAAUUCAUUCCAAAUUUUUCCACUUACCAUUGCUAUCCACUAUGGUGAAGUGAAGAAAAAGAAGAAAAAAACAGAAAAAGGCAAUGAUGGAUAUCAAAGCUCUGCUCCCAAAAAUAGGAAGUUUAUUAUAUAUCUUUAUUUUCACCGAGGAUGAUCAAGUUAUGGAGACAGGAAUCUUGGAUCUUGCUCUUUCUGAUUUAUUUACAAACUUUGAGACCUUGAAAGCAAAGAUUAAAGAGCACUGCAUCACGGUCUCAAAGAUGCCAAGUGAUAUCGCUCCAAAGACUAGUGUGCUUUCACUCUUCAUUAUUGAUUCUGUCCUUGAUGAUCUCAUAGAUCUAAUAAAUAACAAGUCUGACUGGAUUGUUGUUGUGAAUGAUCAAAUUGUAACACUCCACGAGGAGCUAAUGUUAUUGGGAUCAUCCAUCACAGAUAUAGCACUGCAGCACGAAGUAGAACAUGAAGAACUUGUGACACGGAGCAAAGACAUAGUAUAUGAAGUUGAAUUUGAAAUCAACUCAUUUCCUCAUGUUUGGUAUCUUAUUCUCCGGCUCCCUCAACUCAUCGACAAGAUUCGGCUUAUUGUGAUGGCUAUCAAAGAAAUGAAGAACAAUAUUGAAGUAGUCAGAAUGUCAAAUGUUUCAAAACAUCCACAUGAACACGUAGAGCCACAGUCAAAAGAACCUUCCAUUUUGGAAGACAUUGUUGUGGGAUUUGACAAUGUAGUAAUUGAAAUCACAGAACAACUUGUUGGAGGAACAGGCCAGCUGCAAAUUAUUUGCAUCUUUGGGAUGUCUGGACUUGGUAAAACGACCUUGGAAAAUAAAUUAUAUAAACAUCUCUCCAUUUUAUACCAUUUUUACAAGCGUGCCUAGUGUGUUGUUUCUCAAAUAUAUACUAAGAAAAAUAUAUUGAUUGAAAUUUUGGGCUCAAUGAAUAACAGUAAGAGGGAUACAUACAUGAAAAAGGAGGAAGAAAUCUUGGUUCAAGAUCUUUACAAAAACUUAAAAAGAAGGCGAUUCCUCAUUGUGAUAGAUGACAUUGGGAUAUCAGUGUGUGGAUUGAUUUGAAAAGUUGUUUUUUAGAUGACGGAAUUGGAAGCAGAAUCUUAUUCGCUACUCGAAAUAAAGAAGUGGGUUUGAAGGCUUCAGCUCGCAAUGUCAUAAAUGAACUUCCUUUUUUGUUAGAAGUUGAGUGUUGGGAAAUAUUACAAGGGAGUGUUCAAAGAUAGAAAAUGUCCUCAAGAAUUGCUAGAUACUGGCAAGCUAAUUGUAAAAAACUAUCAGGGCCUACCACUUGCAGUGGUGGUAAUAGCUGGAGUUCUUGCAAACAUGGAGAAGUGAAAAAAACCUGUGGAAAAAAAUUGCAUGAAAUUUAAGUUCACAUAUAUCCGAAAUACGAGAGAAGUGCAUCCGAACAUUGCAAUUUAGCUACAAUCAUUUACCAAUGCAUUUGAAACCACGUUUUCUUUACUUUGGAGCAUUCAAAGAAGACAUGGAUAUCCCUGCACGGAAGUUGAUAUUUCUAUGGGUUGCAGAAGGAUUUAUAAAGAAGGAAGAACAGAAGAACAUAGAGGAUGUGGCACUAGAAUAACUAAUGAAACUGAUCGAUAGGAGCCUAGUACUUGUUGCUGAAAGAAGUUUUGAUGGAAGAGUCAAAACAUGCAAGAAUCAUGAUCUAUUGCAUGAAAUGUGCUUGAGAAUAGCUGAAGAAAAUAACUUUUUGAAGUUGAUCAAAGUGUAUUUCAAUGUUUUUCUUCUAUUUCCUUUCUUUUCUGUCCAUUUUUUUUAUUUUAGCUUACUAAGAAUGGUUAUUAUAUUUGAUGAUCGUAACAUGAUGUGAUUCUGUUUUUUUUUUUUACCAGUAAUGAUGAUGAUGAACAACGGUUCUUCAGUCAAGUAUCGACGUAUCAACAGUACCAUCAUCUGAGUAUCAACUAUGCAAAAUUUCUUAGUUCACUACCUGUUGGUCUACACGUACGCUCUCUUCUAUUGGAUUUGGAUUUUAUGAGUUCCAUCAAAUUAAUCUCAUGCAGCUACAAAGUUUUUAGGGUCUUUUGUGGAUGGUCACUGUAUGACUUUCUAAUAGGACUUGAAUAUCUGGUUCACUUGAGGUAUUUGGAAAUUUCAUGUACACUGCCACAAAUGGAAAACUUCCACAUAUUAGAAUUUCGUGUUGUGUACAAUGAUGAUGAAAUUGAAUUACCAGAGAUCCUUCUUAAUAUGGUGAGUUUGAGACACAUGGAGUUUAAGGGUGGUGCGUACUUCAUUGAAUCUAGUCGUCAACUUGCAACUAACAAUAAGAGCUUCCAAAUAAAUAACCUACAAAGUAUUUUUGUACUCUCAAUUUAUGAUGAAAUGGAUGAGAGUAUUUUGAGAAGUUCACCCAACCUUUGCAGAGUGGAAGGCAGAGUUGAGAAUUCAUUAAAUUGUUCCUUCAACUUCCUUAAUCAGCUCGAAUCACUGAAGCUAUCAACAGCACAUGGUACGCUUUAUUGGCGUUCCAGUUUGAUUAGUUGGCCCUUAAAUCUAAAAAAAUUAACUCUAGUUGGUGUAUAUCUGUCUCGAAAACAAAUGGAGAUAAUUGGAAGAUUGCGUUGCCUUGAGGUUCUCAAAUUAGUGUCUGCUGCCUUUGAGUGGGAACAAUGGGACACAAGUGAAAGUGAAUUCCCACAACUUAAAUACUUGAAACUUUGUGCCGUAAAAAUUGCAGAAUGGAAUGCCUCAAGUGAUAAUUUCCCAAGGCUUCAACGAAUAGUAUUGGAACAUUGCAAGAAUCUAAAGAUGAUCCCUUCCAAUUUAGGUGAUAUUCCAACGUUACAGAAGAUUGAGUUAUUUAUGUGUGGUCAAACUGCCAACGAAUCAGCAAAGAAAAUUGAGGAAGAGCAAAAGGAGAUGGGGAAUGAAAAUUUUGAAGUCACAAUCUGUAGCACAUUUGGUGAUAUUGAAGCCAUUCUUUCACACAUUUCCCCGCAGAUGAUGAAGGAAUUCAACAGCAGGGAAAUUCAGAAGGUAAUAAUGAAAGAUAAUUUCUCUUUUAAUUCUCUUUCACGUUCUCAUCUUGGUCCUGUUAUACUAAAAUGAUGUUGGAUAUUGGUUAAAUAAAUUGAGAAUUGAAAAUCGAUUAAAGUUCGUAUCGAAUUCGGCCAAAUACUCAAAAGCUCGACUCAAUCCGUUUAGGCAAAAUUGUUUGCCACUUCGCCGCUUCGGGGCGCACAAACGGGGAUCGACCUGCCCGGUCAGGUCGCGAGGGUCGAGGGGGCAGCGCCUCUCGUGGGGGUCGGGGGCAACGCCCCCGAAAGAGAAUUUUGAUUUCUCUGCAUGUAUUGAAGGGUAUAUUUGGCAUUUCGAAAACCAAUAUCGGAUGAAUGAGAAAUUACGAAAAAGACCUCAACCAUUAGUCAAUAGACACCUUUUCAAAAGGUGCAUUGUUUGGAAAGGGUGCAUGGUUUGGCCUCAACCAUUUCGUCCACACCCUUUCUUGGUCUAUAAAUAGGACCCUUUGGGUGUCCUAUUCCACACAAUUUGAUAUGCAAAAACGUCUCUCAUCCUCUCUUCUAUCCAAAAUCAAAAUCAUUUUAUUUAUUUUGAUUUUCUUUCAUUUCAUCUGUGGAGUACAUAAGUCUACAUUUGGUUCGUUGUACUUGUGUUUUGGAGUGCUACAAACACAAGUGUAGCCGUUGUAUCUUGGGAGUCGAUUGCCGAAAUCCGUAGGCACCGUUGCGGGGCAAAUUCGACUUAAGGACAAAGAGUCCAACUCUUGCCUCGGCUUUGUCACCAUCAUUAUACUUAUUUCGGCGUCACUAUUCACAAAAUUCUUCCAACAAAUGAAACAUCAAAUAAAAUUUUUGGCUUAUAUUGAAAUUAACCCCUGUUUAGUUCAAAUUAAAAUCAGAUUUUUAGUAGAUUUUCAUAAAGGUUGAUAAAAUGUGUGAUUGAAAAGUUAAUAAAAGUUACAAAUCUCAUAAAAUGUGUGUUGAAAAUGAGUUUGGGGGGAAAAAUGAGUUACAAAAAAUUGGGACCAAACAGGAGCUAAGGUUGGCUCUAUUUUAUGAGCCUCUUGAUGUUAUUUUAGGAAUUACUAAACCACAAGGUUCUAUGUUUUGGCAUUGCUUCUCUAUUAUUUCAGCUUUUCAUAUUUUUUACUAUAAAAUCAUGUUGACAUAAAAUCACAACGAUCACAUUUUCACUUCUAGCUCAUUUUAGUCCUCAAAAUAAUUUCAUUGUUUAGCUCAAGUCCUCCAUUAAUUGCAUGGGCAGUCCUUCAAUGCCCAAACUUGAUAUCUUUGUCCUAGAUUCUAGAUUCCAUCCAAUUUCCAUCCUUCUUGAUCAAAUAUCGUCCCUUUUUAUUCUUUCUUGUUCAAGACUAGUUUUUCUCUUAAAAUAAUCAAUAAAAACACAAAAUUAAAUAUCUGGCUCAUAAAAUUACCCCCAAACACCCUCUUUUGGUGGCUUGGAUAAGUCUAAAAUCACACUUACCAGCUGUCAUAGAUAUGCAACUUCAAGAGUGGAAUGAUAUUUCUUCGAGGUAAAUAGCAACUUACUCAAUUGUGUUAUAUGUUUAUGUCCGUAUAAUUCAUCUUCUACUUUGAAUGAGGACAAGUUAAUUCAAUUGUGUGAGUAAUAUUCUAAAGAUUUUAGGGAGAAUUACAGUUGGGGUCUCAAACUUUUCAAAUUAUUGUAGAUCACACCCAAACCUUGUGUUUUUAUUGUAGCUAAAGGACAUGUGGACAGAAUUCAUCAAUUUAAUCAUCAGUUUACCAAAAAUACUACCUAACACAAUUUUUUUAUUAUAUUUUUUAUGUAAUUAUUUAAAUUAUUUUAUAUGGGAUAACAUGGUUAGAUCGUUGACUUUUGGUCAACUAAUGGUCAAAUGAAUGGAUUCCAUCCACAUGUCGGCUUGGGUAUAGUUUGCAACAAUAUAAAAGGUUUGGGACCCCAGUUGCAAUUUCUCCAAGAUUUUAAACAAGUAGAGAUCUUGGCACUUGAUGAGUAAAUUUACACAUAUUAUUGAUAUACACACAAGAUUUUAAAGGGUUAGAGACGUUAGUGAUCUUGCAGAAAAGUUGACUGUGAUAAAAAAAAAUGUGUACCCAUUAGUUUACAUGUUUGUAACAUUGGCGCUAAUUUUUUCAGAUGUCCAUUCUCGAUGAUUGAGAUUUUCCAGAAUUGAUUGCGUAAUUGGAAGGGAGAUCAAUGGUUGAGUGACACAUUGGUGGCAUAUAUUGAGAGCGAUGUAUUUGACAAUAUUGAUAAUGAUGUAAUUAUAUGAUGUUUCCAAAGUAUUAAAAUUUGUAUAAUGCAGUUAUAGUAAUGUAUUGACUUAUUUUCAUAUAUAUAUAUAUAUAUAUUUUUUUUUUUUUAAAGAAAAUUGUACCUUAAUUUUUUAUCCUACAAUGAAAAUUGUGUGGCUCCACCAAUGAUAAUAGGCUUGAUAAAAACAAUUAUCUUUGGUGGAAAAUCAACUUCUGAAUGUCGUCAUGGCUAGUGGAUUAGAGGGUUUUAUUGAUGGCACAUAUACUUUUCCAUCAAAGAUUGUUGAAGAAAUGCUCAUCCUAAACCCCCACAGUAAGCAGCAUGGCAGAGGUUUAAUAGGCUUGUAAUGAGUUUGAUUUACAACUCACUAAGGAAUUAUGUCUCGAAUAGUGAGUGGAUUUGAUUACUGCUGAUGAUAUCUGGACUUCGGGUCGAAAUUUUUAUUAACUUUUCAGAAUUAUGACUUCAAGGUCUUAAUUUCCAAUCUCUUGUUGUUCUUAGUUCUUACAGAAUUUGCUUCACAGAUUCUUAGAGUGCUUGCUCAGACCCUCUGCCAGAGAACUUUCCCGAUCAAUAAUUUGGUCAGGAGUUCUUGUAUGUGCACCCACCACCACCAUGUAGUCGGCCAUUUCGACCGGCACCAAAGAAGCAUAUGAAUCAACUCAAACUCCUUUACCGAAGCAGAGCUCUGUAUCGAGAUUUUCGCUGUGGUUUCUCUGUUUUACUAGACUCCAAAAUCCAGCAUCCUUCCAUAUUUUCCUCGCAUCUGGGAACCAAAAUAAAGCAUGUGCCACAAUGAAAUCUCUAAGUGAUUAACAUAGGAGGAGCCAUUGUAAUUCUUCUUUAAAUAAAGUCAUAAGAUUGUUGGUUAAGGGAUUCCUUCAAAUAUAAUAGAAGAAGAGAGAUGGUAGAUUUUCAUGUAUAUCAAAUCGAAACAGCAAUCUCUCCACAUAUGGAUGUUAGUAGGCCUUUCAUGGGCGGACCCAAGAAGGGUCCCCUAGGGUUACUUGAUCCUCCAGUUUUUUCAACACUUUUUUUUUUUUUUUUUUGUCUUAGUUUUCGGGCUCACUAUGAAAUUUCAAAUGAAAUUGAAAUACUAUAUUUUUAAUAUCAUUUUGAAGUACUCACAGUCUAGUAUUUUCAUAUCGUUAAUGUUGUGUGAAAUAACCAAUCGUAGCAAAUGUUAUGACGCGUCAAAAUAGACAAUUUCAAAUUAAUAUUUCGAGAAUUUCGAUAACGAACUAACUUUAAAAAUUUUUCGACAACUAUACACUAGUCAUAUACAUAAAUCUUCUAUAUCCUCUUGAAGCUCAUUUCUAAAACUAUAUCAUAAACACAUUGAAUAAUCUAAAUAAAUAUCGAAAAUAGUUAAACGUACGUCAAACGUGUAUGCUAAAAAGAAACGUAUAACUUGUCUUUUUUGAAAAAAAAAUCAAUUAUUUUAUUAAUGCUUAUUAUUUUUGUGCGAAAAAUUUCUCAAUAUAAUUUACAUCAUUUAAUUAGGAAAUUUUAUAUGUGGUAUGAAGUCAAAUUUUUUUUUUUUUGACGUAAAAAUUCUUUAAAAAUUUUUUAUUACUUCAUAGGGGUUAAAAUUAUUAUACUACGUUUUCUUGGUUAUUUUUAUUUCUGAAAAAAAAUUUACAUGUAAAAAAAUUCAAUCAUUUUUAGGAAUUUUUUUAUAAUUGUUAUCUUUUCUUCUCGAUCAAUUUUUUUUUUCAAAUGACUCAAAAAUUAUAUUAGGAAAUUUAUUAGAUUAAUUUUUAAAAAAUUAAUGAUUGAGAGAAAAAAGUAACAAUAAUAAUAAAAAAUCCUAAAAAUGAUAAAAAAAAUUUAUAUAUAUAUAAAAAAAAAUUAGAUAUAAAAAUAAUCAAGAUGAAAAAGUAGUAUAACAAUUUAUAACCAAUAUAAAGUAAUAAAAAAAAUUCGUCUUUUUUUUUUUUUAAUUUGAUUGUGACCCCCUAAUAUAAAAUGUCUACGUCCACCUCUGACGCCUUUCCAAAGCGUUGCAAAUCUAUUCAUGAUUACAAUCAUAUAAUGGUGGCUGCUGGGUUUAUAUAGUACACACAAAAGACAAUGGAAAAGGGAGGCUGGAAGAGAAGAAAAUAAAUGGCGGCUGCUAUAGAAGAAAGUUGUGGUUGCCAGAGAAAGUUUUUCUUUCAACUCAACUUUGGGUGUGGAAUUCACGCAUGCUUUUAUUUUUAUUUUUAUUUUGCUUCGCUACAUAGUACAAAUUGUGAAUUGCUCUAAAGUAUAUUUUGGUAAUUCUAAAGAUGUAGUAUUCAAAGUAGGUAUCUCACAAAUUUCAUCAAAGUGAUUGUUUGUGAUGAGAUUAUUUCUUGUCCUUGGAGAUUGAUUAUUGUGGUAUUCUCCAAUUUGUUGACAAUUCAAAUUUUUGCUUAAAUUUGAAUAUUGUAAUAUAUAUUUAUCAAUUUGGAUUUGGCUUGAGUUAUCCCAUGAUUUUUUCCUGUACACUGGAGGGUUUUUCCAUGUAAAAAUUUGGUGUUGCGUUCUCUAGUUUUUUGCUUUGAUAAUUUACUUUCAUAUUUAAUCAUUGUAUUUAAUUGCUUGGAUUGUUGAAUUUAUUCUUGAAAUAUGCGAAAUUGCUUGGAUUGUUGAAUUUAUUCUUGCAAUAUGUGAAAUUGCCCAACACCUUGGUCCUUCUCAGGUCGCUGCAUCAAUCAUCACUAUACGGAAUUUUUUAGUAAUUGCUACUUGCUAAGUGAUAGGAUAAUUGGUAAUCUGUGAGUUUUUAAUUCCUUUGUUAGCUAAGCAUCAUUCCUAAAUUCAUGAACAUGCCUUGUAGCAUUUUUCUGUGUAUAUAUUCAACAAGACGGGAUGAAAAGAUUCAAGCUUCCCUUCUCAAUUUCUGUUCGACUUUUUAAUUUGCUAUAUGCAUAUUUCCAGAAGCCACUAAGUUAAUACGAAACAAAUAGAAAAAGGAAAUUUUUCUAUUACUAAACGUUGCAAGCUAUACAAUGGACAUAACAUUGCAAGUCAUGCAUUUGGAUGUUUUUAAAGACCAAAACAAACUGCUCCAUUGGAUGAGUAUCACAAGUUAAAAAUUCUACAAUGAAUUUUUGAUGUGGUGCAAAAGGAAUUGGACUUUAUGGAAAAGUGGGAUCGACGCAAGCAAAAAUAGAUAACUUCUCAAUUUUUGGAGAAAUGUUGGGGUUGUCCAUUUUUGGCUAAAUUUUAGUCAAAUUUGAUCGAAAACAUGUCAAUGAACAAAACUCAGCAGUUUUCCAUCUGAUGUAGGCCCAAUUUCGGCCCAAUUCUUUUGUUUAAGCUUUUUUCCUUUUUUGGUAAAUUUUGUUUUGGUUAUAUUUUUUUCAAUUUAAGUCAGAUUUGAAUUCCAUUUGUUGGAGGAUAAUCUUUAUGAUUAAAACUUUCAAUUUUAGUCAUUAUCUCGAUUUUUUCAAGUUUUGAAAAAAAAAUUAUUAUUAUUUUUUAUUUUUUCGAAUUUUCCUAGGGUUUUUCCUAUAUAAAAGCAUUGUAAGCCCUUUAUGGUCACGCUUUUGAGAGAAAUAGAUUUUUUUCAUGAGUUUUUUUCAUCUUGUUAGAUCUAUUCAUCUUUUCUAUAAUUUUCCGCUACGUCAAUUUUGGAAACAAAUCAACUUAUUCCAAAAUGACUAGGCCAAAACAUCGAAAUAAGUUAAAUCAUAGUCUACGUUAUUUCUUUCACGACGUAUAUCAUAUACUUCAAAUGAGCCAUUAUAUGUAUUUUAUGUUGGCGAAACUAUGAAACUGUGUAGAGUAAAUUUACAACAAUUACUAUUGUUAGGAAAAGUAUUUUAGUGCCACUGUUUCAGAAGUUACAUGACAUAUUGGCCUCUUAUUUGGUGAAACAAGAUUUUUGGAAUUGUAUGUGGAUCACAUUAUAGGGUUGCAACCAAUUGAUCUUGCUUUAUUUGACUCUUGCACUACAAUGGAAUUCAUUGAUUCUAUAUGUAGAAUUUCUAUUCAAAACUGGCUCAAUUCGGCUCGAUUCUGAAGAAAACCAGACCAAACAAGGUCGCUUCAUAGUUAACCUACAUUCAUUUUUUUCAAAACCUCAUUCAUUUUUUUCUGUAUUUUUUCUCUGCUCAUGCAAUUUGGAUCAAACAAAAUAUUUGAGAUAAUCUUUUCAAGAAAAAUAAUAAAACACAGCAUUCACAAAUAUGUAACUAAUGCCAAGAUUUCUAUCUGUGAAAGUUGUGACAGUAGGUAAUUCAAAAAUUAUUAUGAAGAUAGUGGAACUUAUUGAUGGAUACAGAUUUGUAUUAUUACCUCCGUCGUUUGUUGACUACAAGUUCACCAAGUUGCAACAUCAAAGGUAAUGCUAUCAACAAUGAGCAAUAAUGCUUACCAAAACAACAUCAAAUUUAUUUGUUAUCUUGCUCAAUCAUGCGCAUUAAUCUAGCAUAUGAAACAUACAAUAUAUUUCCCUAUGCAUAUAAACUGUCUCGAAAUUUUACUCUAAUUUACGAUUUAUAAUCAACUUUUGUGGAAUUGGCACUCUAUUAUUAAAAUUCAAUUGUGUGUAUCAUUUUUAUACACAUAUCUUGAGGUUUGUGAGAACCUAAAAUAUUUUGAGAAAAUGCUUCUUUGUGAUAAAAUGGUUAUGACAUGGGAGAAAAAAGAGGAGUGCGUCUGUGUAGGGGUGGCGGUGGUCAUGGUUGGCAACUAGGGGCGGAAUUAGAGGUGGGCUAGGCUGGGCUAUACAUUUAUUUUCUUAUAAAAAUAUAUUUUAUGACUAAAAAAAAUUAUGUGAAAUUUUUUUCUUUUACAGUUAGCCCAACAUAAAAGAUAUUUUAGUUCAGUCAUGGCUCCGUCUUUUAACAAUGACGACGUUGAUUAGGAAGGAUUUGUUAGGUGGAGUUUGGGGUGAAAUGUAGAAGAUAUUGAAUUUAUUUUUCUCUUUUUCUUUCUUUUUCAUUUUGGCUAUUUAGUUAUUUUUUAAGUGGUUUAAGUGUGUGGACUAUUUUUGUCCUUCCUUAAAAGUCAUGUGCAAGUCUGCAUACUUCACUUAACGGCUGCUUUGGAUGAAAGUCGUUUAGAGGGGAAUUAGUCCUAUUUGGUAUUGAUUAAAAUCAAAAUUUUAAUUUAAGACAAUGUCAACAAACAAUUUUAAUCGCUUAUCUCAUUGAUUUCACAGCUUUUCAAUCAUUUAUUUCAUCAAUUUUUAUUAAAAUAUUCUAAAAAUCUUAUUUUAAUUCUCAUCAAAUAGAUGCUUAAGUUUGCUAAUUUUUCAAAGAUCAAGGGCACAAACCGAACAAAACAUGGUUUGGGAGUAGGUUUGCUACUUUGCUUAAAAGUUGGGACUAAAAUUAGUUUCAUGUGGUGCGUGUUGGGAAAGUGAUUAGAUAAAUAUUUGAUAAUUAUAGUGGUGAUAUCUAUAUAAUAUAUGGACAAUAAAUGAACGAUGCAUAUGAAUAUUAUGACAUACAAAAAUAAAAACAUAAAUUUAAUCCACUUAAAUUAUAAGAGCACUGCUACAUUAACAGGGUCACAGACACCUUGUCAAUAGGAGGACAUGUAUCCCCUUGAAAAAACAAGGCCCAUGUGGCCUUGUUUGAGAAGAGUUAUACAAGUUAUAAUUCAAUCACUUGUGCAAAAUUUGUAAAAAGUGACAUUUUUCAAAAUGUGCUUAUCACAUCAGAUGGAAAUUCAUUUCCAACUUUGAUCAUUCAUUAUUUGGCGCACAAUACCAUGGAACUCCGAAGUCCAAAGUAGUCAACGAAGUUGGAAAUUAUCAUAAAUGAAUAUCAAUUCUUUCAACAGUGCAUUUCAAAUUUUCAGUAAAGCCUAAAGUAGUGAUUUGAAGGUUUUUGUAAUUUACUAAUAAAUUAGGAGUAAAAGAACAAUGGAUCUUGAUAAAAUGGUUAUGACAUGGGAGAGAAAAGAGGAGUGCGUCUGUGUAGGGGUGGUGGUGGUCAUCUGAUACUUUAGGUUUGUGACAACCUAAAGUAUUUUGACAAAUGAUGAAGCGUUUUCUUACCAUGGGCUCGUAAUGUGCAAUUCAAGUCAUUUUUCCUCUAUAUAAAAUUAAAAACAAAUACCAAAUUUGCAAAAACCAAAGUUUAAAUUCAUCACUUUUAAUAUAGUGUUACAUAGUCUAAAAUCAAACACACACCUAUAUUUAACAUAGAAGAUUUCGAAGAAUAAAAGUCACAUGAUCGAGUUAGGAACUUUUCAAUGGUAAGUUAGAAUAAAAGAAAAGAAAAAAUAGUAAAACAGUGUAGGAAUUUGUCAAGAAAAUGUCUUUCCAAAUGAAUCUUUUGGAGCUCUACAUUUUUUAGAUAUUUCAUUUUAAACUAAUUUCACUAAGAUUGAUCAAUUUAAUCCCAAAUAAUUUAAAAUAUUACAAUAUUCUAACAUAACUCUGCCAAACACAAAACAAUAUAGAUAUAUAAAGAUUUUUUGUCACGUACUCAUAUUGUAGCAUUCAAGUUAUUUCGCAACAUCCUUUAAAGAAAGGAGAAUUUUUUUUUUUUUUUUGAAGUGAUUGUGCUAAAUAAUAAGAAACAAUAAGUGGAUAUUAGAUAUUAAAUUGUAACGGACAUUAAAAUUGAUAAUAUUUUAAAGGAUGAAAGUUAAAUAAUGCAGGUAAAAGAUCACUAAGCAAUGGGGGUGAUAGAAAUAAGAAACAGAAAUUUCUAUUAAGCAACAGAAAUAAGCACCAUUGCAGUUUGAAAUCUAUCUUAAUUUGAACUAUAUCAAUAUGAUACUAAACUAACAAGGUAGUUGAUUAGUUUCUUAAGGGAAAUUGGCACAAAACGUCCCUACCUUUCAAGUGUAUUGUGGAAAACAUCCCUACCUUUCAUUUUUUGGCACAAAACGUCCCUACCUUCCACUUUCUUGGAGCUGAACGUCUUUUUCAUCAAUUUUUGACGAUUUUACCCUCCAUUCAAAUAAAACAAAAAGAAAAGAAAGGAAAAAAAACAAAAAACUAAUUGCAACCACAUUCCCAAAUUUUCUAAAAAUUGCAAAUGGUAACUUGAUAAUUACCGUAUUAAAUAAAUUGAAAAAAAAUAAAAAACUUCAGAAAAAAAUUUAAAAAAUGGGUUGUCUUCUUCACCCUACCCUACUAUUCAUCUUCUUCUUUGUAAGAAAAAAAAUUAAGAAAGAGAGACAGAGAGAGACUUUCCCCCAAAAUAAUUAUUUUGGUGCACAACAAAUCCUCCAAAUCCGAAGCCCCAUUACAUCUCUCUGCACUUCCCCUCUUUGUACAAGCUCCUUCAUUUUCAUAUCCAGUAUCAAACCCCAUUGUGCAGAGAGAUGUAAUGGGGCUUCGAAUUUGAAGGAUUUGCUGUGCAGAGAUAUUUUGUAUGGUGGGGUGGGGUGAAUAGUAGUGUAGGGUGAAGAAGACAACCCAUUUUUUUAAAUUUUUUUCUUAAUUUUUUGAUUUUUUUUUCAAUUUAUUUAAUAUGGUAAUUAUCAAGUUACCAUAUGCAAUUUUUAGAAAUUUUGGGAAUGUGGUUGUAAUUAGUUUUUUGUUUUUUUUCCUUUCUUUUCUUUUUGUUUUAUUUGAAUGGAGGGUAAAAUCGUCAAAAAAUGAUGAAAAGGACGUUCAGCGCCAAGAAAGUGGAAGGUAGAGACGUUUUGUGCCAAAAAAUGAAAGGUAGGGAUGUUUUUCACAAUACACUUAAAAGGUAGGAACGUUUUGUGCUAAUUACCCUUUUCUUAAUUAUUACAUAUCAUUAGCAUUAAGCUAGCGGUAAUUAAACAACAGUAUAGCAUUUUUUAUGCCCCGAAAUAUUAAGAUUCGGCACAUGUAAUUGCUUGAUUAAAAUAUAUAUGAAUGAAAAUAAUUCGAUAAAUAAGCUAAAAUUUAAUGGACAAGGUCUUGAAAUCGAAAAUCGAGCUAAUCUUUAUCCAAAAUCAAAAAUAAACUUAAAAGAAUGAAAGAAAGAAGACUUAUUCACGAAAAUUAAAAUAUUACCGGGGUUUGGAUUGAAAUCGACGAUCAGAAAUUAAUUUGACUAGUUAGUGAUUUUUUUUUUUUUUUCGAUUAUAAAUUUAUAUGGAAGAAAGAAACUAAAAUUUGUCUUUUUUGAAUUUAAAAAAUGGUUGGAACUAAUAUAUCAAUGUAAAAUACGUUAUCCACUAGCUUUUAUAAAUAAACGACGUCAAAAUAAGAACUCAUGAUCUUUACUUACUUCGAAAUCGUGUUGAACGAAAAACGUAAUAUAUAUUAAUGACCUGUCUCACAUGCCUUUUGUUUUUGAACCCUAUAGAAUGAUUUUUGAAGUUACCUUAAUUAUUAUUUGAAAAUUAAUCUUUAAAAGAGUUUCCUAAUUUGAAUGUACUUUUGGAGUAAGUCAUAUUAGACCAAAAUUCUCUAAAAAUUAUUAAAAACCAUACCUUCAUCAUCCGAUAGUCUAUGCACAGUUGCUGAAGUGCGGGCAGGGAAUCAAAGAACUCAAUGAAGUUAUAUUUUCUAUGAAUGAUAGAAUUGUAACACAGAGUAGUUAAGGAUUUCUUAAAAUAAACAUAUGCACGGAAACAUUUCAAUUUAACGAGUUUUAGCUUAGGAGCAUCAAUUGUUAAGUGGUGAAAUCCACUCGGACAUGCAACGCCAGUUGCUCCAGUUCUGGUGAGCUAGAUAUCAAACUUCCUAAUACAUCAGUAUCAAUGAUGACAUCAAGCAAUUCCAGUGUAAUCAGCCUAUUUAAACCUUUGAAGCUUGGCAGAGGACUGAUCGAACAAGUAGAAAGUUUCAAAUGUUUCAAUAGUGAACACAUAAACAGUUAAGAAGGCAAUUUGUACGCUUCAUACUUGUUCAUUUUCAAAGUGAAUUCUUCAAUACCUUUCUUCCAUAAGAUAUAUAUCAAAUGGUCAAUUUCAGAACCACCUGUGAGUUUUGGAAUAAUGAGGCUCGACUUAGUUAGGAUCCUUGGUGAAGUCAAAGAAUCUGGUAAAGGAUCCCUGCAAACUUCAUUCUAGCCAAUUCUUGGUUUCUCUCUGAUUCUUGCCAUAACGUAUCAUCAAAUAUCAGCUGUGGCAGUUUGACCCAUUUAUACCUCCAUUGCUUUGACAAGACACAUUAAUAUGAUCGCUAUGACAUUAUCAGGAAGAUCACUUAUCAUAUCAACAGGUUGGAAUUGGUCAAUCUUCAUUCUGCUAUGUAAUUGGCGAACAAAAUUCUGUAAUAACUCACAAUUAAUGAAAAUAUCAAAUUGCCUUAACUAACUUGCAUGCAUGCAGAAGAUAUUAACAAAUUCAACAUGAAGUUUACACAAUUUUGUUCGCUUUAUUUUAGUUUUUUACACCAAUAUUUUAAUAGUUAAAUUGGUCAUAUGACUAAGAAAUUAGAGAUAAUAUUCACAGUUGAUAUUUACAUUUGCUUAUGCUUGAAAUAUAAUUUCGAAAUUGCAAUAGCAAAAAAUUCAAGUGCUUAUUCACACCAAUCUUUAGUUUGUUGUUAUUCUUAGUGGUGGACAAGGGUGGCCAACUGCUUAAGUGCAUUCUUAGUAGUGGACAAGGGUGGCCAACUGCUCAUUCUAAUAAAGUAUGAACAAACAAUAAAAUAAGCACCUCAUAUAGAUUAUUUCAAGUUUUAUUGAAUUGUAUGCAUAUUAUAAUUAACUUUAAUUGGCCUGUCAAUGGCCUUGGACUUUCAAGGUAUAAUCCACUACAAUAUCUUAUUAAUCACAAUGAUUAUAAUUAACAAUAAGCAUUAAACAUAUCAUUAGGCAAUAUUAUAUUUUCAAAAAUUAGGAAAAGAGAAAUGUGAUGUUACAUGUUAAAAUUAAUUUUUUUUUUUUAAAGUUAAUUUUGAUAAAAAUUGAUGCAAUAUGUGCUUAGAAAGUUAUGAAUAUUAUAAAAUACGUGAACUAAAUGAAUUAUUGAUUUUCACUUUGAUAAAAAUCUAAAUUUUAAUUCUCAUCCAACAUACCUACUUACCCACAUAUGCUUCAUAUGAGCUGUGCAACACACUCUCCUUAAUAAUUAGUUAAUUACUAUUACAAACUGAAUCCAAGAAAACAUAGAUGAAAUCAUAAAUUCGCAGAUUACACCAUAAAUCCUAAAUCACAACAUCAAGGCUUAGAUCUUUCAAUCGAAGGCUCAGACCACACCCAUUUACCAUCACAGAGGCACCGGGACUCAAAAACGAACCCUCACAACCCAACACACCAAGGUCACUUCACUGGACUCAAGAAAUCAAACUGCCUACCUUCGAUCGAUCACUCACACAAAGGAAAAUCACACAAGAACAUGAUUAUCACAAAGAUAAUCAACCAGAAAUCUCACAAAGAGAAGAAGGAAGGGUCACACAGACAAAGGAACUCGAAGGUUCCAAACGGCAGAGAGAAAGAGAAAAACAGAAAGUGACGAUCCAAGAGCCAAACAGGGAGUAAGGAGGAUAUUUAUAGUAAAUAUCAUCAACCGUUGAUCAGCGGGUCAAUCCAACGGUCCAAGAGCGACUAAUGGUGUGUGGGCUGGAUAUUGGGCUCGGUUAAGUGGGCCUUCUAGGUAUAUAUUUAAUGGACCAAGUAAUAAAUCCAAUUUGGGCCUUUUCAUCAUUGCCUAACGUUGGACUGGAUCAAAUGGCAUCACAGCCCAACAAUUACUUUACAAGUCUUCUUUCUUCUUCCGUUUACAUUUCAUUCCCCUUUCUGGUUCAGAGCUACAACCUCCAUUUCCAUGACUUCUAAGCUAUAAGCUAAUCAAAAUUUUUUGUUUUUUGCUUCAGUGAUAGCGUCUAUUAUGCUUUAAACAAAAAUUUAGAGGGUAGACAACGUUCGCUUUCACUAUCUUUCUUUUUCCCUGCCAUUCGAACAUCCUCUCCUUUCCUUGCAAUGGAUAUCUCGUCCACUGAUCCGUUUACUACUCCUAUAGAUCUCCUUGAAAUUGUGAUCGACCAAAUAUCACGUGUCUCCUCCUCACAUGGACAUGUAAUUAAUAAGUUAAUUGUUUUUCAAGGAUUACUAUACUGUACAGACUUCGAAGAUAUUGAAGAAAUCAGAAACUAUUUCGAACUGUUAGCGUCAUUUGGGCAAGAGCUUAUGGUGUUCUUUACAGUCCCUAACCAACAAAUCUUUUCCAAUUUAACUCCCACGCUCAAUUCUAAUGAAGUUGUCGUGGCCUUCAUCAACUUUCUCCUCUUAAUGGUAGAAGUCAUCAUACAUUUUAAGGAAGAUUCGAUUGCUCGUGUAAAGGGUUCGUUCCAAAAUCUCCGGACAGAGCUUGGAUUUCUUAUCAGUUUUCUUGGGGAUACAGCAAUGCAUUUGCAGCCCACCAAGACUAUGUUGAUUGAUAUUGAAGACGUGGUCAAUGAGGUAGGAAGUUUCUUGUAUUUCUUACUUUUGUCCAUUGUUGUAUUCAUUCUGAUCAGUAAAGAAGAAGAAGAAGCCUGUACUAGAAAAAUGGAUUUGGAAUUUGUGGUUAAUGAGGUACAAAGUCUAUUUCAUUCCAACUUUUUCCACUUACCAUUGCUCUCCACUAUGGUGAAGGGAAGAAAGGGAAAAAAGGGAAGAAAGAUAAGAAAAAAACAGAAAAAGGCAAUGAUGGAUAUCAAAGCUCUGCUCCAUGAGAUAGGAAGUUUAUUAGGUUUCUUCUUCAUUUUCACCAAGAAUGAUCAAGUUAUGGAGACAGGAAUGUUGGGUCUUGCUCUUUCUCAUUUGUUAGCAAAGUUUGAGACCUUGAAAACAAAGAUCAAGGAGCACUGCAUCACAGUCUCAAAGAUGCCAAGUGAUAUGGCUCCAAAGGCUGGAGUGGUUUCACUCUUUAUUAUUGAUUCCGUCCUCGAUGAUCUCAUGGAUCUAACAAAUAACAAGUCUAACUCGACUGUUGUUGUGAAUGAUCAAAUUGUAAUGCUCCAUGAGGAGCUAAUGUUAUUGGGAUCAUCCAUCACGGAUAUAGUAUUGCAGCACGAAGCAAAACAUGAAGAACUUGUGACACGGAGCAGAGACAUAGCAUAUGAAGUUGAAUAUGUUAUCAACUCAUUUCCUCAUGUUUGGUAUCUUAGUCUUCGGCUUCCUCAACUCAUUGACAAGAUUCGGCUUAUUGUGAUGGCUGUCAAAGAAAUGAAGAACAAUAUUGAUGUAGCUAGAAUGUCAAAUGUUUCAAAACAUCCACAUGAACACAUAGAGUCACAGUCAAAAGAACCUCCCAUUUUGGAAGACAUUGUUGUGGGAUUUGACAAUGUAGCAAUUGAAAUUGCAGAACAACUUGUUGGAGGAACAUGCCAGCUGCAAGUUAUUUCCAUCUUUGGGAUGUCUGGGCUUGGUAAGACGACCUUGGCAAAUAAAUUAUAUAAACAUCCCUCCAUUUUAUACCAUUUUUACAAGCGUGCCUGGUGUGCUGUUUCUCAAAUAUAUAAUAAGAAAAAUUUGUUGAUUGAAAUUUUGAGCUCAAUGAGUAACAGUAAGAGGGAUACAUACAUGAAAAAGGAGGAAGAAAGCUUGGUUGAAGAUCUUUACAAAAACUUAAAAGGAAGGCGAUACCUCAUUGUGGUAGAUGAUAUAUGGGAUAUCAUUGUGUGGAGUGAUUUGAAAAGAUGUUUUCCAGAUGACGGAAUUGGAAGCAGAAUCUUAUUCACUACUCGAAAUAAAGAAGUGAGUUUGAAAGCUUCACCUCGUAGUGUCAUAAAUGAACUUCCUUUUCUGUCGGAAGUUGAGUGUUGGGAAAUAUUACAAGGGAAAGUGUUCCAAGAUAGAAAAUGUCCUCAGGAAUUGGUAGACAUUGGCAAGCUAAUUGCAAAAAACUGUCAUGGCCUACCACUUGCAGUGGUCGUAAUAUCUGGAGUUCUUGCAAACAUGGAGAAGAAAAAACACUUGUGGAAAAAAAUUGCAAAAAAUUUAAGUUCACAUAUAUCUGAAAUACCAGAGAAGUGCAUCCAAACAUUGCAACUUAGCUACAACCAUCUACCAAUGCAUUUGAAACCAUGUUUUCUUUACUUAGGAGCAUUCAGAGAAGACACAAAUAUCCCUGUACGAAAGUUGAUAUCUCUCUGGGUUGCCGAAGGAUUUAUAAAGAAGGAAGAACAUAAGAACAUAGAGGACGUGGCACGAGAAUAUCUAAUGAAACUAAUUGAUAGGAGCCUAGUACUCGUUGCUGAAAGAAGAUAUGAUGGAGGAGUCAAAACAUGCAAGAUUCAUGAUCUAUUGCGUGAAAUGUGCUUGAGCAUAGCUGAAGAAAAUAACUUUUUGAAGUUGAUCAAAGAGUAAGUUCAAUGUUUCUCUUCUAUUUCCUUUCCUUUCUGUCCAUUUUUUUUUUUUUUUUUUUUUUUUUAUUAAAAAAAAAAAAAAAAAACAAAAAAUUGUCCAUUUUUUUUUUUUUUUUUUUAGCUUACUAAGAAUGGUUAUUAUAUUUGAUGAUCGUAAACAAUGAUAUGGUUAUGUUGUUUUGUUACCAGUAAUGAUGAUGAUGAACAACGGUUGUUCAGUCAAGUAUCAACGUAUCAGCGGCACCAUCGUCUGAGUAUCAACUGUGCAAAAUAUCCUAGCUCGCUACCUGUUGGCCUACAUGUACGCUCUCUUCUAUUUGAUUUGGAUUUUAUGAGCUCCAUCAAAUUAAUCUCAUGCAGCUACAAAGUUCUUAGGGUCUUUUGUGGAUGGUCACUGUAUGAUUUUCUAAUAGGAUUUGAAUAUCUGGUUCACUUGAGGUACUUGGAAAUUUCAUGUACACUGCCACCAAUGGAAAACUUCCGCAAAUUAGAAUUUCUUGUUGUGUACAAUGAUGAUGAAAUUGAAAUACCUGAGAUCCUUCUUAAUAUGGUGAGUUUGAGACACAUGGAGUUUAACGGUGGUGCAUACUUCAGUGAAUCUAGCCGUCAGCUAGCAACUAACAGUAAGAGCUUCCAAAUAAAUAACCUACAAAGUAUUUCUGCACUCUCAAUUUAUGAUGAAAUGGAUGAGAAAAUUUUGAGAAGUUCACCCAACCUUCGCAGAGUACAAGUUAGCAUUGAGAAUUUAUUAAAUUGUUCCUUCAACUUCCUUUAUCAGCUCGAAUCACUGAAGCUAUCAACAGAAUACAAUACGCUUUAUUGGCGUUCCAGUCUGAUCAGUUUGCCCUUAAAUCUAAAAAAAUUAACUCUAGUUUGUGUAUAUCUGUCUCGAAAACAAAUGGAGAUAAUUGCAAGAUUGCCAUGCCUUGAGGUUCUCAAAUUAGUAUCUGCUGCCUUUGAGGGAGAACAAUGGGACACAAGUGAAAGUGAAUUCCCUCAACUUAAAUACUUGAAACUUUGUGGUGUAAAAAUUGCAGAAUGGAAUGCCUCAAGUGAUAAUUUCCCAAGGCUUCAACGAAUAGUAUUGGAAUAUUGCGAGAAUCUAAAGAUGAUCCCUUCUAAUUUAGGUGAUAUUCCAACAUUACAGAAGAUUGAGUUAUUUAUGUGUGGUCAAACUGCAAAUGAAUCAGCUAAGAAAAUUGAGGAAGAACAAAAGGAGAUGGGGAAUGAAAAGUUUGAAGUCACAAUCUCUAACACAUUCGAUGAUAUUGAAGCCAUUCUCUCACCCAUUUCCCCGCAGGAGAUGAAGGAAUUCUACGGGAGCGAAAUUCAGAAGGUACAAAUGAAGGAGAAUCUCUCCAUUAAUUCUCUUUCACGUUCUCAUCUUAGUGUUGUUAUACUAGAAUGAAACAUCAAAUAAAUUUUUGGCUAAUAUUGAAAUUAAUGGAUUAAAAUCAUAUUUUUAGUAGAUUUUCAUGAAGUUUGAUAAAAUGUGUGAUUAAAAAGUUAAUAAAAGUUACAAGUCUCAUAAAAUGUGUGAUUGAAAAUAAGUUUGGGAAAAAAAUGAGUUACAAAAAAUUGGGGCCAAACAGGAGCUAAGGUUGGCUCUACUCUAUGAGCCUCUUAAUGUCAUUCUAAGAAUUACUAGCCCAUAAGGUUCUAUGUUUUUGGCAUUGAUUCUCUAUUAUUUCAGCUUUUCAUAUUUUUCUACUAUAUAAUCGUGUUUACAUAAAAUCACAAUGAUCACAUUUUCACUUCUAGUUCAAUUAAGUCCUCGAAAGAAUUUGUUUAUUUAGCCUAAGUCGCCCAUUAAUUGCAUAGGCAGUCCUUCAAUGUCCAAACUUGAUACCUUAGUCCUUGAUUCCAAAUUCCAUCUAACUUCCAUCCAUCUUGGUCAAAUAUCGCCCCUUUUUAUUCUUUCUUGUUCAAUACUGAUUUUUUUCCUAAAAUAAUCAAUAAACACACAGAAUUAAGUUUUCUAGCUCAUAGUGAUCUUGCAAAAAAGCUGACUGUGUUGAAAUAAAGGUGUACCCAUUAGUUUACAAGCUUGUAACAUUGGCGUUAAUUCUUUCAGAAGUCCAUUCUCGGUGAUUGAGAUUUUCAAGAAUCGAUUGCAUAAUUGGAAAGGAGAUCAAUGGUUGAGCGACACUUUGAUGGCGUAUAUUGAGAACGAUGCAUUUGCCACUAUUGAUAAUGAUGUAAUUAUACUAUGUUUUCAAUGUAUUAAAAUUUGUAUGCGGCAGUUAUAGUAAUGUAUUGACUUAUUUUCGUUAAUAUAUUGUUUUUUUAGAAAAAAAUUGUAUCUUAAUUUUUGAUCCUACAAUGAAAAUUGUGUGGCUCCGCCAAUGUUAUUAGGCUUGAUUAAAACAAUUAUCUUUGGUGGAAAAAUCAACUUCUGAAUGUUAUAAUGGCUAGUGGAUUAGAGGGUUUUAUUGAUGGUACAUAUACUUUCCCCCCACAGUAAGCAGCACAUAUACUUUCCCCCCACAGUAAGCAGCAUGGCAGAGGUUUAAUAGGCUUGUAACGAGUUUGAUUUACAACUCACUAAGGAAUUAUGGCUUCAGUAGUGAGUGGAUUUGAUUACUGCUGAUGAUAUCUGGACUUCGGGUCGAAAUUUUUAUUAACUUUUCAGAAUUAUGACUUCAAGCUCUUAAUUUCCAAUCUCUUGUUGUUCUUAGUUCUUACAGAAUUUGAUUCACAAAUUCUUAAGAAUGCUUGCUCAGACCCUCUGCCAGAGAACUUUCCCGAUCAAUAAUUUGGUCAGGAGUUCUUGUUUGUCCACCCACCAUCACCAUGUAGUCGGCCAUUUUGCCCUGCACCAAAGAAGCAUACGAAUCAGUUCAAACUCCUUUACCCGAGCAGAGCUCUGUUUUGAGACUUUCGCUGAGGUUUCUCUGUUUUAUUAGAAUCCAAAAUCCAGCAUCCUUCCAUAUUUUCCUCGCAUCUGGGAACCAAAAUAAAGCACGUGCAACAGUGAAAUCUCUAAGUGAUUAACAUAGGAGAAGCCAUUGUAAUUCUUCUUCAAAUAAAGUCAAAAGAUUGUUGGUUAAGGGAUUCCUUCAAAUAUAAUAGAAGAAGAGAGAUGGCAGAUUUUCAUGUAUAUCAAAUUGAAACAGAAAUCUCUACAUAUGGAUGUUAGUACGCCUUUCCAAAGCGUUACAAAUCUAUUCAUGAUUACAAUCCUAUAAUGGUGGCUGCUGGGUUUAUAUAGUACACACAAAAGACGAGGGAAAAGAGAGGCUGGAAGAGAAGAAAAUAAACGGCGGCUGCUGUAGAAGAAAGUUGACUGUGGGUGUGGAUUUGACGCAUGUUUUUUUUUUUUUUUUUUUUUUUUUUUUUUUUAAUUUAGUACAAAUUGUGAAUUGCUCUAAACUAUAUUUUGGGUACUCCAAAGGUGUAGUAUUUCACAAGUUCCAUCAAAGUGAUGGUUAGUGAUGAGAUUAUUUCUUGUCCUUGGAGAUUGAUUAUUGUGGUAUUUUCCAAUUUGUUGACAAUUCAAAUUUUGGGACAUAAACUUAAAUAUUAUAAUCUAUAUUUAUUGUAGUGGAUUUGGCCAGAGUUGCCCCUUGGUUUUUUCAUGUACACUGGAGGGUUUUUUCCACGUAAAAUUUUGGUGUUGCUUUCUCUAGUUUUUUGCUUUGAGUAUUUACUUUCAUAUUUAAUCACUGUAGUUAAUUGCUUGAAUUGUUUAAUUUAUUCUUGCAAUAAAUGAAAUUGUCCAACACCUUGGUCCUUCUCACUUUUCAGAUUGCUGCAUUUUUCAGUAAUUGCUACUUGCUAAACGAUAGGAUAAUCAAUAAUCUGUGAGUUUGUAAUUCCUUUGUUAGCUAAACAUCAUUCCUAAAUUCAUGGACGUGCCGCCGUAUAGCAUUUUCUUUGUAUAUAUUCAAUAAUACUAAAUAAAAAGAUUCAAGCUUCCCUUCUUAAUUUCUGUUCGAAUUUUUAAUUUGCUAUAUAUAUGCAUAUAUUUCCAGAAGCAGCUAAGUUAAUACGAAACAAAUAGAAAAAGAAAAUUUUAUUAUUCAAAAAUCUUUCACCCUAUCUAUCCUCAAAGUUCAAAACAGGAGGGGGUGUUUCUCCUUUUUCAGUAUUAUUAUGCAAUUGACUCUUCGUGUAAAGAGUUGAUAGAACUGAUUGACUCAAAAAGAUAAUAUAUAUGGAGGUACCAACAAUAAAUGACAACGUCAUUAUAGUUGAUGACGUAAAAUAAGUAUAACUUUACUGAAAUAAAUGACGGGCAUCAUUUUUUACCGCUAUAUCAUCGACUUCCAAGUGACAGAAUUAGACUAAGAGCAUCUAAGCAUCUGAAUUCCUGAACCCACCAUUCUUUCAAAAGAUUUUUGAUAGGUCAAGUUUGAAUAAAGUUCAUUUCUAUUCAUCAAAUUAAACUACUAGCUCUAUCACAUUUAUCGACCUUUAGUUCAUUCUUAUAGACAUACUCCAUAAGUAUUAGUUAACAUAGUAGGCCAAAAUUGUAGAUUACGUACUUGUCCAUGUAAAUUGAUUUAUCAUAUGAUCUUUUAAUUGUCCACCUCAACUCCUCCAGUAAUUUGUCUUGAAUGUCCAAUAUUUUAAAAGCAUUAAAGCGUCCUUUGUGAUAUCCAAGUUCGAACAAGUAGCUAUAGACAUGUCUUCGAUGUGAUAUUGAAGUAUUAAGAAAUAAAAUUAAAUUGCUUACAAACUAAUUAGUUCACAUCUACCCUUCUACAAUAUAAAGAUAGCUUAGUUGAGCUUGUAUAGAGAGCACAAGUUUUUUGAAAAAGAUAUUUUUCACAACAUAUUCCAAGUAAUCCAGUUUUGAAGUCAACAAAACUGCAAUAUUGUGAUGUGAUCCAAGAAGCACAAGUAACAAAGUCAAGUCCAGAGUCGAGCCCAAGGAAAGAUCCGUUGAUAGUCGAGGGGCCAAUGAAUCUCAGUCUCAAAGAUGCCAAGUGACAUGGCUCCAAAGACUGGUGUGGUUUCAGUCUUUAUUAUUGAUUCCGUCCUCGAUGAUCUCAUGGAUCUAACAAAUAACAAGUCUAACUCGAUUGUUGUUGUGAAUGAUCAAAUUGCAACGCUCCACGAGGAGCUAAUGUUAUUGGGAUCAUCCAUCACGGCUAUAGUAUUGCAGCACGAAGCAGAACAUGAAGAACUUGUGAUACGGAGCAGAGACAUAGCAUAUGAAGUUGAAUAUGUUAUCAACUCAUUACCUCAUGUUUGGUAUCUUUCUCUCCGGCUCCCUCAACUCAUUGACAAGAUUCGGCUUAUUAUGAUAGCUGUCAAAAAAAUGAAGAACAAUGUUGAUGUAGUUAGAAUGUUAGUUGUCUCAAAACAUCCACAUGAGCUGGUAGAGUCAGAGUCAAAAGAACCUCCCAUUUUGGAAGAAAUUGUUGUGGGAUUUGACAAUGUAACAAUUAAAAUUACAGAACAACUUGUUGGAGGAACAGGCCAGCUGCAAAUUAUUUCCAUCUUUGGGAUGCCUAGACUUGGUAAGACGACCUUGGCAAAUAAAUUAUAUAAUCAUCCCUCCGUUUUACAGCAUUUUGACAAGCGUGCCUGGUGUGUUGUUUCUCAAAUGUAUAAUAAGGAAAAUGUUUUGAUUGAAAUUUUGAGCUUAAUGAGUAACAGUAAGAGGGACACAUACAUGAAUAUGGAGGAAAUAAGCUUGGCUAAAAAUCUUUACCAAAGCAUAAUAGGAAGCCGAUACCUCAUUGUGAUAGAUGAUAUAUGGGAUAUCAAUGUGUGGAUUGAUUUGAAAAGAUAUUUUCCAGAUGACGGAAAUGGAAGCAGAAUCUUAUUCACUACUCGAAAUAAAGAAGUGGGUUUGAAAGCUUUACCUCGUAAUGUCAUAAAGGAACUUCCUUUUCUGUCGGAAGUUGAAUGUUGGGAAAUAUUACAAGAAAAAGUGUUCCAAGAUAAAAAAAUGUCCUCAAGAAUUCCUAGACAUUGGCAAGCAAAUUGCAAAAAGCUGCCAGGGCCUACCACUUGCAGUGGUCGUGAUAGCUGGAGUUCUUGCAAACAUGGAGAAGAAAGAACUCUUGUGGGAAAAAGUUGCAAGAAACUUAAGUUCACAUAUAUCCGAAAUACCAGAGAAGCACAUCCAAAUAUUGCAGCUUAGCUACAACCAUUUACCAAUGCAUUUGAAACCAUGUUUUCUUUACUUUGGAGAAUUCGAGGAAGACAAGGAGAUCCCUGUAAGGAAGUUGAUAUCUCUCUGGGUUGCCGAAGGUUUUAUAAAGAAGGAAGAAAAGAAGAACAUAGAGGACGUGGCACGAGACUAUCUAAUGAAACUGAUUGAUAGGAGCCUAGUACUUGUUGCUGAAAGAAGAUAUGAUGGAGGAGUCAAAACAUGCAAGAUUCAUGAUCUAUUUCGUGAAAUGUGCUUGAAAAUAGCUGAAGAAAAUAACUCCUUGAAGUUAAUCUCAGAGUAAGUUCAAUGUUUCUCUUCUUUCUCCUUUCCUUUCCAUCCAUUUUUUAUUUUAGCUUACUUAGAAGGUUAUUAUAUUUGAUAAUCGUAACAAUGAUGUGAUUAUGUUGUUUUUGUUGCCAGUAGUGAUGAUGAUGAUGAAGAUAAACAACAGUUCUUCAGUCAAGUAUCAACGUAUCAGCAGCACCAUUGUUUGAGUAUCAACUACAUGGACUAUCCUAGUGGCCUACACGUACGCUCUCUUCUAUAUGAUUUUGUUUUUGAGAGCACAGUCACAUUAAUCUCAUGCAGCUACAAAGUUCUUAGGGUCUUUGAUUUUAAGAACAGGUCAACAAUCCUAGAUCUAGUGAUAGGAUUUGAAAAUAUGGUUCACUUAAGGUACUUGGCAAUUUCAUAUAAAUGGCAACCAUUGGAUUUGGAAAGGUUCCACAAACUAGAAUUUCUUGUUGUGGACAAUGUUGAUAAAGUUGAAAUACCUGAGAUCCUUCUUAAUAUGGUGAGUUUGAGACACAUGGAGUUCAAGGGCGGUGCAUACUUCGGUGAAUCUAGUCGUCAACUAGCAACUAAUAGUAAGAGCUUCCAAAUAAAUAUCCUACAAAGUAUUUCUGUACUCUCAAUUUACCAUGAAAUGGAUGAGAAAAUUUUGAGAUGUUUACCCAAUCUUCGUAGACUGAAAAUCAAUGUUGAAAAUUCACCAAAUCAUUCGUUCGAUUUCCUUAAUCAGCUUGAAUCGUUGAAUCUAUUUUUUUAUUCUACCAAUUUGAUCGGUUUGCCCUUAAAUUUGAAAAAAUUGAGACUGCAAUUUGGAGAUGUGUGAAAAGGCUAUAGUUCGACCCAAAUAAUACCUAGAGGGGGGGUGAAUAGGUGUUUAUGCGAAAUUUAACAAUUUAAUUAACUUAUGCAACAUGUCACAUAAGUACGCUUUGUCCAGAUUCAUUCACAUAAUUUAGCUACCUAAGUUGAAUUGCCGCGUUGAAAUCAAAACAACAGAAAACAGUAGAAACGCAACAAAAUGUUGAUGGAGAAAACUCAACUGGGUAAAAACUCUGGGCACAAGCCAAUAGAGAUCCACUAUAGAAGAUAUUGACUUACAGUACGCCAGACAUAAUUGAAUCUAACAAUACUUUGACCUCCUUACUGUAUCAACCAAAAUUCUCCUGGAUUUUGCAGAUCUGCGCCAAAAUCCCAGCCCUGAAUUUCUUCUAUCUCCCGUGAAUCACCAAGCACUCCAGUUCUUCAAGCAGUUUCCUUCCCGGAUCUUCAAACAGAUGAUCUUUUGGAAGUUGAUAUGGAGAUUUGAAUGGUGUUUUGGUUUUGUGAAGGUUGAUGUUUUUCUCUAAUAGAGCAAAAGAUGAAAAGAAAGAAUUUUUUGGCUCUAAAUCCUUUGGUUGUUGAGAGAAAUUUUUAUUUGUGUGUUUUCCCAAGGUUAUAAAUGAAAAACGGAAUUUUUGUUUAUAUAGUAGGUCGUUUUUGGUAGUAUGGAGCAUUUAAAAUUCGCGAGGAAGGAAAAUUACCAAAAGCUAGAUAGCACUGUCGCUCGAGCGAAGUGCUGGCGAAACUCGAGCGACGCACCUUCGCUCGAGCUACCCCUCAGCGAAACUCUAGCGACAACAGUUCUGUUAUUUAGGCUCGAGCGAGGUCAGGGUGAAACUCUAGCGAGAUCAACGCGUCGUUUGCAUCUUCAAAGCAUCCAACUUUACCCUAGACAUAUGCUAUAAACUUUGCAAAAUUGCAACACAAGUCCCUGAACUUUUUGGACCUUUACAAUGUAGUCCUUGACUUUACAAACUUGACAAAUUGGUCCUUUGGUCACAGAUUGCCAAUGACAACAUUUUUCUAACAAUGUGUCUCGAAAACAAAUGGAGAUUUGGAAGAUUGCCUUACCUUGAGGUUCUCAAACUAGAAUCAGUUGUCUUUGAGGGAAACAAUGGAACACAAGUGAAGGUAAAUUCCCACAACUUAAAUACUUGAAACUUGUAUGUGUAAACAUUGCAGAAUGGAAUGCCUCAGUGAUAAUUUCCCGAGGCUUCAACUAAUAGUAUUGAAUUUUUGCCGGAAUCUAAAGAUGAUCCCUUCCUGUUUAGGUGAUAUUCCAAUGUUACAGAAGAUUCAGGUAUAUAGGUGUGGACAAACUAUCAAUGAAUCAGCUAAGAAAAUUGAGGAAGAACAAAAAGAGAUGGGCAAUGAAGAGCUUGAAGUCAUUAUCUCUGAAUAGGAAAUUGACAUCGAGAAACUUCCAAAGGUAAUAAUGAGAGAGAUUCUCUUCUUUAACUCUCUUUCAUGUUCUCAUCUUGGUCCGAGGUAUUAAACAUCAAAAACAUCAAAAAUUAAUUCUACUGUAAUUUUGCCUUCUAUUGAAAUUAAGCUCAUGUUUGGUUUGGAUUAAAAUCAGAUUUUUAAUAGAUUUUCAUAAAGAUCAAUAAAAUGUGAUUGAAAAAUUAAUAAAAGUUGCGGGUCUCAUAGAAUAUGUGGUUGAAAAUGAGUUAAAGGGAAAAAUGAGUUUUAAAAAUUGGGGACCAAAUAGGCUAAGUUGGCUCAAUUUUAUGAGCUUCUUGAUGUUAUUCUAGGAAUUACUAAUCCAUAAGGUUCUAUGUUUGGACAUCGAUCUCUAUUAUUUCUGCCUUUCACAGAUUUUACCAUAAAAUCGUGUUUAAAUAAAACCCCCAAUGAUCACAAUUUCACUUCUAGUUUGAUUCAGUCCUCGAAAUAAUUUCAUUGUUUAGUCCAAGUCCUCAAUGAAUUGCAUGGGAGGUCCUUCCACUUCUAAACUUGUUAUCUUGGUCCUUGAUUCUAGAUUCCAUCCUUCUUGAUCAAAUAUUGGCCCUUUUUAUUGUUUCCUGUUCAAUACUGGUUUUUCUCCUAAAAUAAUCAUCAAAUACGCAAAAUUAAAUAUAUGCUCAUCAAUGUAUUUCCAAACAUCCUCUUUUGAUGGCUUGGAUAAGUAUAAAAUCAUACUUAUCAACUGUCAUCGAUAUGCAAUUUCAGGAGACGGGUGAUCUUUUUUUAUUUUUCCAAGGCAAAUAGUGAUUUACUCAUUUGUAUUGCAUGUUUGUGUUUGCACAAUUCGCUAAAGGACAAGUGAAUUCAAUUGUGUGAGUAAUAUGCCAAAUAUUUUAAACCAGUAGAGAUCUUUGCAUUGAUGAUCAUAUUUAGACAUAUAUUAUUGAUAUGCACACUCAAGAGAUUUUAUUAGGGUUUGAAGACCUUAAUGAUCUUGCAUAAAAGUUUGUUCUGACUUAAAAAGGUGAACCCAUUACUUUACAGACUUUUAACAUUGGUGUUAAUUAUUUCAGAUGCUAGGGUUGGUACGUUCUUGGCAAACAAGAUGAUCAAAAAUCGAUUGCAUAGUUGGAAGCAAGAUCAACGGUUGAAUGACAUUUUGGUGGCGUAUAUUAGAACGAUGUAUUUGAUGAUAUUGAUAAUGAUAUAAUUAUACAAUGUUUUCAAAAUAUGAAAAUGUGUAGGCUACAAUUAUAGUGAUAUAUUG
rnacentral:lncRNA from 1 species